GACAAAGAAACUAGUAGUACCUGAAUUCAAAAGCACACAAAUACAAGGGCAAAGAUAAUCAUCAGUUCAAGUGUGCAUACCUCAUAAAAGAUACUUUUUACCUAGUUUACAACUAGAGUAUUUCGUUGCCAUGUCGAACAAGAGUGAAAAAGAUAACAUGCUAACACAAACAUCAUUCCUGAUAAAAUCCAAACCUUUAGACGAAAACGGCACAAGUAGGAGUUGCGCCAAGGUUUUGCUAAUCACAUAUUAAAACCUUCAGACAGAAAACGGCCUCUAACUGGGAGCUGUCUUGCCAAGGUUUGCUUCUGCGCUUAAUUCUUGCCUCGGCCACGCCUAGGAGGCACAACAGUCCACCCAUCAGCAUCAGGGGUAGGCUUGGAAGGUUUUGGCUGAUCUAUCACCAUAUCAUCUGAUCUAGCUGCUUCAUCUUUCCCCAUUGAUGGCUCAUCACCAUCAUCCGAGCUAUCAUCAUCAUCAUCCUCGGGUACCAUCUUCUCAUGAGAAGAAAGAAAGUUAGCUACAGGGGCUUUCUGAGUCGAAGAUACACGUAAAAAUAAAAUCAAUCAAUUUAAACUUUAAAGUUAUGCAAUGCAACGUUGUAAUGACUGAGGACCACUUCAGAUAACUGUAUACACAUGGUUACUCAACAUAUAAGUAUGUCUCCAAAUAACAAUGACCGGUUCUAAUUAGAAAACGAGGUUAAGAUCCACAUGUUAAGAGCAAAAACACAAUCAAUCUAGCAUUUUGCAAUUAACCCCGACAAAGCAACAAUCAAGCAUAUAAAAAGGACCACAUCUUGAAGAAUUAAUAAUUGAACAAAUUAUCAAACAGAUCAUGGAAGUGAACUGUGAGGCUGUGUUUGGAUGUAGAUAUUAAGAUCUGGAAUUAGACACUGGCAUUGUGCAGAACCGAAUAUCCAGAAUUCUAGGAGUUGGGUAGGCCUAGCUAGUCAGCCUGUGUAUUCAGGUUAAAUAUUGAGGUGCUGAACUUUUGGCUCCGCAGCCCGUUCCCGAAUCUCUUGGGUUAGAGCUCGACAGUUGCGUGCAUUUGGGCCGAAUUGUUUUUCUCUACUCUCCUCACUUGUCUGUCUCUUGCUCGUCCAACCCUUCCUCCCGUCCCGAAGAAACAGGAGAGGCGACGCACCAAGUAAACCUCCGCCCACAGGCUCAUUCUGCUCCACCUCCGGAGCGCCUCCGCUCGACUACCCUGUCUCCAUCCACCCUCUCCCUCUUCCUCUCGCCAGCUAACCCGUUUCUGCUCUCCGAUGUCCGGCGCAAGUACGCCACCACCUGGCAUUGUGGUGGUUGCAGGAGCCGGUACUGUCCUCUUCGUUCCUCUAGGCAGGCUUGGUCCGUCUAGUUCUAGUGAUUGAUACAGCUCUUUUACAAAUUUUAGAUCCUGAUGUGAUGCCGCUCCUGGAUGCACACGUUUCCACACCUACAUUAGUGCUUAAUGUCCUUUCAUGGCUAGAAGUGGACAACUAGUUCGUGUGUGGCUUUAGGCUAGCUGUUUAGUGCAUAUUAUGCUAUUGGUCCUAGUUCGAUUCUGACCUUUGUGCUUUGUGGUGCCAAUCUCAGAGACCAAGACAUGGUGUGGUGUUAGUAUGAUGUGAAUUACUCAGAUAUUCAGGUGACAAUCGAUACAUAAUUUUGUGAUGUGUAUUCGUCGAGUCAUUUUGAUAUUUAUCGAAACCAAAUCAUAUAUCAUUUCUUCAAAACCGUAUUUACCGAACUAUUGCGUACAAUUUUCCCAAUUUUCCAUGUUUUUUGGAAGUUACGAGAUGACAUGGUAAUUUUACAUAACAUUUGUUCGUUCUUCUUAUUUUUAUUAUGUGAUAUAUAAUUAUACAAAUAUGUUCAGAUGUUAAAUGGAAAACAUUUUUAUACAUGCAUAAAACAUUAUAAUGAUCAUAGUCUCGUACAAUUGCAUUUCCCCAUUUUGACCAUCCAAACAACAUUUGGCAUUAGACGUCAAUAUCAAGUCUGGGUUCUUAAUACCUAAACAUCCAAAUAGAAAUAUUGGUAUUCAAUCUCAACAUCAAUAUCAAUAUCCUCUGAUAUUGACACUCAAGUCUAUGCAAUGCCUAGCCUGUGAAUGUCUGCAUCCAAACGGAGCUUGAGAGAAUACUAUCGAUUCUAGGUUGCAACACGAAUGAGCUCAUAUGUGAGAAGAUAAGCAACACAAAUUAUGCAUGCUAAAACUAAACUUGAAAUACCUGUCUACUUUGGGAAACAGCAUUUCCUUGAGGCCGUGUAUUCCUUAAUUUCUCAAUCGAUGAAAAGUUGUUUUCCAGGCAUUCUUCAUGCAUUAUCAAAAAUUGUUCAGCAACCUGUUUGCCAUAAAAACUUUGAAUUAAUAAACAUACAUUGCACCGUUUACGAGCAAACCGAAUACAGCUUUACACAAAUGACAGAAGAAGUACAUUCCAACUUGAUUAUAGUUAAGAAGCUUCAGGUUUUCUGCUGGAUAAGCUAGAGAUAAAAAUGGGGAAGAUGGAAAUGGGGAGGGUUGACCCAUCGACCCGGUGAACAUUUAAAAUAGUGGAAGAAGGGCCACAGUAGCGACCCUUAAAUACAAUAGGGGAACUGGGCCAAGCAGCUAAAACCCUAAAGGUUGGUCAGAGCAAGUCAACCCUUUCAGUUACACCAACAAGUACUUAAUCAGAUAUUCAUUACUUCGACAUAGUUCAGGACCUAUAGCUGUGCUAAACAUGGCACAAGGAAAAAUAAUUACCUCCCCAAUGCUACCAUCCGCAAAGUUAGAAUUGAGGGAUUUAUAUAUGUUGUCAAACAUCAUAUCCUCCAAGUCCUCAUAAUAAUAUGGGCCUAAAUAAAACCAAUGAAUAUUAGAUGCAGAAAGAGCAUGCAUAAAAAGAGUGAAACUAACAAAAAAUAUUAAUCAAACCAACAAACAUACAGCAGAAACACGUAAGGCAUGCCAACAUCACAUUUUGCACCUACGGUACAGAUGAAAUUGCCCGACUUUCUAAAAUAAAAGGAGAAUGCAACAUAUAUUGGAGUUCUCUUUCAAUAUAAACUGAUUCUCACCUAAGAUGAAGUGCAAAAAUAAAUAGAAUGAUGUGUGAUCAAGCUAUGUGGUUGAAAACAAAAAAUCAACAUAAGUAAAUGAUGAGCAAAAUACAGAAGCUCAAAUUUUGAAAUACAGACCAUUACGAAAUUCCACACUAGACUUUUUACCUAUUGGACAACAUGGCUCCAAUAUAUCGUACCUAAUUGAAUUGUUUCGUCCAAUACUUUGGAGUUGUGAAAUUCUGAACCCAAACUGGCACAGAACCAAGCAACGUAAGUCCUCUAUAGAACUAUCCGAAUCGAACAGCGCCUACAGAUCGAAGGAGCCAUCUUCCUAUCAGCGAGUUCAGCCCCGAAACCCCGACAAGAGGAACAUCGCGAGGCUGGCUUAAAAUUGGUCCGAGAGACACCUUUACUACCGGAUCCCGCACGGACUUCCGUCGUGUAGGACAUAAUUACACGAGGANNNNNNNNNNNNNNNNNNNNNNNNNNNNNNNNNNNNNNNNNNNNNNNNNNNNNNNNNNNNNNNNNNNNNNNNNNNNNNNNNNNNNNNNNNNNNNNNNNNNNNNNNNNNNNNNNNNNNNNNNNNNNNNNNNNNNNNNNNNNNNNNNNNNNNNNNNNNNNNNNNNNNNNNNNNNNNNNNNNNNNNNNNNNNNNNNNNNNNNNNNNNNNNNNNNNNNNNNNNNNNNNNNNNNNNNNNNNNNNNNNNNNNNNNNNNNNNNNNNNNNNNNNNNNNNNNNNNNNNNNNNNNNNNNNNNNNNNNNNNNNNNNNNNNNNNNNNNNNNNNNNNNNNNNNNNNNNNNNNNNNNNNNNNNNNNNNNNNNNNNNNNNNNNNNNNNNNNNNNNNNNNNNNNNNNNNNNNNNNNNNNNNNNNNNNNNNNNNNNNNNNNNNNNNNNNNNNNNNNNNNNNNNNNNNNNNNNNNNNNNNNNNNNNNNNNNNNNNNNNNNNNNNNNNNNNNGAGCUGGUCGGCCUUGGCGCGGGAGUCGGGGCCGCCCCACUUGUUCUCCACAGCCAUCUGCAGCGCCGUCCACCGCCCGAACACCAGCCCGAUGCCCUCCUGGAGCGCUGCAGCCGCCUGGGGCGAGAGCGAUCCGCCGCCGCUAGUGGAUGUCGACAUGGUGCUGCGAGAGUUCUAGGGAGGCGGCUAGGGUUUUGACCUUUUGGUGUUCUCUAGUAACAGAAUUGAUGGUGGUUGUGAACAAGGAGAGAACCGAAGAGGAUCUUCCGGCCGGCGGUUGCUGGAGGGCGGCGUUGCGCGUGGCGGUGGCUGUGUAGGGUUUGGGGCGGCGAAAUAUCUACUCCUAGGUAGAGCUUUUAUUCAUCAAAAUCCAGAAGGUGUGGAAUACAAAUCGGGUUAUGGGGUUGGCCCAACCAUAUAUGGCGCCUGGGACCCAGAGAAAAAGAAUGCUUGGCUAGUCUAUCUGCUUCUAGAUUAUUCACACGACCUUUAAAAAUAAAAUUACAGCGAAAAGAAACUUGUUGUAGUCUGAUCUCCUUGAUUAUAGCACCAAAAGCUCCCAGACUUUCAUUAUGGAUGGCAUUAACCACUUGCUUUGCAUCCGACACGAUCAUGAAUUGGUCUAAGUGAAGGUCUGCUGCGAGCGCCAUUCCUUCCCGACAUGCUAUAGCUUCUAGCGUUGCCGGACCAUCCACUCCGCGGAUAACCAACGCCGAACUCCGGAGGAAAGCACAUGUACUGUCCCUGCAUACUGCGGCCGUUGUUCCUCGACUUCUCUUCGGCAUCCAGCAUAACAUGAAUCUUGGCGUAUCCCAUUGGAGGAGCUUUUGGUCUCCUGUUUUGCGAUGGCACCCUUGGCUCUAUCCUCACCGGCUCCUGCUUCCCACCAAUAGCCUCGAGCUCAUCAUAUAUCUGUCCACAAAAGUAAUGAUUGCAUGUGGACUCUGAAAAAUUCCUUCGUGAAUGGCUUUACGUUUUGCUGCCCAUAUAGCCCAAAGUGUAACUGAGAGCCUCACGAAUUAUGCAUGUGAUAACAGAUCCAUAAGUGUGAAAAGCCACUGUUUCACCUUCGGUUCUGUUGUAGUUGCCAGCUUCUGCGUCAAUUCCUCAUCUAUGAGCGACCGCAGCGGGACAUGGUACACUCCAGGAGGGAGUGCCUCCAAGAAUCUGGGGCUCCACACAUGCCGCAUAGAUUAGAGUCUGCCAUAUGUCUUCGGGCUCAGACAUCAUUAGUUGGAAUCGAGUGUUUUGAUAGUCUCCAUAAGAACAUCAUCACCUUCCCAGGCACUUGUAUCUUCCAUAAACUCUUUCAGGAUCUUUCCUCCCCUGCCAUGCUCGAUGAACCCGACCUAUUCUCGAGCCAUGCUUCUCUUCUUCACCUAGUUGCAACCAGCAUGUGAUAGGCCGAUCGGACUAAAAAGAGCCCAUUCUUUUCAUAGUGCCAGCUCCAAAAAUCUGGUAUAUUACGCGUGCAUAGAGGAAAACCUAGGAUCACUUGAGCAUCCAUCGGCAUGAACACGAACUCGAUCUUCUGUCUAUCCCAGCAAGCCGAUGUACUGUCGAUAAGUUCAGAAACCAGUUCCGGAGGGUUUUGAGCGAUGCAUGCAUAAGGUUUCAUCAUCUCUUCUCUCGGUAGCCAAUUCUCGUCCCAAAUCUUUGUCGAAUCUCCAUUCCCAAUGCACCUGACAAGACCAAUCUUCAGGGUGUCAUGACCCUCAAUUAUGGCCCUCCAGAUUUGACUCAGGUGGUUUCCCAGUGAAACUUCCAAUAUUGAGCAGCUAGGGUAGUAUAUACUUUUCAGAAUACGCACGCUCAGAGAGUCCGGGUCCUACAGCAGUCUCCAUGCCUGCUUAGCUAACAUGGCCAUGUUAAAAAGCUCAAAAUCCUUAAAACCCAAGCCCCCCAUACCUUUUGGUCUUCCAAGAGACAUAGUGGGGUUUUCUCUUUCCUUCCUUACUCCCCCACCAAAAUUUCUGAAUUAACAUAUUUAGGUGCUCACACAAGCCUUGUGGCAAUUUAAAACAAGACAUUGAGAAAACCAGAACUGCUUGAGCGACUACUUUGACCAACACCUCCUUGCCUGCUGAUGACAUUGUAUUCUCUAUCCAUCCUUGCACUUUGCUCCACAGGCGGUCUUUGAGGUAUUUAAAAGCACCAUUUUUUUGAACUUCCAAUGUCAUAUGGCAUUCCUAAAUAUUUUUCAUUUAGGCUUUCAUUGGGAACUUCCAAUGUCAUAUGACCAAGUUUUUUUUGAGGGGGCGAAGCACCUAGUUUAAAAGGAAAAAGGAGGUACACUCACAGCACCCCUGUCGCGGUCGCAUUGCACCCCACACACGUUCGGUCCUCCACAUGGCUCACGCAAACGGAACGCGCUUCGGCUUGCCUCUUCACUGACACGUGGGACUGCACUUGGAGAAACCGAGCAUGCGCCAAACUCCUCCCGCCCACCGCGCGAACCCCCCGCCCCAAAAAAAAUCCCCCCAAAUCCCAAAUUCAACCGCCCGUCGGCCAACUAGCCAANNNNNNNNNNNNNNNNNNNNNNNNNNNNNNNNNNNNNNNNNNNNNNNNNNNNNNNNNNNNNNNNNNNNNNNNNNNNNNNNNNNNNNNNNNNNNNNNNNNNNNNNNNNNNNNNNNNNNNNNNNNNNNNNNNNNNNNNNNNNNNNNNNNNNNNNNNNNNNNNNNNNNNNNNNNNNNNNNNNNNNNNNNNNNNNNNNNNNNNNNNNNNNNNNNNNNNNNNNNNNNNNNNNNNNNNNNNNNNNNNNNNNNNNNNNNNNNNNNNNNNNNNNNNNNNNNNNNNNNCCCUCCCCGCCAUGACGAUACGUCGGUGCCGCGGUUCAUCGAGGGGACGCACGGCGAUCCUCUUGCUCCCAUAGUAUGCUCUCAUAGACUGCCGUCCUCGAGCCGCGCCGCCACCACUGGCGACGUUCUUGUGGAGGCGCACGGCGGUCAGCGCCGCCACCGCUGGCGACGUUUGUGUGGAGACGCACGGCGGUUAGCUUCUCCCAUGGUACGCGCAUUCUAGACUGAGGCCCCGUGCAUGUCGCUGUAGCGCUGAAUGUUAGCUAAUAGACGUUGUUAAUCUCACUGUUUGCCGAAGUAGUUUACAGUCAAUAUGCUCUGCUUAAGAAGCUUCCUUGCCCUGUUCUGCACUCAAUCUGCUUAGCUGAGAUGGCAUGCCAAGCCCGAUUGGUUGCUAAAAUAUCCUGCCAUAUAUUUAUUGUGACGUAGAUUGCCAUGGUCUAGUAGCCAAUCUGUUAGGUGAAAUAGCUCUACACCGUUUUAUACUCGAUUUUUGUUGCUGCGAUGGCCUUCGGUAGUUCAAUGGCUGUGUGCUCGGCCUCAUUGACUGCUGAAACAGCCUGCCAUAAUUUAGCACUCAAAUCGGUUUGCUGAAUUAGCUUUAAAUAUAUUUCGUUACUUAGAUCUGCUCGUCCAAAUAUCUUGCCAUAGUUUUAGACAUCGACCAAGGUAUUUUUUUUCUUGACUUCAUAAAAAAGCAUAUAUGUUUCUCCUAUAAUAUCUAGUAGAAGAACUAAUUUGUAUAUCUAACAGAUGGACAUAACUUGGAUAACUUCUGCUCGAAGAUUCUCCGCUGCAUAUGUCGAGGGGGUUGAAAACUUCAUGAACUUUAUCAGAGCUGAGUACGAUGGUCCAAAAUUAGAUGUGCUCUGCCCGUGUAGCAGUUGUAUGAAUUCAGUUACAAGACCUCAGUCCAUUGUGCAAAAUCAUCUACACUUGUAUAGGAUGUCGGUCACAUAUACUAGGUGGGUUCAUCAUGGUGAAGUUGUGAACGUCAAUGUUAUAGACUACGUGGAAGCAGCAGACCACCAUCUUGAUCUGCCUGAUGCUCAGGUGGAAGAGGAGGAGGUGGUGGUGACGGAGCCAGUGAGUUUGGACAACAUUGAAACAAUGCUACGAAAUGCUCAUGCAUUUCAUGAAGUUUCACCUACAGAAGAAAACCGGUGGGCCUGCAUGUUGGAACAAUGCAACGUGGCUGUCACCCCAGGAAAUAAGCUGUCAGUAUUCUCAGCUAUGGUCACCUUUCUUCAUGUGAAGACAUCUGAGCGGAUGACCAACAAAUCAUUCGAUGCGAUGUUGGCUGCUUUCCGCAAAGCUUUCCUAGAUGCGUCUGAGCUGCCACACACCUAUGGUAAAAUGAAGAAUUUCCUUCGUGCAGUUGGAAUUGGAUAUGAUAUGGUCCAUGUUUGUAAGAAUAAUUGUGUUCUAUUCCGAAAGGAUUAUGCCAACUUAAGUGAAUGCCUGAUAUGCAAAUCAUCAAGAUGGAAAGAUGGCCAUGCUGUGAAGAGGAUUCCUCAUAAUGUUAGGGGAAAUUUUCCAAUUACACCAAGAUUGCAGAGGUUGUUUCAUGAUGCUGAAACAAGAGAGGAUGUAUUGUGGCAUUCUAGGAACCAGGAGUACAGAGAUCAGAAUGUAAUGAGCCAUCCAUCACAUGGUAGUGAGUGGAAAAGCUUCAAUCAGAAACACUAAAAGUUUGCUACUGACCCAAGAAACAUUAGACUUCGCUUAGCUUCAGAUGGAUUUAACCCAUUUGGCCACCAGAGCGCCACAUAUAGCAUGUGGCCAGUGCUUGUUAUCCCUUACAACAUGCCUCCAAAUGUCUGCACCAAAGAAUCAAACUACAUGAUGGCCGUGCUCAUCCCAGGUCUAAAAAGUCCUGGAAAGGAUUUUGAUUUAUUCAUGGAGCCUCUUGUGGAGGAACUUUAACAACUAUGGAGGGGUGUUCUCACUCGAGACCUAUAUAGCAGCCCACCAGCUCAUUUCUUUCUGUGUGCUAUUAUAAUUUGGUGCAUCCAUGAUUAUCCAGCUUUGGGCACUAUGUCAGGGCGAACGGCACAUGGUUACAAUGCAUGUGUUCGAUGUGACAGGAAUCCGCUGUCAUACGCAAUACUUAGCAAGAUCUGUUACAUUGGACACCGCCGUUUCCUUGCCAAGGACAAGCCGCGUCCUACAAAAUACCGAAGACAUGUGUUCAAUGGAAAGCAUGAAAACCGUGAUGCGCCAAAGAGGCUCACCGCCGAUGAGUUGCAAGUGGAAUUAGAGAAGGUCAGGCAUAUUACACCAGAAUCCAUCCUGGUAAUGGUAGCGGGAAAAGGAAGCGUGGCAGGGCAGAAGAGAGAUUAUUAUUUACCCGCAGGUCCACUUUGUGGGACUUGGAGUAUUGGAAAGAUUUGGAUCUGCGGCAUAAUCUUGAUCUGAUGCACAUCGAGAAAAAUAUAUGUGACAGCAUUAUCGACACACUUCUUAAUAUUGAAGGCAAGACGAAAGAUACCUUAAAAUCUAGGGUUGAUUUGACACACCUGGGUAUCAGAAAGGAUUUACAGGUGCAAGAUGAAGGUAAACCAUGGGAUAUGGCACCAGCUGUGUACGUCUUGGACAAGGUAAAAAGAAAAGAAUUCUGUGAGGUCGUGUCAUGUAUGAGAUUCCCACAUGGAUUUGCUUCCCACCCUGAAAGGAGAGUCAGUGUAGAUGGAAACAAGAUACAAGGGUUGAAAACUCAUGACUGCCACGUCCUACUUCAAAGGGUUUUACCUGUUAUCCUUAGAGGAUUGGGCCGCCCUGACUUAUACAAAGCAGUUGCAGAGUUGGGACAAUUCUUCAGGGAACUCUGCAGUAGAAAUAUCAGGGUAGAUGCUUUAAAGCGUCUUAGAGACAAGAUACCAACUAUCCUAUGCAACCUUGAGGAGAUAUAUCCUCCAGCCUUCUUUGAUGUGAUGGUGCAUUUGGCUGUUCAUCUACCUGACGAGGCACUACUUAGAGGUCCAGUACAGUAUGGUUGGAUGUACCCUAUUAAAAGGCGGCUCGACACUUUCAAGGGCUAUGUUAGGAACAGAGCUAGACCCGAAGGUUCCAUUGCAGAGGCCUACAUUGCUACAGAAGCUUUGACAUUCUCCUCAAAAUACAUUGAAACAACUGAUCAGCUUAGCAAAGAGGUGGGUGAAGAUAAUCCCGGGCUCAAUGUUUUCGAUUAUUCUGUUCGAGUUACAAGGAAGAGUCGACAAGAGGACAAACCUAAAGAUUUGGACAAAAUGGUUUGGUGUGUGUUAAAUAACUGUCCUGAGAUGCUACCUUAUAUCAAGUAAGCGCUAAGUACUGCAGCUUAUACAUCAUAAUCUACUAAGCUUCCAGCACAUUCUUAUAUAUUUAGAUGUUUGACGCGAUCACUAUGUUGUGCAGCAUCUACAAAAAGGAGUUACUACCGCAAAAUCCAAGAAACAUUGACAAACUGGUUAUGGCAGGAUUUGCGAAAUGGUUCAAGAGUCAUGUAAGCUUUUGAAUUGCACUGUCAGUUUUUUUAGUAUAUUGAGUACAUAAGAUGAUCAGCUUGUCUAUUUUCUAACCAUAGGUUAAGAAGAUGCGGGAGGAUGGGCAUGCAGUUGAUGAUGCCAUUUACGCACUAGCAAUGGGUCAUGAUACUCGGGUAAGACAUUAUGAACCUUGCGUUGUUGGAGAUGUGCGCUACAACACCCUUGCACGCGAUGAAGGCAGGAAGACACAAAACAGUGCCAUCAUGAGCACAGAUACGUAUGACAGAGAGAAAACUGAAAUGUAUGCUAACAUAACAGACAUUGUUAAGUUGCAGUAUAUCUCCAGUUUUGAGGAUCAUCGGUGUGUGGUUCUGUUGUGCUGUCGUUGGUAUAACCUAUUUUCCAGGAUCGCAAAACCGAGAGCUGAUGAUUAUUUCAAAUCUAUCAAUGUCAAGGCGGCGUACCAGACCAACGAUCCUUUUAUUUUGGCAAAUCAAGCAUCACAGAUAUUUUUCUUAGAAGACACAUUUGCACGUAGCGAUGACUAGAGAGUAUUGCAAAGGUUUGAGCAGAGGAAUUCGUUUAAUGAAGGUGCACAACAAGAUGAUGCUUACACUGCUCCUGAUGUACAAGAUUCCACAGAUGUUCCUAAUAUCUUUGAGAACCAUCACGUCAAUGACGCUGGGGAAAAGAUUGCUGUUGACACACGAACACGUCACAUGUACCCUCGACGCCGGGGGUGAGCUGCUCGACGCCGGGGGUGAUGCACCGCAGCUCACGUCGAAGGAGACCCGACCGACAGCGCGAUACGCAAGACAGUCGGCGGGUGCUUUUGCAGACCCGAAACCCCGCGCACCUAGGAGGGACCCCGUCAGGGAUUGCGGCGGCUAUGGGCUGCCCUAGGUCGAUUCGCUCUCCCCUAGAGCCUCGGGAUUCACAGCUCUCAAACAUGAAGAACAGCGAAGAACGAGAGAGAAAAACGGUGGAGAGAUAAAAAGUAGACAGGAAAAAGUAGUAUAUUGAUUUGUUCGAUUGUGUGUUGUUCAAUCGGCCAUCACCCCCAACAUAUAUAAGAGGCGGAUAGACUUCCCGUACAAGUAAAGGAUUCAUCUAGGCUUUCCUUACAAGAAAAAUUACAUUAAUUCACGUCCUAGAGUCCUAGUUCUAUCCCAACUCGGAUUCAGUCUGAAUCUGGCCCAAACGCUGUCUUCCUUAUUGCGCGGGCCGCUGAGCUUGCAUACGAUCUCAGAUCAAGACGGCCCAAAUAUCAAACUUGUGCGGCUCGAUGAUACGAACAACUCUCAUGUUGAUCACUUCUCCAAAUAAGGUCACCUUGAAUACUUCAUGAAGUCAUCUUUACGUUCCAGUCGGAUUCGUUCUUGCAGCAGACUGGAUUAUCCGAGUCUCGUAGUGAAUUUGCAUGCCAUAUGCUAUCUCUGAUGAUGAUGACUCCAAAACCAAAUUUCAUCGUUUUACGUUACGCACAACUUCCGUGUUGAACACUUCUCCAUCCGAAAUCAUCUUGAUAAACUUUUGGACACAUGUUCAGUUUCACUCGGAUUUGAGCUCAUCCACUCGGAUAUUAGAGUCUUUCACUCGGAUGGUUCGACUGGACUUUUUCACUCGGAUGUUUAGAAUUUUUCACUCGGAUGACUAUAUUUUCACUCGGAAGACAAUCUUUCACUUGGAUGAUGACCACAUUUUCAGUUGGAAGACAAUCUUUCACUCGACCUUUUACUCGAUCGGUAGGUUUUCACUCGACCUUUUACUCGAUCGGUAGGUUUUUGACCUUUUACUCGAUGAUAGGUUUUCACUCGACCUUUUACUCGAUCAGUAGGUUUUCACCCGACCUUUUACUCGAUCGGUAGGUUUUCACUCGAAAGUUAAGCUUUCACUCGACCGGUAAGUUUUCACUCGGACGGCAAGCUUUUCACUCGACCGAAAACAUAGCCUGAUCUUGAUUUGUCUUCUCAGGUCCCAUACGACCUCGGAUUGAGACGAAUUAUAUAUGAAAAUCGAUCGGCUCGACGAGCCGAAACUUUCUCGUGUUGAAGUUUUUAUGAUUCAAGGAUUUCUUAAGGGCCGAAUUGCUCGCGCGGCCCAUCAGACAGGGUGUCUGGUACUCCGCGCCAUAUUUCCAUCCAGCUUCGGUCUGCAGUGUAUUGCCUCUAACUUUUGCAUAUGAACUCGGAUUGAGAUGAUUUAUAUAUCAAAAUCGAUUGCCUCGACGAGACGAAGACAAUUCCUUUAGAGUACUCCUUCAUCCGAGGUCGUCUUGAAGGCAUGAUCGGCCGAAAACCACUCAGAAUAUUGAAUUCUGCCACUCGGAAUAUAAUUUCGGCCCCUAAGAUGGAGUCGGAUGAUGAUAACCUAAACAUCAAAGUUUUUCCACUCGGUGAUGUGAAACUUUUCAUGCUGAAAACCCUUUCACUCGAAGCCAUCUUACUUUCUUUUAUGCCGUGCCAAAAUCUGAUGUCAACACAUGCCCCCCUGUUUUUCCGCAAAGCUUGCACGCCGAAAAAUAAUAUGCACGGUGUUUGUUCUAAGGACGAUGUCAACACUCCAUCGGCGAUUCAUUUUCUUAGGGCGAUAAUUAUGUAUUGACCAUGUUUGGGAUAAGGGUGAUAAUCAUAUAUCGGCCAUUGCCUAUUUAGGCUUCCUGCCACACACUCGGGUGGUACUUCUUCAAAUAUUUUCCGUUGAGAGCUCGGGGUAACAAUGCCCCUUGUAUUGAUUCCACCAAAUAUGAAUUUCCGGGAACAACUCUUGCAAUCCUAAAAGGACCUUCCCAACUUGGAGACCACUUCCCGAAUUUUCUAUCUCUUGAACCAAUCGGCAGAAUCACUUUCCAGACGAGAUCACCAACUUGAAAAUUCUUCAACUUAACUUUCUUAUUGUAAGCUCUUGCAACCCUCAACUUGUCUCUCUCUAUGGACUUCAAAGCAACCAAAUGUUUAUCGGCAACUUCAUCAAUAUUGUCCAUCAUCAAGUUAUAAAAUUCUACUGCCGAUAAAUCAUUUUGUUUGGCUAUUCUCAAAGCAUUCAAAUUUACUUCCACUGGUAAAACGGCUUCUUGACCAUAUACUAGCUCAUAUGGAGUUACCUUCGUAGCACCAUGCCUUGAAAUUCUAUGUGCCCAUAAAGCUUCAGACAACAACUCAUGCCAUCUCCUCGGAUUAUCCUCAAUCUUCUUUUUGAUGAGCUUGAUUAAAAUUUUAUUGCUAGACUCGGCUUGUCCAUUAGCUUGGGCAUAAUAUGGAGAGGAAUUGAGCAACUUUAUAUUAUAAGAUUCGGCAAACUCUCUGACUUGGUGUGACAUAAAAGAUGAACCUUGAUCUGUAGUUAACGUUUGAGGAAUACCGAAUCUAUGAAUAAUGUGUUCGGUUAUGAAUUGAAUUACCUCCGUAUGUGUCAUGUUCUUGAGAGGUACUGCUUCAGACCAUUUAGUGAAAUAAUAAGUUGCCACCAAUACGAACCGAUGCCCUUUUGAGGAAGACGGGUGGAUUUGUCCAAUGAAAUCUAAACCCCAACCUCUGAAAGGCCACGGUUUGAUAAUAGGAUGUAACAUAGCAGCAGGAGCCAAUUGAAUAUCACCAAACUUUUGACAAGCUUCACACCCUUUAUAAUAUCUGAAGCAAUCAUUAAUCAUAGUCGGCCAAUAAAACCCAGCACGUCGCAAUAACCAUUUCAUUUUGGGAGCCGACUGGUGAGUGCCACAAAUAUCUUCAUGUACUUCUCCCAUAGCAACUCUUGCCUGGUCCUCAUCCAAACACUUUAGAAGAACAUCAUCGACUGUUCGGCGAUAAAGACCAUCAUCUCUCAUUGUAUACUUGAAAGCCAUACGCCGAACAGCCCUGUCCACCCUUUCACUCGGAUUGCACAAGUAAUCAACAAUGGGCUUUCUCCAGUCGGAAUUAUCACCUGCACUAGAUUUUUUGUUAAUGGCCGAAUUAGUGGGUUCAGGUUCGGCCUCUCCCAUAUUGGCAAGACAAGACAUCGGUCUUUGAGAGAUAUGAAACAUGCCAUGAUCAACAUGAUAUCCAGAUGCUUGCUGUGCCAACUCAUUUGCUUUCCAGUUGUCAUGUCUAGAUAUAUGUGCAAUGCUAAAACAAUCCAAAGUAGAAAUUAUAUCUAGACAUUUAUCAAAAUAAACAUUAAGUGAUUCAUCAAAACACUGAAAGACUCUGGAUAUUUGUUGCACCACUAGUAACGAAUCACCAUAAGCCUCAAUAUGUGUAACACCUAUAGCAAGUAUCAUCUCUAGACCGAAUAACAAUGCUUCAUAUUCGGCUUGAUUGUUUGUGCAAAAAUAUUCUAAGCGGCAUGAGGCUUCAAAAACAGCACCAUGAGGAGAUAUAUAAACAAUACCAACACCUUGGCCAUUGCUACAAACUGAACCAUCAAAGUACAAUCUCCAUGGCACUAAUGAAACAAGGUUCAUAUCAACAUCAUGCUUGUCAUUAAUCCGAUGUUUAACAAUGAAAUAGCAACAAUUUGGCCUUUCAAGGAUUUUAGAGAUUCAUAAGCCAAAUCAUACUCAAUCAAAGCAUAAGCCCACUUGCCAAUUCUACCACUAAGAAUUGGCCUAUGCAACAUGUACUUAAUGACAUCGGUUUGACAAGCUACUACACAAGCACUCGGCACUAGGUAAUGUCUCAAUUUUGUGCAAGCGUAAUAUAAGUAUAGACAUAGUUUUUCAAUAAAUGUAUACCUUGUCUCGGCGUCCAAUAAACGUCUGCUCAAAUAUGUAAUGGCAUGCUCUUUUCCUUCGGUAUCUUGGGUCAAAACAGCACCAAUAACACCUUCCUCUACUGUGAUAUAAAGUUUAAAAGGCUCUCUAUGCUUGGGUGCUUUCAUCACCGGAGGAGCGCACAAAUAAUUCUUGAUCAUAUCAAAGGCUUCUUGCUAUUUUCCCCCCAAGUGAAAUCAACAUCAUUCUUUAACCGAAGGAUAGGAGUAAAUGCAUCAACUUUCCCUAACAGAUUAUCUAUGAACCUUCUCAAAUAAUUGACCUUGCCAAGGAACUUUUGCAUAUCUCUCUUGCAUGUUGGAGCCUCCACUUUCUGUAUGGCCUCUAUCUUUUUGGGAUCGAUUUCAAUGCCAUCUUCAUGAAUAAUGAAACCCAAAAAUUUGCCAGCUGACACGCCGAAUGCACACUUCAAAGGAUUCAUCUUCAGUCCAUACUUUUUCAUUCUUUCAAAAGCUAAAUGCAAAUCGGUCAAGUGAGAUUCAAAAGCAUCCGAUUUGACAACAAUAUCAUCAAUAUAAACUUCAAGUAUGAUACCGAGUAAAUCAUGAAAAAUCAAAUUCAUAGCCCUUUGAUAUGUGGCCCCAGCAUUUUUCAAUCUGAAUGUCAUCACUGUCCACUCGAAUAAACCAAGGAAACCAGGACAUCGGAAAGCUGUUUUGUACAUGUCCUCUUCGGCCAUAAAAUUUUGAUUGUAUCCGGCAUUACCAUCUAGAAAGCUAAUAACCUUAUGUCCAGAAGCAUCAUUAAUAAGCAUAUCGGCUAUUGGCAUGGGAUACUCAUCUUUGGGUGUAGCCCUAUUCAAAUCUCUGAAGUCAAUGCACACCCUCAACUUGCCGGAUCCCUUCUUCUCCACUGGGACAAUGUUAGAAAUCCACUUGGCACACCUGCAAGGUCGAAUGAAAUUAGCUUCAAGCAGUCGACCGAUCUCUUCCUUGAUCCGGUCAUAUGUUUUCGGAUUAAACUUUCUGGCCGACUGUUUAUAAGGUCUAAAACCGGCCUUUAUAGGCAACCGAUGCUCCACUAGCUCUCGGCUCAACCCUGGCAUCUCAUGAUAUUCCCAUGCAAAGCAACAAACAUAUUCUUUCAAUAGCUCGAUUAAUUUAGCCUUACAAUCGGCUUUCAAAUUUUUGUUUAUAAAUGUCAGUCGAGUAACUGAACCAUCUCCAAUAUCUAUCUCUUCUAAUGGAUCAGCCGAUGUAAAACCUUGUCCAAGUUUAUCCAUGUCACCCAACUCCUCUAUAGACUCAUACAUAUCGUCCUUACUAGACCGAUAUUUUACGAGACGUUUUUGUAACCACUCGGAAUUAGGAUCCAUUUAAACAUAUCAUACCUUGGAGCCGAUUGCAUUCAGUCGGCUUUAAAGACACGGGCACAAAACCAUUCUUGGUCGCGCUGAGAAAAUCAAACUCUGAUAAGUCACGUCCCAUCAAGCAAGUAGCAUUGGGAUGUUGCCAAUCCACUGAUGCAUCGGCCAAAGCAACACAUGCCGAGUUAUCCGCAUGAAUGACUUCCACUUCAUCAUCAACCCACUGAAUCAAAAACCGGUGCAUAGUGGAUGGCACGCACUGGUUUGCAUGAACCCAAUCACGGCCUAGUAUAACGUUGUAGUUACCUUGCACCUCAGCGACAAAGAAUGCAGUAGCCAAAGUUUUGCUUCCAACUGUAAGCUCCACAUACAUUAUACCUUUGGCUUCAGUUUUCUCUUUGCCUUCAAACCCGUUGAGCACCAUAUUGGUCUUGAUCAAUUCUUCAUCAGGCAAACCCAAUUUCUUGAAGACCGAAUAGGGCAUAAGAUUUACCAUAGCACCUCCAUCCACAAGCAUCCGAGUGAGCGGCGACCCAUUGAUAUGACCUCUGAGAUACAACGGUUUCAGAUGCGUUACUGGGUCUUUUGGCUUCUCGAAUAUUGCAUUUUUAGGGCCAAAAUCCAGCUGAGCCACCUCCCCUUCCUCAUCUACAGCACAAAACUCAGCAGGUAAGUAAUACACCAUAUUGAUAUCCAUACCUUCAUGAACCGGCGUAGACUCAUAGUCCAACAUAUCAACCUCUUCUUCAAGUGGAUCGACCGAUUCUGAAAUCUGGCCGAGUGGAGGAGAAGUAAGAAGUGUCGCAGACGAUGUAAUAGCCGUUACAUCGUCCUCCUUGGGUGGCGUAGGUACUUCUGUGAUAGAUGUAGAAGCUGAUGUAUCUUGUAUUUGUUUAGGCCUCCACACUUGUUUUGCUAGAACCAUGGGCCGAGUGUCAUUGAACAACUUAUCCCUUUGCUUCUCGGCCUCUUGCUCUGCCAUCUCUUGACUCCUUAACCUCUGUAGUUUCCUCUUCUGUGUCUUUGUUAGCCCUGGAGGACACCACUUUGGCUAAGUAUAUUUAGCAUCUUUCACCUUUACUUGGCUAGUGCUUGCUUCAUGGUCAUUAAGCAAGUGCUUUGGCGCGAUAGCAAGUAUCGGCUCAGUUGAGUGAUUAUGCACAGUCGGCUGCUGUAUGGGGGAAUGUUUCGGUGCCCAAGAUAAGUGAGUCGACAUCCACUUUCUCCUUGCCUUUUCCCGACUCAACUGCUGCAACACUUGGUGACUUAACAUGCCAUUCUUUUCGACUUUCCAGAUGCAUGAAAUUUCCACUCGGGCGCACCUUUUUACUCGGAUGGAAUCCACUCGGAUGGACGUAACUCUGAUGGAAUCUACCCAUCCAUAUUUUUUCAUUUGGAUAGCUUCCACCUGGGUGCAUUCUUACACUAGGAUAGUUUCCACUCGGUCGCAUAUUUUGACCAGCCGACUGAUAGUCGCCAAUGUUCAGUCGGCCAUUAUAUGAGUAUUCAAGUCGGUCCCAAACAGUUUGCCUCUGCUCUUCUGGAAACAGUGCCUUUGGUCCACUCGGUUUUGCAUACCGACUGAACAUAUCAUCUGAUGGUGACCUUGGUCGCUUCAAGUGUGAUGGCCGGUUAGAGCUGGGACCAGCCGACUGAUUAGCAUAUUUGGACAGCAACAUAUCAAAAGUUGGCUUGAUCCGCUUGCGUUGCACUUUAGCUUCACUCCUCUUCCAUUUGCCAACUUCUGGACUCUUGGGCUUGACAAAUUUAACUCGAGUGUCUUGCUGCACAUGUGUUUUCCCCCCGAGUGUAGGAUUCUUGAUGGUGAUCUUGAUCACUUCCUUGCCACCGGGUUGCUUAUCAAGCACAACAUGUCUCCCCAAGACCUUGUCACCCUCCUUGUCUUUCCUGGGCUCACCAACAAUGACAUUAGCUUUAUUAGCGGAUUCGGCUACCUCCGGCCGAAUGAGCAGCUUCUUCCCUUCUAAAUCCAUGGUGUUCAUUGGAUAGGGCUGUUUAUCAACUUGCAUCUCAGAAAAGUUCAAUCGUCCAUCAUUAAUGGCCGAUUGUAUCUGUCGUCGAAAAACAUUGCAAUCGUUAGUAGCAUGAGAAAAAGAAUUAUGAUACUUGCAAUAAGCACGCCGUUUCAGCUCUUCAAACGGCGGUGAAGUAUGAGAUAUUCUAAUAAUCUUAGCCUGCAGCAAAGCAUCAAAUAUUCUAUCACACUUAGCAACGUUAAAAGUAAACUUCAUCUCUUCAUCACGAUUCUUAUGAAUCGGUUUCAGAUCAUUGCAAGUAAAGGGUUUGGCCUUAGAUGGCCAAACAAAUUCAGUAGCAAAAACUUCACCCUCAUCGUCCGAGUGAUCACUGUCAUAUUCCACCAUAUUCAUCUUUGGACGAUCAGCUUUGUAUCUAUGCACUUCUUUGAGAUCUUUGCUUCGACUUUCCUGAGCCAAAGCCCUUUGUAAGACUUGGUUAAUAUUUAAGAACUCAUAGCCUUCUAGUUUUUCUCUAAUGGGAGUUCUCAAACCACUCAACACUAGGUCUACCAAGUCUCUCUCGGUUAUCACCAAACUAAAACAUCGGUUUUUUGUUUCUCUGAAUCUUUUGACGUAAUCGGAGACCGAUUCAUCAUGCUUCUGUUUAACCGAUGUUAGAUGUGAAAACUUGAGUUCAUUGUCGCCGCUGUAAAAGUGAUCAUGAAAUUUCUGCUCUAGCUGCAACCAAACUCGAAUGGAACCAUGUGGUAAAGAAGAAAACCAUGAAAAUGCGGUACCAGUUAAUGAUAAAGGAAACAAAUGCACUUUCAGCUCGUUUAGUGAGCCUGCUUCACCUAAUUGUGCCAAGUAUUGACUAACAUGCUCCCAUGUGGUUUUUGUGCCCUCUCCAUUGAACUUAACAAAAUCUGGAAUUUUAUAUCCUGGAGGGCACUAGAUGGCAUCAAAGUACUCGGGGUACGGCUUUUGGUAAAUCCGAUUCCGAGGUAACUCAAGCCCAAAAUUCUCUCGAAGCAUCUUAGCCAUCUCCUCUCUAAGAUUAGCUAGACCAUCAUCCAUAGUGGACGAUGAAACUUGUGGCAGUGGCAUAGGAGGGGUAGGACUACUAGUUGUAGGCAGGAACUGUGGCAUGUAUGUCGACCCAUAAUUUGCUAGUGGUCGAGUGGUUGUAGCUGUAGGUAAGGUUGGGUUCGGCAUUGCCACCGAACCUGGCAUGCUCAUAAUAGGAUUAAUGGGUGCAGCCACAUUCUGAUUUGUUUGGGUAGGAUAAUAAGUCAUCGGCACGGGAGGCGCCGAUGAGAUAGGUAAAGCCAGAUUAGGGUUUUGCACACUAGCAGCUACACCAUCAUUACCACUAGUCGAUUGAGAUGUAUUCUUCUGAGCAUUAGUAUUUUCUAUGAAAGUUUGAUAGACUAGAUUGUUACCAUCAGCAAUACGACUUUCAGUCCCAGCCCACUGCUCAGGAGAAAAGGCAGUACUUACAGAGGGUUUAACCUGCUCGGCUUGAAGAGGAGGGAACUUGAUUUCUUCAAUCAGAGUGAUGUUGCCUUGGCGAUCCUUCUUGAACUUUGCAAGGAACUCCUGCAAGUCCUUCUCCUCAUGCGCCUUCUUGUACUCCUCAUAGACUUGGCGAUGAUCGACCGAUAUCUCAUCAAGACUGGGCUUAAUGAUGUUAUCGGCGUCUACCUCAGAUGGCUUGGGAAGAUCGGACAUGGUGGAUGAUGAUGAUUGAUCUUCGAUCCCCAGCGGAGUCACCAAAAAGUGUGUUGACAAACGAACACGUCACAUGUACCCUCGACGCCGGGGGUAAUGCACCGCAGCUCACGUCAAAGGAGACCCGACCGACAGUGCGAUACGCAAGACAGUCGGCGGGUGCUUUUGCAGACCCGAAACCCCGCGCACCUGGGAGGGACCCCAUCAGGGAUUGCAGCGGCUAUGGGCUGCCCUAGGUCGAUUCGCUCGCCCCUAGAGCCUCGGGAUUCGCAGCUCUCAAACACGAAGAACAACGAAGAACGAGAGAGAAAAACGGUGGAGAGAUAAAAAGUAGACAGGAAAAAGUAGUAUAUUGAUUUGUUCGAUUGUGUGUUGUUCAAUCGGCCAUCACCCCCAACAUAUAUAAGAGGCGGUUGGACUUCCCGUACAAGUAAAGGAUUCAUCUAGGCUUUCCUUACAAGAAAAAUUACAUCAAUUAACGUCCUAGAGUCCUAGUUCUAUUCCAACUCGGAUUCAGUCUGAAUCUGGCCCAAACGCUGUCUUCCUUAUUGCGCGGGCCGCUGAGCUUGCAUACGAUCUCAGAUCAAGACGGCCCAAAUAUCAAACUUGUGCGCCUCGAUGAUACGAACAACUCUCAUGUUGAUCACUUCUCCAAAUAAGGUCACCUUGAAUACUUCACGAAGCCAUCUUUACAUUCCAGUCGAAUUCGUUCUUGCAGCAGACUGGAUUAUCCGAGUCUCGUAGUGAAUUUGCAUGCCAUAUGCUAUCUCUGAUGAUGAUGACUCCAAAACCAAAUAUUCAUCGUUUUUACGAUACGCACAACUUCCGUAUUGAACACUUCUCCAUACGAAAUCAUCUUGAUAAACUUUUGGGCACAUGUUCAGUUUCACUCGGAUUUGAGCUCAUCCACUCGGAUAUUAGAGUCUUUCACUCGGAUGGUUCGAUUGGACUUUUUCACUUGGAUGUUUAGAAUUUUUCACUCGGAUGACUAUAUUUUCACUCGGAAGACAAUCUUUCACUUGGAUGAUGACCACAUUUUCAGUCGUAAGACAAUCUUUUACUCGAUCGAUAAGUUUUCACUUGACCUUUUACUCGAUCGGUAGGUUUUCACUCGACCUUUUACUCGAUCGGUUGGUUUUUGACCUUUUACUUGAUGAUAGGUUUUCACUCGACCUUUUACUCGAUCGGUAGGUUUUCACCCGACCUUUUACUCGAUCGGUAGGUUUUCACUCGAAAGUUAAGCUUUCACUCGACCGGUAAGUUUUCACUCGGACGGCAAGCUUUUCACUCGACCGAAAACAUAGCCUGAUCUUGAUUUGUCUUCUCAGGUCCCAUACAACCUCGGAUUGAGACGAAUUAUAUAUGAAAAUCGAUUGGCUCGACCAGCUGAAACUUUCUCGUGUUGAAGUUUUUCUGAUUCAAGGACUUCUUAAGGGCCGAAUUGCUCGCGCGACCCAUCAGACAGGGUGUGUGGUACUCCGCGCCAUAUUUCCAUCCAGCUUCGGUCUGCAGUGUAUUACCUCUAACUUUUGCAUAUGAACUCGGAUUGAGAUGAUUUAUAUAUCAAAAUCAAUUGCCUCGACGAGACGAAGACAAUUCCUUUAGAGUACUCCUUCAUCCGAGGUCGUCUUGAAGGCAUGAUCGGCCGAAAACCACUCGGAAUAUUGAAUUCUGCCACUCGGAAUAUAAUUUCGGCCCCUAAGAUGGAGUCGGACGAUGAUAACCUAAACAUCAAAGUUGGUCCACUCGGUGAUGUGAAACUUUUCAUGCUGAAAACCCUUUCACUCGAAGCCAUCUUACUUUCUUUUAUGCCGUGCCAAAAUCUGAUGUCAACAAUUGCCUGUCGUGUUGUGGACAUACAAGAGUUGAUCAAGAAGAAGCCAACGUUCGAGGACAUUGAGGAUGAAGAAGAAGAUGACACUCUGGGGAAUUACGAUUCAUACUGAUACACAUGGCGAAGAUGUUGACGCUGCUGCUGCGGAUGAUGAUUAGAUUGCUUUUGUCGUAUUUGCCUGUCAGAAGAUGUUUUUUUAUCUACUAUGUGAAAUUGUGUUUGCUAUGACAACUGAAACCUAAUGAACAUGUUGUUUAGAGCAUCUCCAAUAGAUGGUCCAAAUUUUGACGGUCCAAAACCGGAGAUGUAAAUUUUGGACAGUCAAAAAGUGCGUUUUGGAGCUCCCAAAAAAGGCCAACUGCAACAGAUGGUCCAAAUUCAUGGUCCAAAAGAGCAACUCCAAUAGAUGGUCCAAAUUCAUGGUCUAAAACCUGUGGGGAAUUCCAUCAAACACCUUGUGCGCGCAGUGGAAGAAGAUGGCCGCCGGUUGGAUUGGCUGCUGCUGACGACUGCGGACGGCUGCGGUCGGCUCCGGACAGCGGCGGUGAUAAGAAAUGAGGUAGGAGGCCGACCAAGAGGAGCUCGACGGGCGGCGAAGACUAGUUCGGCAGCCGGGCGGAGGGCGGUGGGGAGGCGGUCGUGCGACCAUCGCAACAGCCGUGGACAGGCUCACGGCCAACAGGAGGAUGUCGGUGGCAACCUAAAAGACCCAGCGGAGGCCUACCGCGGCAGCCGGACCGCCAGAGGGGCCGAAUCCCGCGCCGGCUACCACUCGAUUCGGCAGCGUCUGGGCGGCGGCGGGGAGGCGACGGGGGUGACGGGGGUGGAGGGCGGCGGUGGCGGAGGGGAUGUGGGGUGGUGGCGGCACCGACAACAAGGUUUUGGGCGGUCGCGGCGGUGGAUUCCGGCCGGCUGUUCUUCGGGCAAGCGGACGGGCGCGGGCGGGAACGGAAAUGAAGUGGCGGUUGGGCGUUCGCGGGCGGCGGCUGGUUUUGGACCAGAUGCAUGUCGUGAUGUAUAUUUGCAUCGCGAGGUGUUGCAUUUUACAUCACGAGGAGGCCGCGGUCCAAUUUUUUUGCAUAUGGACCGUCUGUUGGAGCAGCGUUUUCUGCCCCAGACGGUCCAAAAGUUAGGUAUUUUUACAUUUCGACCGUCUAUUGGAGAUGCUCUUAGUAUUUUGCUGUGAGAACUUCACUUGUUAUGUAUGUUCAUUUGUGUUUGGUGAUUGUAUGACGACUAAAACAUGAUGACAUUGUUGUUUAGUUGUACUCAUAUUUGGCUGUGAAACUUGAAUUUGAUGACAUAGUUUGCUGUUGGACUACAAUUUGCUCGACAUCUUUGAAUGGGAACAAAGCUGACCCGACAGGGCCUCUGCUAAUUUAUUUAUUUAUUACUAAAAGGGCAUAUGCUAUUUAUUUAUUUAUGAGCAAAAGGGGAUACCGCCCGAUUUCUGUUAAUAGAAAUCAUUAGAUGUUCACAACACUGCGCCCAGCCUGCUACACAGGUUUCAUUCAUUACUAGUUUCAGCAAAGUGCUCAUGCCAUAGCCACUGAAUACAUCACGAGUGCUACCUACACUGCAAAUAAAGAGACAAUCAUCCUACAGAGCACAUCGAUUUUGCCCAUUAUCUUCACAAGCUCUUUCAUCUCCUCAUUGUUGUCAAGGCCGUUCAGCAGCUGUUGCUUGGCCAUGAUCAGAGGAACUGCAUCUUUAACCUUCUUCUCUGCAUCUUCCUCUUCUGCCGUUCCUUCAGUUACUUGUCCAACACCCCAACCUGCUGGUAUUGGGAUUCACCGGCUAACCAAAUAAUCAGCAUACUUGUGUUCCCCCACAUCAGCAACUUCCCAGAAAUACAAAUCACACGAACCUUCCCUUUUCUACACGAAUCAAAUUGGAAGAUCAUCAACCAAACUAUUAAAAAUAUCAACAACUGAAAGCAGCAGAACAACACUUAAACAUAUUAUUACCCCAUGAUUCGGGCAUUUGUAGAAGACUCGGCCAGGGUUGAGGAUUGUGGUUGAGACGCGACGGAUGACUCUGCGUGAUUUGCAGCAGUGGCACCACACCAACGGCAGCGGGUUGCGAUGAGCAACCGGCUACGGUGCGUGUGCCGGUUUGGGUGUGAUGAGACCCACAGGCGAUGGUACGGGUGGCGACUUGGCGCAUAUCUGAUUGUUGCCUGCUAAAGAGCAGGUGGACGAGCAGCCAGCGGACAUGGUUGUUGCGGCCAGAGCUUCUGAUGCUAGGCAGAGUAAGUAAAGAAGAGGAGAAGCGAACGUUGGAUAUGUUAGUUUCAUUACUUGCAGAGUAGCAUAGCACCAUAUAUAGUCAUAGUCUAGGUUUGGAUUCGAACCAGCUACAGGAGCAUGUCUCUCUUUUUUCUAAAACUCAGCAACGUCUCUUUACUGGUACACUAGCUUGUUCUGUACGCCUUCUCAAGUCUUUGAUUUUCUUUCUUUUUUUGCGAGGAAGGAAGGAGGAAAAAAUUGAGAUUUCCUGGGACUCGAACCCAAGACCUCUCGGUUGAAAACCAAGGGUGCUAGUCACUUAUGUGGCGAAUGUUCCCUCGGAGGAGGACGACAGACGAACGCAUUUUCCUCGCAGUUUUAGUUGUGACGCAAGAUCGAAUGGUCACAGUUUCGGGAAUGUUAUCAGGCGAACGAGCCCAGUUUUUCUUUUCUUCCUAUAUAUAAAAAAGUAUGCUACUUGGUGUCAGCUUAGUCAACAAAUGAUUGUGCCAACCUUGACCGUUGGAUUGACAUUCAACGUCUGGCGUGUUUCUUCAGUCUCUUCUUCCUCCAGCCGCCAAAGCCAAACCAGCACCGGCUGGACCGCCUGCCUGCCUCCCAUGGCUGGUUGUGCUACUGCGCUGAUACGUCUCCGUCGUAUCUAUAAUUUUUGAUUGUUCCAUGCCAAUAUUCUACAACUUCCAUAUACCACCUGCUCCCGCCUCCCAGGGCUGGCUCUGUUGCCGCACGCAUCGUGGCCACAUCGCACCCUAAAACUCUGCGCCUCUUCCCCGGCUCCUAUUCGGUCCCGUCUGAGGCCUCACCAUCGUCCUCUGACUUGGUUCGCUCGCCGCGGCGCUGCCCUCCGGUGUUGUCAACAUGGUCAACAACGGAGAGGAAUAAGGAGAUGACUGCACAUGGUGAGGAUGACAGUAGGGACCCAGCAGCACGCACAAUAAUUUUGUUUUUUCAGGACGGAGAAGGGUAUCAACUGGGUUGUUCGGGAGCUAUGGCCCGUCUAGUACAUGACCAACCCAGUUUUUUUUCCUUUCUAAAAAUGGCUAGCCCAGCUAUUUUGUUUUUCGCAGAAUAACCAACGUAGGCCUACUUGUUUUUCUACGCCCUGCUGGGCCGGAAAUCUUUCAAGACGAGGAGGGAUGCAUUUUGCCCAGAAAAUGGGCUAUAAGUAAUAAGAAAUGGGCUAUAAGUAAUAUUAAAUGGGCUGUAAAAUGAAAAAAUACGCCAAACAGACAAUUAGUUCCAAAAUACUUUUUCCUUUCAGAUUUUGAUAUUUUGGAUUUCAUUGUUUUUGUGCUCGUAAAAUUUUAUUGCAUUUAAAUUAAGGUAUGUUUAGUUUUUAAAUUAAUUUGAAUCUGGCUAGAAAUUUCGAGCUGUAUGCUGUUUGGGACAGAUUUGGAGGCUGACUUGUGGGUCUACUAGGUUGACGUGUACGAAAGGCUUUGUCAACCUAGUCCACAAACGAUUCUAGUAGUAGUGACCGCUCGAUGUUAAUCCAACGGCCGUGUUGCUUCUUCAAUAUCUGAUCUUCUUGCUCCAGCCGCCCAAACCAGCGCCGGUGGGACUACCUGCUCCCGCCUCCCGUGGUUGGCUAUGCUGCCGCACAGGCCGCACCGCCCCACCCUACUGAAGGAAAUAUGCCCUAGAGGCAAUAAUAAAGUUAUUAUUUAUUUCCUUAUAUCAUGAUAAAUGUUUAUUAUUCAUGCUAGAAUUGUAUUAACCGGAAACAUAAUACAUGUGUGAAUAUAUAGACAAACAGAGUGUCACUAGUAUGCCUCUACUUGACUAGCUUGUUAAUCAAAGAUGGUUAUGUUUCCUAACCAUGAACAAGGAGUUGUUAUUUGAUUAACAAGAUCACAUCAUUAGUUGAAUGAUCUGAUUGACAUGACCCAUUCCGUUAGCUUAGCACCCGAUCGUUUAGUAUGUUGCUAUUGCUUCCUUCAUGACUUAUACAUGUUCCUAUGACUAUGAGAUUAUGCAACUCCCGUUUACCGGAGGAACACUUUCUGUGCUACCAAACGUCACAACGUAACUGGGUGAUUAUAAAGGUGCUCUACAGGUGUCUCCAAAGGUACUUGUUGAGUUGGCAUAUUUCGAGAUUAGGAUUUGUCACUCUGAAUGUCCGAGAGGUAUCUCUGUGUAACACCCUCGAUGCGGCUAUAUCUCCCACGUGUCGAAGCACGACUUAGAGGCAUAACCGCAUUGAAAGCAAUGUCGCAAGUGAGGUAAUCUUCACACAACCCAUGUAAUACAUAAGGGAAAGAGAUACAUAGCUGGCUUACAGUCGCCACUUCACACAAUACAUAAAUAAACAUCCAUCAUCCAGAAUACACUCAAGGUCCGGCUACGGAACCAAAAUAAAAGAAGACUACCCCAAAAGCUACAUAGAUCCCCGAUCAUCCCAACUGGGCUCCACUACUGAUCGUCUAGAAAUGAAACAUAGUAACGACCACGGUCCUCGUCAAACUCCCACUUGAGCUCGAUUGCGCCACUUGCGCUGGUAUCAUCGGUACCUGCAUCUGUUUUGGUAGAAUCUGUGAGUCACGGGGACUCAGCAAUCUCACACCCGCGAGAUCAAGACUAUUUAAGCUUAUAGGUAGGACAUAGUGGUGAGGUGGAGCUACAGCAAGCGACUAGCAUAUAGGGUGGCUACAUUCGCAAAAGAGAGCGAGAAGAGAAGCAAGGCACAGUCGUGAAGCUAGUAGUGAUCAAGAAGUGAUCCUAGAGCAACCUACGCCAAACAUAACUCCAACACCGUGUUCACUUCCCGGACUCCGCCGAGAAGAGACCAUCACGGUUACACACACGGUUGAUGUAUUUUAAUUAAGGUCAACUUCAGGUUUUCUACAACCGGACAUUAACAAAUUCCCAUCUGCCUCAUAACCGCGGGCACGGCUUUCAAAAGAUAGUACCCUGCAGGGGUGUCCCAACUUAACCCAUCAUAAGCUCUCACGGUCAACGAAGGAUAAACCUUCUCCCGGGAAGACCCGAUCAGUCUCGGAAUCCCGGUUCGCAUGACAUUUCGACAAUGGUAAAACAAGACCAGCAAAGCCUCCCGAAUGUGCCGACAAAUCCCGAUAGGAGCUGCACAUAUCUCGUUCUCAGGGCACACCGGAUGGGCAAGACGUCGGGUUGGUAUAGACCCUGGUUGCCCAGGGGACGCCGGACAUCGCCCAGGUUGGACCAGCAUUCGAAGGAACACCGGCCCGGGGGGGGGGGGUAAAUAAAGAUGACCCUCGGGCUCGCGAAAACCCAAGGGAAAAAGGCUUAGGUGGCAAAUGGUAAAACCAAGGUUGGGCCUUGCUGGAGGAGUUUUAUUCAAAGCGAACUGUCAUGGGGGUCCCAUAAAUCACCCAACCGCGUAAGGAAUGCAAAAUCAAGGAACAUAACACCGGUAUGACGGAAACUAGGGCGGCAAGAGUGGAACAAGACACCAGGCAUAAGGCCGAGCCUUCCACCCUUUACCAAGUAUAUAAGGUGCAUUAAAUAAACAGGAGAUAUUGUGAUAUCCCAGAGUAUCUGUGUUCCAACAAGGAACAACCUUCAUCUUCACCUGCAAAUAGCAACGCUAUAAGAGGGGCUGAGCAAAAGCGGUAACAUAGCCAAACAACGGUUUGCUAGGAAAGGAUGGUUAGAGGUUUGACAUGGCAAUAUGGGUGGCAUGAUAUAGCAAGUGGUAGGUAACGUAGCAUAGGCAUGGCAAAAGAGCGAGCAUCUAGCAAGCAAAGAUAGAAGUGAUAUCGAAGGUAUGGUCAUCUUGCCUGCAAGGUUCUCAGAGUUGUCGAAGGCUUGAUCCUCGUAGGCGUUCUCAACAGGUUCCUCGUUCACGUACUCGUCUCCCGGCUCUACCCAAAGCAAGAACACAAGCAAUGGAACCACAAUCAAACAUGGAGCAAUGCACAAGCAAUAUGAUGCAAUACAUCACAUGCUAUGCGAGAUGUGAUAUGCAAUGCAUAUGUGGGCUCCGGAAGGAAAAUGAUGAACAAGGCAUCAACUUGGCAAACCAAGUAUGCCGCUGGAAAGAUGAGAUGAUUUCGGUUGAAAUCGAUAUAAAGAUCACCGGAAUCGGAUGCACGGUUUGCAAAUGGCAAGCAAAACAAUAAUGGCACAAAUCUGCGAUUAACAGCAUGAUGCUACUUAGCAUGCAACAAGAAACUAUGCUACAGCACCCCAACAUACAAACAAAGCAUAUGGCAGUGAUCUACAGGAGAUGCUUAACAAAAGAGGAACACUGAGCUACGGCUAAAUCACAUCAUAACAGGCUCAAUCAAGCAUGGUGAAAGUGCAAAAAAAUCAGGUUCACAGACUUAGUGAAACCACUAAUAUGCCAGAAAUUAACAUCAGGAAGGCAUGUUUAGAGCAAGCAAGCAACAAGCUACAUGAACUUAUAAUAGCAAAACAAGACAUGGCAGGAAUCUACUCAAAGCAUAGAUCAAAAGUCUCUUACUGACCAUAAGCCAAAAAAGGACAAUAAGAAAUGAUGGCACCCAUGUAAACAUAGCAAGUUUCAUUACAGAUCUAAGACUUAGCAGAAAAACUGGACAUGGCAAAAAUAGAUAACAAGUAGGCAUGUUCGUGAGCUCGAUGCACUCACUACAGAGCAUCUUAUGAUAAACUAAGCAUACACCCAUCAAGAAGACACGGUAUAGAAGCUAUACAUGGCAAGAACAACAUCAUAUCAUACAAGGAUCAACUACAACAACCUUGUAGAAAUUGAAUAUCAUGUAAACAAUCUGCCAGGAAACAUUUUGUAGCAAAAGUAGAGCACGAAAAUGACAUGCUAGACUACUCCAUAAAUGCCAACAAAGGCAUGGAUGGAUAGAGCACAUCCAUAUGUUCAAAACACCCUUACUGAUCAUGCUCAAAAUGGGCAUAGAUCUCUCUGUAACAACAUGAACACAUGGCAUAAAAAUAACAGCAGGACAUGACUUAGUGAAAUUACCAAGUUCCUGAAAUCAGCAACAUUAUCAUCCCUAGUUUUCAUGCUUGUGCUAGUCACCACAGAGAUCACAAAAAUACAUGGCAUACACCCCUGUAAAGCUGGCAUGGCAUAGAUCAAAACAUAUGUAGGGCUCAAGUACAUAAGAUGCACACAUUAAUCAUGGCAAAAAUGACAAAAGUGCAUGUUCUGUUAAGAAACAAAAACUAACAUCACAUAGCCCUCUUCCAACAGCAUUUCGGGCAUCAAGAUGAGCUCAAAUGAAAAUGGUGCAGUGAGAUGAAAUGAUGUACUCAUCGAGACGAACAGAACGGCGGCGAGGCGGAGGCGCGACGGCAGAACGGCGGCGAGGCGGAGGCGGUCGGCGGCGGCGGCGGGCCGCGGGAGCGGGNNNNNNNNNNNNNNNNNNNNNNNNNNNNNNNNNNNNNNNNNNNNNNNNNNNNNNNNNNNNNNNNNNNNNNNNNNNNNNNNNNNNNNNNNNNNNNNNNNNNNNNNNNNNNNNNNNNNNNNNNNNNNNNNNNNNNNNNNNNNNNNNNNNNNNNNNNNNNNNNNNNNNNNNNNNNNNNNNNNNNNNNNNNNNNNNNNNNNNNNNNNNNNNNNNNNNNNNNNNNNNNNNNNNNNNNNNNNNNNNNNNNNNNNNNNNNNNNNNNNNNNNNNNNNNNNNNNNNNNNNNNNNNNNNNNNNNNNNNNNNNNNNNNNNNNNNNNNNNNNNNNNNNNNNNNNNNNNNNNNNNNNNNNNNNNNNNNNNNNNNNNNNNNNNNNNNNNNNNNNNNNNNNNNNNNNNNNNNNNNNNNNNNNNNNNNNNNNNNNNNNNNNNNNNNNNNNNNNNNNNNNNNNNNNNNNNNNNNNNNNNNNNNNNNNNNNNNNNNNNNNNNNNNNNNNNNNNNNNNNNNNNNNNNNNNNNNNNNNNNNNNNNNNNNNNNNNNNNNNNNNNNNNNNNNNNNNGAUGUGGGUGCGGGCUGCCCACGUGGCAGCCCCUGGUUGGCUGCGGGCGCGGCGGCGGAUGCGUCCGGCGCCGUCCGGACGGGUCCGGCGGCGGGGAGAGGAGCGGGGCUAGGGUUAGGGUGGAAAUGAUCCGGAAUUUCGGGAGGAGGGGUGUUUUUAUAGGUAGAGGGAGCUAGGAGGCUCCAAAUGGAGUGCGGUUUUCGCCCAUCCGAUCGUGAUCCGACGACGAAGAGCAUGGAAGUGACUUAGAUGAGUUAUUGGUCUGUUUUGGAGGGGUGUUGGGCUGCAACCCAAAAGAGGCCUUUGCGGUUACCCAGUUAACCGUUGGAGUAUCAAACGAGCUCCAAAUGACCCGAAACUUGACAGGUGGUCUAUUGGUGCUAUACCAGGCCCACUUGGCAAGGCUCGGUCCAUUCCGAGAACGUUCAACACCCGCACACGAAAAAAACAACAAGAGGGGUGCACCGGUGCAUGUGGGAGUGUCAGAAUGCAAAACGGACAACGGGGAAAAUGCUCGGAAGCAUGAGACGAACACGUAUGCAAAUGAGAUGCACAUGAUGACAUGAUAUGAGAUGCAUGACAUGAACAAAAUGAAAAAUGAAGAAAAACCCAAUCACGGAGGGAAUAUCAUAUCACAAUGCCGAAAAUGGCAAGAGUUGGAGUUACAAAUAUGGAAAGUUACAUCCGGGGUGUUACACUCUGGGCCCUCUCGGUAAUGCACAUCACUUAAGCCUUGCAAGCAUUGCAACUAAUGAGUUAGUUGCGAGAUGAUGUAUUACGGAACGAGUAAAGAGACUUGCCAGUAACGAGAUUGAACUAGGUAUUGGAUACCGACGAUCGAAUCUCGGGCAAGUAACAUACCGAUGACAAAGGGAACAACGUAUAUUAUUAUGCGGUCUGACCGAUAAAGAUCUUCGUAGAAUAUGUAGGAAUCAAUAUGGGCAUCCAGGUCCCGCUAUUGGUUAUUGACCGGAGACUUGUCUCGGUCAUGUCUACAUUGUUCUCGAACCGUAGGGUCCGCACGCUUAAGGUUUCGAUGACAGUUAUAUUAUGAGUUUAUGAGUUUUGAUGUACCGAAGGAGUUCGGAGUCUCGGAUGAGAUCGGGGACAUGACGAGGAGUCUCGAAAUGGUUGAGGCGUAAAGAUCGAUAUAUUGGACGACUAUAUUCGGAGUUCAGAAAGGUUCCGAGUGAUUCGGGUAUUUUUUGGAGUACCGGAGAGUUACGGGAAUUCGCCGGGGAGAAGUAUUGGGCCUUAUUGGGCCAUACGGGAAAGAGAGAGGGGCUGCCUAGGGCAGGCCGCGCGCCCCCCCAUGGCCUAGUCCGAAUUGGACUAGGGGGAGGGGCCGCACCCCCUCCUUCCUUCCCUUCUCUCUUCCCCUUCCUUGUCUCCUACUCCUAAUACUUGGAAGGACUCCUAGUUGGACUAGGAAAGGGGGAAUCCUACUCCCGGUGGGAGUAGGACUCCCCUAGGGCGCGCCAUAGAGAGGGCCGGCCCUCCCCUCCUCCACUCCUUUAUAUACGGGGGCAGAGGGCACCCCAUAGACACACAAGUUGAUCAUCGUGAUCGUUCCUUAGCCGUGUGCGGUGCCCCCCUCCACGAUAUUACACCUCGGUCAUAUUGUAGCGGUGCUUAGGCGAAGCCCUGCGACAGUUGAACAUCAAGAUCGUCACCACGCCGUCGUGCUGACGGAACUCCUCCCCGUACCUCUGCUGGAUCGGAGUUCGGGGUGCGUCAUCGAGCUGUACGUGUGUCAAGAACUCGGAGGUGCCGGAGUAACGGUGCUUGGAUCGGUUGGACCGGGAAGACGUACGACUACUUCCUCUACGUUGCGUCAACGCUUCCGCUUCGGUCUACGAGGGUACGUAGACAACACUCUCCCCUCUCGUUGCUAUGCAUCACCAUGAUCUUGCGUGUGCGUAGGAUUUUUUUUGAAAUCACUACGUUCCCCAACAGUAGUAUCCGAGCCAGGUUUUAUGGUUUGAUGUUAUAUGCACGAGUAGAACACAAGUGAGUUGUGGGCGAUAUAAGUCAUACUGCUUACCAGCAUGUCAUACUUUGGUUCGGUGGUAUUGUUGGAUGAAGCGGCCCGGACCGACAUUACGCGUACGCUUACGCGAGACUGGUUUUACCGCCGUGCUUUGCACACAGGUGACUAGCGGGUGUCAGUUUCUCCAACUUUAGUUGAACCGAGUAUGGCUACGCCCGGUCCUUGCGAAGGUUAAAACAACAUCAACUUGACAAACUAUCGUUGUGGUUUUGAUGCGUAGGUGAGAUUGGUUCUUGCUUAAAGCCCGUAGCAGCCACGUAAAACUUGCAACAACAAAGUAGAGGACGUCUAACUUGUUUUUGCAGGGCAUGUUGUGAUGUGAUAUGGCCAAGACGUGAUGCUAUAUUUUAUUGUAUGAGAUGAUCAUGUUUUGUAACCGAAGUUAUCGGCAACUGGCAGGAGCCAUAUGGUUGUUGCUUUAUUGUAUGAAAUGCAAACGCCCUGUAAUUGCUUUACUUUAUCACUAAGCGGUAGCGAUAGUCGUAGAAGCAAUAGAUGGCGUAAACGACAACGAUGCUACGAUGGAGAUCAAGGUGUCGCGCCGGUGACAAUGGUGAUCAUGAUGGUGCUUCGGAGAUGGAGAUCACAAGCAAAAGAUGAUGAUGGCCAUAUCAUAUCACUUAUAUUGAUUGCAUGUGAUGUUUAUCUAUUAUACAUCUUAUUCUUGCUUUGAUUGACGGUAGCAUUUUAAGAUGAUCUCUCACUAAUUAUCAAGAAGUGUUCUCCCUGAGUAUGCACCGUUGCCAAAGUUCGUCGUGCCCAGACACCACGUGAUGAUCGGGUGUGAUAAGCUCUACGUCCAUCUACAAUGGGUGCAAGCCAGUUUUGCACACGCGGAAUACUCAGGUUAAACUUGACGAGCCUAGCAUAUGCAGAUAUGGCCUCGGAGCACGGAGACCGAAAGGUCAAGCGUGAAUCAUAUAGUAGAUAUGAUCAACAUAGUGAUGUUCACCAUUGAAAACUACUCCAUCUCACGUGAUGAUCGGUUAUGGUUUAGUUGAUUUGGAUCACGUGAUCACUUAGAUGACUAGAGAGAUGUCUGUCUAAGUGGGAGUUCUUAAGUAAUAUGAUUAAUUGAACUUAAAUUUAUCAUGAACUUAGUCCUGGUAGUAUUUUGCAAAUUAUGUUGUAAGAUCAAUAGCUUGCAUUGUUGCUUCCAUAUGUUUAUUUUGAUAUGUUCCUAGAGAAAAUUGUGUUGAAAAAUGUUAGUAGCAAUGAUGCGGAUUGGAUCCGUGAUCUGAGGUUUAUCCUCAUUGCUGCAUAGAAGAAUUAUGUCCUUAAUGCACCACUAGGUGACAGACCUAUUGCAGGAGCAGAUGCAGACGUUAUGAACAUUUGGCUAGCUCAAUAUGAUGACUACUUGAUAGUUUUGUGCACCAUGCUUUAUGGUUUAGAAUCGGGACUUCAAAGAUGUUUUGAACAUCAUGGACCAUAUGAGAUGUUCCAGGAAUUGAAGUUAAUAUUUCAAGCAAAUACCCAAGUUGAGAGAUAUGAAGUCUCCAACAAGUUCUAUAGCUAAAAGAUGGAGGAGAAUCGCUCAACUAGUGAGCAUGUGCUCAGAUUGUCUGGGUACUACAAUCGCUUGAACCAAGUGGGAGUUAAUCUUCCAGAUAAGAUAGUGAUUGACAUAAUUCUCUAGUCACCAUCACCAAGUUAAUAGAACUUCGUGAUGAACUAUAGUAUGCAAGGGAUGAUGAAAAUGAUUCCCGAGUUUUUCAUGAUGAUGAAAUCGAUGAAGGUAGAUCAAGAAAGAACAUCAAGUGUUGAUGGUUAACAAGACCACUAGUUUCAAGAAAAGGGCAAAAGGAUAGAAGGGAACUUCAAAAGAACGGCAAGCAAGUUGCUGCUCAAGUGAAGAAGCCCAAGUCUGGACCUAAGCCUGAGACUAAGUGCUUCUACUGCAAAGGGACUGGUCACUGAAAGCAGAACUACCCCAAGUAUUUGGCGGAUAAGAAGGAUGGCAAAGUGAACAAAGGUAUAUUUGAUAUACAUGUUAUUGAUGUGUACUUCACUAGUGUUUAUGGCAACCCCUCGGUAUUUGGUACUGGUUCAGUUGCUAAGAGUAGUAACUCGAAACAGGAGUAGCAGAAUAAACAGAAACUAGUUAAGGGUGAAGUGACGAUGUGUGUUGAAAGUAGUUUCAAGAUUGAUAUGAUCAUCAUCGCACACUCCCUAUACUUUCGGGAUUAGUGUUGAACCUAAAUAAAUGUUAUUUGGUGUUUGCGUUGAGCAUGAAUAUGAUUUGAUCAUGUUUAUUGCAAUACGGUUAUUCAUUUAAGUAAGAGAAUAAACUAUUGUUCUGUUUACAUGAAUAAAACCUUAUAUGGUUACACAUCCAACGAAAAUGGUUCACUGGAUCUUGAUCGUAGUGAUACACAUAUUCAUAAUAUUGAAACCAAAAGAUGCAAAGUUAAUAAUGAUAGUGCAACUUAUUUGUGGCACUGCCGUUUAGGUCAUAUUGGUGUAAAGCGCAUGAAGAAACUCCAUGCUGAUGGGAUUUUGGAAUCACUUGAUUAUGAACCACUUGAUACUUGCGAACCAUGCCUCAUGGGCAAGAUGACUAAGACUCCGUUCUCCGGAACAGUGGAGCGAGCAACUGACUUAUUGGAAAUAAUACAUACUGAUGUAUGCGAUCCGAUGAGUGUUAAGGCUCGCGGCGGGUAUCGUUAUUUUCUGACCUUCACAGAUGAUUUGAGCAGAUAUGGGUAUAUCUACUUGAUGAAACAUAAGUCUGAAACAUUUGAAAAGUUCAAAGAAUUUCAGAGUGAAGUGGAAAAAAUCAUCGUAACAAGAAAAAUAAAGUUUCUACGAUCUGAUCGCGGAGACAAACAUUUGAGUUACGAGUUUGGUCUUCAAUUAAAACAAUGUGGAAUAGUUUCACAAAUUCAUGCCACCUGGAACACCACAUCAUAAUGGUGUGUCCGAACGUCAUAACCGUACUUUAUUGGAGAUAGUACAAUCUAUGAUGUUUCUUACCGAUUUACCAAUGUCGUUUUGGGAUCAUGCAUUAGAGACAACUGCAUUCACGUUAAAUAGGGCACCAUCUAAAUCCGUUGAGACGACACUAUAUGAACUAUGAUUUAGCAAGAAACCAAAGUUGUCGUUUCUUAAAGUUUGGGGCUGCGAUGCUUAUGUGAAAAGUUUCAUCCUGAUAAGCUCAAACCCAAAUCGGAGAAGUGCGUCUUCAUAGAAUACCCAAAGGAAAUUGUUGGGUACACCUUCUAUCACAGAUCCGAAGGCAAGAUAUUCGUUGCUAAAAAUGGAUCCUUUCUAGAGAAGGAGUUUCUCUCGAAAGAAGUGAGUGGGAGGAAAGUAGAACUUGAUGAGGUAACUGUACCUUCUGCCGAAUUGGAAAAUAGUUCAUCACUGAAAUCAGUUCCAGUGAUUCCUAUACCAAUUAGUGAGGAAGCUAAUGAUGAUGAUCAUGAAACUUCAGAUCAAGUUACUAUAGAACCUCGUAGGUAUUCCAGAGUACGGUCCGCACCAGAGUGAUACGGUAAUCCUGUUCUGGAAGUCAUGUUACUAGACCAUAAUGAACCUACGAACUAUGAAGAAGCGAUGGUGAGCCCAAAUUCCGCAAAAUGGCUUGAGGCCAUGAAAUCUGAGAUGGGAUCCAUGUAUGAGAACAAAGUGUGGACUUUGGUGGAUUUUCCCGAUGAUCAGCAAGCCAUAGAAAAUAAAUGGAUCUUCAAGAGGAAGACGGACGCUGAUAGUAGUGUUACUAUCUACAAAGCUAGACUUGUCGAAAAAGGUUUUUGACAAAGUUCAAGAUGUUGAAUACAAUGAGAUUUUCUCACUCGUAUCGAUGCUUAAAAGUCUGUCCGAAUCAUGUUAGCAAUUGCCACAUUUUUUUUGAAAUCUGGCAAAAGGAUGUCAAAACUGCAUUUCUUAAUGGAUUUAUUAAAGAAGAGUUGUAUAUGAUGCAACCAGAAGGUUUUGUCAAUCCUAAAGGUGCUAACAAAAUGUGCAAGCUCCAGCGAUCCAUCUAUGGACUGGUGCAAGCAUCUUGGAGUUGGAAUAUACGCUUUGAUAAGUUGAUCAAAGCAUAUAGUUUAUAUAGACUUGAAGUGAAGCCUGUAUUUACUAGAAAGUGAGUGGGAGCACUACAGCAUUUCUGAUAAGUAUAUGUGAAUGACAUAUUGUAGAUCAGAAAUAAUGUAGAAUUAUUCUGCAAAGCAUAAAGGAAUGUUUGAAAGGAGUUUUUCAAGGAAAGACCUCGGUGAAGUUGCUUACAUAUUGAGCAUCAAGAUCUAUAGAGAUAGAUCAAGACGCUUGAUAAGUUUUUUUUCAAUGAUUACAUACCUUGACAAGUUUUUGAAGUAGUUCAAAAUGGAACAGUCAAAGAAAGAGUUCUUGCCUGUAUUACAAGGUGUGAAAUUGAGUAAGACUCAAAACCCGACCACGGCAGAAGAUAGAAAGAGAAUGAAAGUCAUUCCCUAUGCCUUGGCCAUAGGUUCUAUAAAGUAUGCCAUGAUGUGUACCAGAUCUAUUGUAUACCCUACACUGAGUUUGGCAAGGGAGUACAAUAGUGAUCUAGGAGUAGAUCACUGGACAACGGUCAAAAUUAUCCUUAGUGGAAUAAGGAUAUGUUUCUCGAUUAUGGAAGUGACAAAAAGGUUCGUCGUAAAGGGUUACGUCGAUGCAAGUUUUGACACCGAUCUGGAUGACUCUAAGUCUCAAUCUAGAUACAUAUUGAAAGUGGGAGCAAUUAGCUAGAGUAGCUCCGUGCAGAGCAUUGUAGACAUAGAAAAUUGCAAAAUACAUAACGGAUCUGAAUGUGAAAGACCCGUUGACUAAGAUUCUCUCACAAGCAAAACAUGAUCACACCUUAGUACUCUUUGGGUGUUAAUCACAUAGCGAUGUGAACUAGAUUACUGAAUCUAGUAAACCCUUUGGGUAUUGGUCACAUGGCGAUGUGAACUAUGGGUGUUAAUCACAUGAUGAUGUGAACUAUCGAUGUUAAUCACAUUGUGAUGUGAUCUAGAUUAUUGACUCUAGUGCAAGUGGGAGACUGAAGGAAAUAUGCCCUAGAGGCAAUAAUAAAGUUAUUAUUUAUUUCCUUAUAUCAUGAUAAAUGUUUAUUAUUCAUGCUAGAAUUGUAUUAACCGGAAACAUAAUACAUGUGUGAAUAUAUAGACAAACAGAGUGUCACUAGUAUGCCUCUACUUGACUAGCUUGUUAAUCAAAGAUGGUUAUGUUUCCUAACCAUGAACAAGGAGUUGUUAUUUGAUUAACAAGAUCACAUCAUUAGUUGAAUGAUCUGAUUGACAUGACCCAUUCCGUUAGCUUAGCACCCGAUCGUUUAGUAUGUUGCUAUUGCUUCCUUCAUGACUUAUACAUGUUCCUAUGACUAUGAGAUUAUGCAACUCCCGUUUACCGGAGGAACACUUUGUGUGCUACCAAACGUCACAACGUAACUGGGUGAUUAUAAAGGUGCUCUACAGGUGUCUCCAAAGGUACUUGUUGAGUUAGCAUAUUUUGAGAUUAGGAUUUGUCACUCCGAAUGUCGGAGAGGUAUCUCUGGGCCCUCUCGGUAAUGCACAUCACUUAAGCCUUGCAAGCAUUGCAACUAAUGAGUUAGUUGCGAGAUGAUGUAUUACAGAACGAGUAAAGAGACUUGCCAGUAACGAGACUGAACUAGGUAUUGGAUACCGACGAUCGAAUCUCGGGCAAGUAACAUACCGAUGACAAAGGGAACAACGUAUAUUAUUAUGCGGUCUGACCGAUAAAGAUCUUCGUAGAAUAUGUAGGAAUCGAUAUGGGCAUCCAGGUCCCGCUAUUGGUUAUUUACCGGAGACUUGUCUCGGUCAUGUCUACAUUGUUCUCGAACCGUAGGGUCCGCACGCUUAAGGUUUUGAUGACAGUUAUAUUAUGAGUUUAUGAGUUUUGAUGUACCGAAGGAGUUCGGAGUCUCGGAUGAGAUCGGGGACAUGACGAGGAGUCUCGAAAUGGUUGAGACAUAAAGAUCGAUAUAUUGGACGACUAUAUUCGGAGUUCGGAAAGGUUCCGAGUGAUUCGGGUAUUUUUUGGAGUACCGAAGAGUUACGGGAAUUCGCCAGGGAGAAGUAUUGGGCCAUACGGGAAAGAGAGAGGGGCUGCCUAGGGCAGGCCGCGCCCCCCCCCCCAUGGCCUAGUCCGAAUUGGACUAGGGGGAGGGGCCGCACCCCCUCCUUGCUUCCCUUCUCUCUUCGCCUUCCUUGUCUCCUACUCCUAAUACUUGGAAGGACUCCUAGUUGGACUAGGAAAGGGGGAAUCCUACUCCCGGUGGGAGUAGGACUCCCCUAGGGCGCGCCAUAGAGAGGGCCGGCCCUCCCCUCCUCCACUCCUUUAUAUACGGGGGCAGGGGCACCCCAUAGACACACAAGUUGAUCAUCGUGAUCGUUCCUUAGCCGUGUGCGGUGCCCCCCUCCACGAUAUUACACCUUGGUCAUAUUGUAGCGGUGCUUAGGCGAAGCCCUGCGACAGUUGAACAUCAAGAUCGUCACCACGCCAUCGUGCUGACGGAACUCCUCCCCGUACCUCUGCUGGAUCGGAGUUCGGGGUGCGUCAUCGAGCUGUACGUGUGUCAAGAACUCGGAGGUGCCGGAGUAACGGUGCUUGGAUCGGUUGGACCGGGAAGACGUACGACUACUUCCUCUAUGUUGCGUCAACGCUUCCGCUUCGGUCUACGAGGGUACAUAGACAACACUCUCCCCUCUCGUUGCUAUGCAUCACCAUGAUCUUGCGUGUGCGUAGGAAAUUUUUUGAAAAUUACGUUCCCCAACACCUACUCCAUUGCUGGCCAGGCCAUUCCUCUACUCACCCACACCUCCUGUUAUUUUCUGGCGAUGGCAGCCGGACCAGUAAACCCUCGUACUCCCCACCGCGUGGGCAACCACUGCCGAGUCUUCCCCGGCUCCGUGUCAUUCCCUUCCUAGGCCUCGCCGUCGUCCACUGCCCUGGUGCUCUCGGCGCGUCGUGGUCAACGUGGUCAACGAACGACAUCCAUCGGACGUGGACUGUACGUGGAGAGGCUGACAGCUGGGUCCACGGCCGCACACAAGGAAAUGCCUCCUUAUUACGCGCAAAAUAAUGAUUCCUCCACCUGACAUCUGGGACCCACCAGAAGGGCCUCUGUAUUUCACGAAAAAAAUGUUCCCGCCGCUGACAGGUUGGACCCACCAGCUAUACCUUCGCACGCAAGGAAGUGCCUCCUUAUUACACACAAAAAAUGAAUACUCCCCCUGCUAGCUGGGACCCAGCAUAGUGGGAGGCUGACAUGUGGGCCUACUAAGUUGAUGGGGACGGAGGGCUUUGUCAACUUAGUCAAUAUGAACGAUUCUAGCUCUAGUGACCGUAUGAUGUCCAUCCAACGGCCGUAGUGCUUCUUCAACCUCUGGCCUUCUUGCUCCAGCCGCCCAAAGCAGUGUCGGUCGUGCCGCCUGCUCCUGCCUCCUGUGGCCGGCUGUGCUACCACGGAGGCCUCACUCCCCCCUACUACUCCCACCGCUGGCCAGGCCCUCCGGCGACGGUAGCCUCACACCGCAGCCGAACCAGUGAACCCUCGUACUCCUCUCCGCCUGGGCAUCCACUACCGCAUCUUCCCCGGCUCCGUGUCAUCCCCUUCCUAGGCCUCGCCGUCAUCCACCGCCUUGGUGCUCUCGGCGCGGCGUGGUCAAUGUGGUCAACGAACGACUUCCAUUGGAAGAGUACUGUACGUGGAGAGGCUGACAGCUGGGUGCACGGCCGCAGCAAGGAAGUGCCUCCUUAUUACGCGCAAAAUAAUGAUUCCUCCACCUGACAGCAGGGACCCACCAAACGGGCCACCGUAUUUCAUGAAAAAAAUGUUUCCCCCUGACUGCUGGGACCCACCAGCUACAUCUUCGCACGCAAGUAAGUGCGUCCAUAUUACGGGCAAAAAAAUGAUUCGCCCCUGACUGCUGGGACCCACCAGCUACAUCUUCGCACACAAGGAAGUGCCUGACAGUCGGGACCCACCUGGUCGAAGCGUACGUAGCGUUGUCAUUCUCGUCGCAAACGUGUACGUACAUACUGGUCGAUGUAGAGGCACACACGUGUCAUAGUAGAGGCGUGCACGUAUCAUAGUAGAGGCGCACACGUAGCAUGUACACGUACGUACAAUGGCCAGGGUGCAAGAAAGUAAAUACGGCCACGUACGUAUAUAUGGGCGGGGUCUCAAACGCCUACUCGCGCAUACUUAUGGCCAGGGCUCGUGUACAUGGCUGGGUCAGAAUGGAGAAACUGCGUCGUCGUCGUGUUCAUGGGGAGGCAGUGGAAUGCGUCGUGUUCAUCGGGAGGCAACGGAACGUGUGCUGUUCAUUGGGAGCCAACCAGCUUGGACGGAACAGCCGAUGGAAACGAGGUCUGGCGUACCGCAGAACGGAGGAAACGGCUUUGUGUUCGACCGGCCACGGUCGAAACGGUAUCCUGUUCAUCGGGAGGGGUCUGGCGUACCGCAAAAUGGUUGAAACGGACUUCUGUUGGACCUCCUACGGUCGAAACAGGGUCCUGUUGACCGGGAGGGGUGUGGCGUACCGCAAAACGGAGGAAACGGACUUGUGUUGGAGCGCUACGGUCGAAACAGGGGUCCUGUUCAUCGGGAGGGGUGUGGCGUACCGCAAAACGGGACACCAUGGGAUACUGUUCAUCUUCACCGUCGACCUCCUCCAGCCUCCACGGGCUACUGUUCAUCCACCGUCGACCUCCUCCAGCCUCCACCUGCGACUGUUCAUCCACGGGCUCCUAUUCAUCCAGCCUCCACCGCGCGCUCCUCCACUGGCUACUGUUCAACCAGUCCUCUCCACGGGGUCCUGUUCAACCACCCCUCCACGGGCUACUGUUCAACCAGCCCUCCACGGGGUCCUGUUCAACCAGUCCUCUAGGGGGUCCUGUUCAUUCACCCCUCCACGGGGUCCUGUUCAUCCAGCCCCCAACCGGCUCGAUCGAUCGGGGUCCUGUUCAUCUAGCGGCAACACCACGGGGUACUGUUCAUCCAACCCCCCAUCGGGAACUGUUCAUCCAAACCCCCCAACAACGCUCACUGUUUAUCCAGAGGCAGCAGUGACCGGCUUCAGUUAGCAGCAGUAGUGAAGGAAUCACUCGGGUGCAGUUAACAGCAAGGGAUCUAUCGAUCGCUCGGGUUCAGUAACGCGUAGCCUGCAGUGCAAUCGCUUGGGUUCAAUUAGAGCCCAACGCCUUGCUCGGGUUCAGUUAGAGCCUAACGCCUCGCACACACGUGCGUACGUACGAGAGAAACGUGCAUCGCUCAGCCCGCGACCACCCACUGUAACCUGGAACUCCCCGAUAUAUUCCUCUCCCUUGCUUCUACCACGGUUUUUUCCGUCAUGGACGGCCCAAAGAAUGUCAUUUAGCUGCGUCUCCCUCCCGCCCAGGAGGAAAAGCUCAUUUUCUGUCAUGACUUUUUUAUCAGAGAAGUAGGAGCCCACCACAUCUAUGAUGAUACCAGGUUUUGUCACAAUUAUCUGAAGAAAAUAUUCCCUAGAGGCAAUAAUAAAGUUGUUGUUUAUAUUUCCUUAUAUCAUGAUAAAUGUUUAUUAUUCAUGCUAGAAUUGUAUUAAUCGGAAACUUAGUACAUGUGUGAAUACAUAGACAAACAAAGUGUCACUAGUAUGCCUCUACUUGACUAGCUCAUUAAUCAAAGAUGGUUAAGUUUCCUAGACAUAGACAUGAGUUGUCAUUUGAUGAACGGGAUCACAUCAUUAGGGAAUGAUGUGAUUGACUUGACCCAUUCUAUUAGCUUAGCACUUGAUCGUUUAGUAUGUUGCUAUUGCUCUCUUCAUGACUUAUACAUGUUCCUAUGACUAUGAGAUUAUGCAACUCCCGAAUACCGGAGGAACACUUUGUGUGCUACCAAACGUCACAACGUAACUGGGUGAUUAUAAAGGUGCUCUACAGGUGUCUCCGAUGGUGUUUGCUGAGUUGGCAUAGAUCGAGAUUAGGAUUUGUCACUCCGAUUGUUGGAGAGUAUAUCUGGGCCCUCUCGGUAAUGCACAUCACUAUAAGCCUUGCAAGCAAUGUGACUAAUGAGUUAGUUGUAGGAUGAUGCAUUAUGGAACGAGUAAAGAGACUUGCCGGUAACGAGAUUGAACUAGGUAUUGAGAUACCGACGAUCGAAUCUCGGGCAAGUAACAUACCGAUGACAAAGGGAACAACGUAUGUUAUUAAGGGUUUAACCGAUAAAGAUCUUCGUAGAAUAUGUGGGAGCCAAUAUGAGCAUCUAGGUUCCGCUAUUGGUUAUUGACCAGAGACGUGUCUCGGUCAUGGCUACAUAGUUCUCAAACCCAUAGGGUCCGCACGCUUAACGUUCAGUGACGAUCGGUAUUAUGAGUUUUUGUGUUUUGAUGUACCGAAGGUAGUUCGGAGUCCCGGAUAUGAUCACGGACAUGACGAGGAGUCUCCAAAUGGUCGAGACAUAAAGAUCGACAUAUUGGACGACUAUAUUUGGACAUCGGAAUGGUUCCGAGUGAGAUCAGGCAUUUACCGGAGUACCGGGAGGUUACCGGUACCCCCCCGGGAGGUAUAUGGGCCUUAUUGGGCCUUAGUGGGAGAGAGGGGAAAGGAGCAAAGGAGGGGGCACCCCCCAAGCCCAAUCCGAAUUGGGAGGGCCCCCCCUUUCCUUCCUCCUUCCUCCCCCUUCCUUCUCUCCUAAUCCAACUAGGGGAAGGGGGAAUCCUAGUCCCGGUGGGAGUAGGACUCCCCUUGGGGCGCGCCUAGGAGGCCGGCCUCCUCCCCCUCCUCCACUCCUUUAUAUACGGGGGAGGGGGGCACCCCAUAGACACACAAGUUGAUCAUUGAUCUCUUAGCCGUGUGGGUGCCCCCCUCCACCAUAAUCCACCUCGGUCAUAUCGUUCCAGUGCAUAGGCGAAGCCCUGCGCCAGUAGCUUCAUCAUCACAGUCAUCACGCCGUCGUGCUGAUGAAACUCUCCCACGACACUCUGCUGGAUCGUGAGUUCGUGGGACGCCAUCGAGCUGAACGUGUGCUAAACUCGGAGGUGUCGUGCGUUCGGUACUUGGAUCGGUCGGAUCGUGAAGACGUACGACUAGAUCAACCGUGUUGAUAAAACGCUUCUGCUUAUACGGUCUACGAGGGUACGUGGACUAUACUCUCCCGCUCGUUGCUAUGCAUCACCAUGAUCUUGCGUGUGCGUAGGACUUUUUUUUUGAAAUUACUAUGUUCCCCAACAUUUGCAUCCGAGCCAGGUUUAUGCAUAGAUGUUAUAUUCAUGAGUAGAACACAAGUGAGUUGUGGGCGAUACUAGUAAUACUGCUUACCAGCAUGUCAUAUUUGAUUCGGCGGUAUUGUUGGAUGUAGCGGCCCGGACUAACAUUAUGCGUACGCUUACGCGAGACUGGUUCUAUCGACGUGCUUCACACACAGGUGGCUGGCGGGUGUCAGUUUCUCCAACUUUAGUUGAAUCGAGUGUGGCUACGCCUUGUCCUGGUUUAAGGUUAAAACAUCACAUACUUGACUAAAUAUCAUUGUGGUUUUGAUGCGUAGGUAAGAACGGUUCUUGCUUAGCCCGUAGCAGCCAAAUAAAACUUGCAACAACAAAGUAGAGGACGUCUAACUUGUUUUUGCAGGGCAUGUUGUGAUGUGAUAUGGUCAAGACAUGAUGCUAAAUUUUAUUGUAUGAGAUGAUCAUGUUUUGUAACGCAGUUAUCGGCAACUGGCAGGAGCCAUAUGGUUGUCGCUUUGUAGUAUGCAAUGCAAUCGCCCUGUAAUUGUUUUUACUUUAUCACUAAGCGGUAGCGAUAGUUGUAGAAACAAUAGUUGGUGAGACGACAACGAUGCUACGAUGGACAUCAAGGUGUCACGCCGGUGAUGAUGGUGAUCAUGACGGUGCUUUGAAGAUGGAGAUCAAAGGCACAAGAUGAUGAUGGUCAUAUCAUAUCACUUAUAUUGAUUGCAUGUGAUGUUUAUAUUUUGUGCAUCUUAUUUUGCUUUGAUUGACGGUAGCAUUAUAAGAUGAUAUGUCACUAAAUUUCAAGUUACAAGUGUUCUCCCUGAGUAUGCACUGUUGAGAAAGUUCGUCGUGCCGAGACACCACGUGAUGAUCGGGUGUGAUAAGCUCUACAUUCACAUACAACGGGUGCAAGCCAGUUUUGCACACGCAGAAUACUCGGGUUAAACUUGAUGAGCCUAGCAUAUGCAGAUAUGGCCUCGGAACACUGAGACCGAAAGGUCGAGCGUGAAUCAUAUAGUAGUUAUGAUCAACAUAGUGAUGUUCACCAUUGAAAACUACUCCAUCUCACGUGAUGAUCGGACAUGGUUUAGUUGAUUUGGAUCACGUGAUCACUUAGAUGAUUAGAGGGAUGUCUAUCUAAGUGGGAGUUCUUAAGUAAUAUGAUUAAUUGAACUUUAGUUGAUCAUGAACUUAGUACCUCAUAGUAUUUUGCAUGUCUAUGUUGUUUGUAGAUCAAUGGCCCAUGCUACUAUUCCUUUGAAUUUUAAUGUGUUCCUUGAGAAAGCUAAGUUGAAAGAUGAUGGUACCAAUUACACGGACUGGGUCUGUAACUUGAGGAUUAUCCUCAUUGCUGCACAGAAGAAUUACAUCCUGGAAGCACCGCUGGGUGCCAGGCCUGCUGCUGAUGCUACUGAUGACGUUAAGAACGUCUAGCAGAGCAAAACUGAUGACUACUCAAUAGUUCAGUGUGCCAUGCUUUACGGCUUAGAAUCGGGACUUCAAUAAGGGACAUAUGAGAUGUAGAGUUGAAGUUAAUAUUUCAACCAAUUGUCCGGAUUGAGAGAUAUGAAGUCUCCAAUAAGUUCUACAGCUGCAAGAUGGAGGAGAAUAGUUCUAUCAGUGAACAUAUACUCAAAAUGUCUGGGUAUAACAAUCAAUUGAUUCAACUAGGAGUUAAUCUUCCUGAUGAUAGUGUCAUUGACAGAAUUCUUCAAUCACUGCCACCAAGCUAUAAGAGCUUCAUGAUGAACUAUAACAUGCAAGGGAUGGAUAAGACAAUUCAUGAGCUCUUCGCAAUGCUAAAGGCUGCGGAGGUAGAAAUCAAGAAGGAGUAUCAAGUGUUGAUGGUCAACAAGACCACCAGUUUCAAGAAAAAGGGUAAAGGAAAGAAGGGGAACUUCAAGAAGAAUGGAAAACAAGUUACUGCUCAAGUGAAGAAGCCCAAGUCUGGACCUAAGCCUUAGACUGGGUGCUUCUACUGCAAAGGGACUGGUCACUGGAAGUGGAACUUCCCCAAGUAUUUGGCGGAUAAGAAGGAUGGCAAGGUGAAGAAAGGUAUAUGUGAUAUACAUGUUAUUAAUGUGUACCUUACUAAUGCCUGCAGUAGCACUUGGGUAUUUGAUACUGGUUCUGUUGCUAAUAUUUGCAACUCGAAACAGGGACUACGGAUUAAGCGAAGAUUGGCUAAGGACGAGGUGACGAUGCGCGUGGGAAAUGGUUCCAAAGUCGAUGUGAUCAUCGUCGGCAUGCUACCUCUACAUCUACCUUCGAGAUUAGUUUUAGACCUGAAUAAUUGUUAUUUGGUGCCAGCGUUGAGCAUGAACAUUAUAUCUGGAUCUUGUUUGAUGCGAGACGGUUAUUCAUUUAAAUCUGAGAAUAAUGGUUGUUCUAUUUAUAUGAGUAAUAUCUUUUAUGGUCAUGCACCCUUGAAGAGUGGUCUAUUUUUGUUGAAUCUCGAUAGUAGUGAUGCACAUAUUCAUAAUAUUGAAGCCAAAAGAUGCAGAGUUGAUAAUGAUAGUGCAACUUAUUUGUGGCUCUGCCAUUUGGGUCAUAUUGGUGUAAAGUGCAUGAAGAAACUCCAUUCUGAUGGACUUUUGGAAUCACUUGAUUAUGAAUCACUUGGUACUUACGAACCAUGCCUCAUGGGUAAGAUGACUAAAACUCUGUUCUCCGGAACAAUGGAGCGAGCAACAGAUUUAUUGGAAAUCAUACAUACUGAUGUAUGUGGUCCGAUGAAUAUUGAAGCUCGUGGUGGGUGUCGGUGUCAAAACCGGCGGAUUUCGGGUAGGGGGUCCUGAUCUGUGUGUCAAGGCCGAUGGUAACAAGAAGCAAGGGACACAGAUGUUUACCCAGGUUCGGGCCCUCUCGAUGGAGGUAAAACCCUACUUCCUGCUUGAUUAAAAAAUAUUAAAAGAUAUAUAUUGAUGAUAUGGGUAGUACAAGAGUAGAUCUACCACGAGAUCGCAGAGGCUAAACCCUAAGAGCUAGCCUAUGAUGGUAUGAUUGUAAUUGUGAUCGGCCUUCUAAGGACCAACUGUUGGGGAAUGUUGCAGAAAAUAAAAAAUUUCUACGCUUCACCAAGAUCAAUCUAUGGAUUCAUCUAGCAACGAUAUAGAGGAGUGCAUCUACAUACCCUUGUCGAUCGCGCGGAAGCGUUCAAGAGAACGGGGUUGAGGGAGUCGUACUCGUCGUGAUCCAAAUCACCGAUGAUCCUAGUGCCGAACGGACGGCACCUCCGCGUUCAACAUUGGGAAGACGUCUCCUCCUUCUUGAUCCAGCAAGGGGAAGGGAGAGGUUGAUGGAGAUCCAGCAGCACGACGGCGUGGUGGUGGAAGUAGCAGCGAUCUCGGCAGGGCUUUGCCAAGCUCUACGAGAGGGAGAGGUGUUGUAGAGGGAGAGGGAGGCGCCAGGGACUAUGGUGCGGCUGCCCUCCCUCCCUCCUCUUUAUAUAGGGGCCAGGGGGGUGCCGCCCCCCUACAGAUUGGAUCUCAAGGGGGCGGCAACGGCCAAGGGGGGGGGGUGGCUUGCCCCCCAAGCCAAGUGGGGCGCCCCCACCCCUAGGGUUUCCAACCCUAGGCGCAGGGGGAGGCCAAAGGGGGGCGCACCAGCCCACCAGGGGCUGGUUACCCUCCCACUUCAGCCCAUGGGUCCCUCCGGGAUAGGUGGCCCCACCCGGUGGACCCCCGGAACCCUUCCGAUGGUCCCGGUACAAUACCGGUGACCCCCAAAACUUUCCCGAUGGCCGAAACUGGACUUCCUAUAUAUAAUUGGGACAAUUACAUUUGAGCCCCUAGUUGUGUCACACCCGUGUGUUUUGCCCCUAAAUUCAAAAAACCCUCGUUUCUGCCCGAGCUCGUUUGCUCUUCUUAUGCUUUUGCCCUUUGACCGUUUGACCGUAACUUUGAAAACUUCAUAACAUAUUCAUACUAACUCAGAAAAAUGCAUAUAAGAUAUCAAAAUGUUCGGAAAAACAUCACAUGUAUGUGCAUGUCAUUUUCAUUCAUGACAAAAAGUGUAUUCAUGACAAAAGACAUCAUAUGAUCUCAAACUGAGAUAGGGACUUUUCAACACUUUUGUCAUGAAUGCAAAUGACAUGCACAUAUAGGUGAUGUUUUUCCGAUCAUUUUGAUAUCUUAUUUGCAUUUUUUUGAGUUAGUAUGAAUUCGUUAUGAAGUUUUCAAAGUUGCGGUCAAACGGUCAAACGGCAAAAGCAUAAGAUGAGUAAACGAGCUUGGACAGAAAUGAGGUUUUUUUGAAUUUAGGGGCAAAACACACGGGUGUGACACAACUAGGGGCUCAAAUGUAAUUAUCCCUAUAUAAUUCUUCACCUCCGGACCAUUUCGGAACUCCUCGUGACGUCCGGGAUCUCAUCCGGGACUCCGAACAACUUUCUGGUUACCGCAUACUAGCAUCUCUACAACCCUAGCGUCACUGAACCUUAAGUGUGCAGACCCUACGGGUUCGGGAGACAUGCAGACAUGACCGAGACGACUCUCCGGCCAAUAACCAACAGCAGGAUUUGGAUACCCAUGUUGGAUCCCACAUGCUCCUCGAUGAUCUCAUCAGAUGAACCACGCUGUCAAGGAUUCAAGUAAUCCCAUAUACAAUUCCCUUUGUCAAUCAGUACGUUACUUGCCCGAGAUUCGAUCGUCGGUAUACCAAUACCUCAUUCAAUCUCGUUACCGGCAAGUCACUUUACUCGUACCGUAAUGCAUGAUCCCGUGACCAACCGCUUAGUCACUUUGAGCUCAUUAUGAUGAUGCAUUACUGAGUGGGCCCAGAGAUACCUCUCCGUGAUAAGGAGUGACAAAUCCCAGUCUCGAUCAGUGUCAACCAACAGACACUUUUGGAGAUACCUGUAGUAUACAUUUAUAGUCACCCAGUUACGUUGUGAUGUUUGGUACACCCAAAGCACUCCUAUGGUAUCCGGAAGUUACACGAUCUCAUGGUCUAAGGAAAUGAUACUUGACAUUGGAAAAGCUCUAGCAAACGAACUACACGAUCUUAUGCUAUGCUUAGGAUUGGGUCUUGUCCAUCACAUCAUUCUUCCAAUGAUGUGAUCCCGUUAUCAAUGACAUUCAAUGUCCAUGGUCAAGAAACCGUUACCAUCUAUUGAUAAACGAGCUAGUCAACUAGAGGCUCACUAGGGACAUGUUGUGGUCUAUGUAUUCAUACAUGUAUUACGAUUUCCAGAUAACACAAUUAUAGCAUGAAUAAAAGACAAUUAUCAUGAACGAGGAAAUAUAAUAAUAACCAUUUUAUUAUUGCCUCUAGGGCAUAUUUCCAACAGUCUCCUGCUUGCACUAGAGUCAAUAAUCUAGUUACAUUGUGAUGAAUCGAACACCCAUAGAGUUCUGGUGUUGAUCAUGUUUUGCUCGCGGAAGAGGUUUAGUCAACGGAUCUGCGACAUUCAGAUCCGUAUGCACUUUGCAAAUAUCUAUGUCUCCAUCUUGAACAUUUUCACGAAUGGAGUUGAAGUGACGCUUGAUGUGCCUGGUCUUCUUGUGAAACCUGGGCUCCUUGGCAAGGGCAAUAGCUCCAGUGUUGUCACAGAAGAGUGUUAUCGGCCCCGACGCAUUAGGUAUGACUCCUAGGUCGGUGAUGAACUCCUUCAUCCAUAUUGCUUCAUGCGCUGCCUCCGAGGCUGCCAUGUACUUUGCUUCACAUGUAGAUCCCGCCACCACACUUUGCUUGCAACUGCACCGGCUUACUGCCCCACCAUUCAAAAUAUACACGUAUCCGGUUUGUGACUUAGAGUCAUCCAGAUCUAUAUCGAAGCUAGCGUCGACAUAACCCUUUAUGACGAGCUCUUCGUCACCUCCAUAUACGAGAAACAUAUCCUUAAUCCUUUUCAGGUACUUCAGGAUAUUCUUGACCGCUGUCCAGUGUUCCAUGCCGGGAUUACUUUGGUACCUUCCUACCAAACUUACGGCAAGGUUUACAUCAGGUCUGGUACACAGCAUGGCAUACAUGAUAGACCCUAUGGCUGAGGCAUAGGGGACGACACUCAUCUUUUCUCUAUCUUCUGUCGUGGUCGGACAUUGAGCCGAGCUCAAUUUCACAGCUUGCAACACAGGCAAGAACCCCUUCUUGGACUGGUCCAUAUUGAACUUCUUCAAUAUCUUAUCAAGGUAUGUGCUUUGUGAAAGUCCUAUGAGGCGUCUCGAUCUAUCUCUAUAGAUCUUGAUGCCUAAUAUGUAAGCAGCUUCUCCAAGGUCCUUCAUUGAAAAACACUUAUUCAAGUAGGCCUUAAUGCUGUCCAAAAGUUAUAUAUCAUUUCCCAUCAAAAGUAUGUCAUCCACAUAUAAUAUGAGAAAUGCUACAGAGCUCCCACUCACUUUCUUGUAAACGCAGGCUUCUCCAUAAGUCUGCAUAAACCCAAACGCUUUGAUCAUUUCAUUAGAGCAAAUGUUCCAAGUCCGAGAUGCUUGCACCAGCCCAUAGAUGGAGCGCUGGAGCUUGCAUACCUUGUUAGCAUUUUUAGGAUCGACAAAACCCUCCGGCUGCAUCAUAUACAGUUCUUCCUUAAGAUGACCGUUAAGGAAUGCCGUUUUGACGUCCAUUUGCCAUAUCUCAUAAUCAUAGUAUGCGGCAAUUGCUAACAUGAUUUGGACGGACUUCAGCUUCGCUACGGGAGAGAAAGUCUCAUCGUAGUCAACCCCUUGAACUUGUCGAUAACCCUUAGGGACAAGUCGAGCUUUAUAGAUGGUAACAUUACCAUCCGCAUCCGUCUUCUUCUUAAAGAUCCAUUUGUUUUCUAUCGCUCGCCGAUCAUCGGGCAAGUCUGUCAAAGUCCAUACUUUGUUUUCAUACAUGGAUCCUAUCUCGGAUUGCAUGGCUUCAAGCCAUUUGUUGGAGUCUGGGCCCGCCAUGGCUUCUUCAUAGUUCGAAGGUUCACCGUUGUCUAACAACAUGAUUUCCAGGACAGGGUUGCCAUACCACUCUGGUGUGGAACGUGUCCUCGUGGACCUACAAAGUUCAGUAGUAACUUGAUCCGAAGUACCUUGAUCAUCAUCAUUAGUUUCCUCUCUAGUCAGUGCAGGCACCACAGGAACAUCUUCCUGAGCUGCGCUACUUUCAAGAGGUAGUACUUCAUCAAGUUCCACUUUCCUCCCACUUAGUUCUUUCGAGAGAAACUCUUUCUCCAGAAAGGACCCGUUCUUGGCAACAAAGAUCUUGCCUUCGGAUCUGAGGUAGAAGGUAUACCCAAUGGUUUCCUUAGGGUAUCCUAUGAAGACGCAUUUCUCCGACUUGGGUUCGAGCUUUUCAGGUUGAAGUUUCUUGACAUAAGCAUCGCAUCCCUAAACUUUUAGAAACGACAGCUUAGGUUUCUUCCCAAACCAUAGUUCAUACGGUGUCGUCUCAACGGAUUUAGACGGUGCCCUAUUUAAAGUGAAUGUAGUUGUCUCUAGAGCGUAUCCCCAAAAUGAUAGCGGUAAAUCGGUGAGUGACAUCAUGGAUCGCACCAUAUCCAAUAGAGUGCGAUUACGACGUUCGGACACACCAUUACGCUGAGGUGUUCCAGGCGGCGUGAGUUGUGAAACGAUUCCACAUUUCCUUAAGUGUGUACCAAAUUCAUGACUUAAAUAUUCUCCUCCACGAUCUGAUGGUAAGAACUUUAUCUUUCGGUCACGUUGAUUCUCUACCUCAUUCUGAAAUUCCUUGAACUUUUCAAAGGUUUCAGACUUGUGUUUCAUCAAGUAGAUAUACCCAUAUCUACUCAAGUCGUCAGUGAGAGUGAGAACAUAACAAUAUCCUCCGCGAGCCUCAACGCUCAUUGGACCACACACAUCAGUAUGUAUGAUUUCCAAUAAGUUGGUUGCUCGCUCCAUUGUUCCGGAGAACGGAUUCUUGGUCAUUUUGCCCAUAAGGCAUGGUUCGCACGUGUCAAAUGAUUCGUAAUCAAGAGACUCCAAAAGUCCAUCAGCAUGGAGCUUCUUCAUGCGUUUGACACCAAUGUGACCAAGGCGGCAGUGCCACAAGUAUGUGGGACUAUCGUUAUCAACUUUACAUCUUUUGGUAUUCACAUUAUGAAUAUGUGUAACAUCACGUUCGAGAUUCAUUAAGAAUAAACCCCAUUGACCAGCGGGGCAUGACCAUAAAAUAUAUCUCUCAUAUAAAUAGAACAACCAUUAUUCUCGGAUUUAAAUGAGUCGCCAUCUUGCAUUAAACGAGAUCCAGAUACAAUGUUCAUGCUCAAAGCUGGCACUAAAUAACAAUUGAGGUUUAAAACUAAUCACGUAGGUAAAUGUAGAGGUAGCGUGCCGACGGCGAUCACAUCGACCUUGGAACCAUUCCCGAUGCGCAUCGUCACCUCGUCCUUCGCCAGUCUCCGCUUAUUCCGCAGCUCCUGUUUUGAGUUACAAAUAUGAGCAACCGCACCGGUAUCAAAUACCCAGGAGCUACUACGAGUACUGGUAAGGUACACAUCAAUUACAUGUAUAUCACAUAUACCUUUAGUGUUGCCGGCCUUCUUGUCCGCUAAGUAUUUGGGGCAGUUUCGCUCCCAGUGUCCCUUUCCCUUGCAAUAAAAGCACUCAGUCUCGGGCUUGGGUCCAUUCUUUGGCUUCUUCCCGGCAGCUGGCUUACCGGGCGCGGCAACUCCCUUGCCGUCCUUCUUGAAGUUCUUCUUACCCUUGCCUUUCUUGAAACUAGUGGUUUUAUUGACCAUCAACACUUGAUGUUCCUUUUUGAUUUCCACCUCUGCUGAUUUCAGCAUUGAAAAUACUUCAGCAAUAGUGUUCACCAUCCCCUACAUAUUGUAGUUCAUCACAAAGCUCUUGUAGCUAGGUGGGAGUGACUGAAGGAUUCUGUCAAUGACCUCCUCGUCCGGGAGGUUAAUCUCCAGCUAGGACAAGCAGUUGUGCAACCCAGACAUUUUGAGUAUGUGCUCACUGACAGAACUAUUUUCCUCCAUCUUACAACUGUAGAACCUGUCAGAGACUUCAUAUCUCUCGACCCAGGCAUGAGCUCGGAAAACCAUUUUCAGCUCUUCGAACAUCUCAUAUGCUCUGUGUUGCUCAAAACGCUUUUGGAGCCCCGGUUCUAAGCUGUAAAGCAUGCCGCACUGAAUGAGAGAGUAAUCAUCAGGACGUGACUGCCAAGCGUUCAUAACGUCUUGGUUCUCUGGGAUGGGUGCUUCACCUAGUGGUCCUUCUAGGACAUAUGCUUUCUUGGCAGCUAUGAGGAUGAUCCUCAGGUUCCGGACCCAGUCCGAAUAGUUGCUGCCAUCAUCUUUCAGCUUAGUUUUCUCUAGGAACGCGUUCAAGUUAAGGUUGACAUGAGCGUUGGCCAUUUGAUCUACAAGACAUUUUGCAAAGGUUUUUAGACUAAGUUCAUGAUAAUUAAGUUCAUCCAAUCAAAUUAUUUAAUGAACUCCCACUCAGAUUAGACAUCCCUCUAGUCAUCUAAGUGAUACAUGAUCCGACUCAACUAGACCGUGUCCGAUCAUCAUGUGAGACGGACUAGUCAUCAUCGGUGAACAUCUCCAUGUUGAUUGUAUCUUCCAUAUGACUCAUGUUCGACCUUUCGGUAUCUUGUGUUCCGAGGCCAUGUCUGUACAUGCUAGGCUCAUCAAGUCAACCUAAGUGUUUUGCAUGUGUAAUUCUGUCUUACACCCGUUUUAUGUGAACAUUAGAAUCUAUCACACCCGAUCAUCACGUGGCGCUUUGAAACAACGAACUUUCGCAAUGGCGCACAGUUAGGUGGAACACUUUCUUGAAAUUAUUAUAAGGGAUCAUCUUAUUUACUACUGUCGUACUAAGCAAAUAAGAAGCAAAACAUGAUAAACAUCACAUGCAAUCAAAUAGUGACAUGAUAUGGCCAAUAUCAUAUUGCUCCUUUGAUCUGCAUCUUUGGGGCGCCAUGAUCAUCUUCGUCACCAGCACGACACCAUGAUCUCCAUCAUCGUGUCUUCAUGAAGUUGUCACGCCAACGAUUACUUCUACUUCUAUGGCUAACGUGUUUAGCAAUAAAGUAAAGUAAUUUACAUGGCAUUAUUCAAUGACACGCAGGUCAUACAAAAAAUAAAGACAACUCCUAUGGCUCCUGCCGGUUGUCAUACUCAUCGACGUGCAAGUCGUGAUUCCUAUUACAAGAACAUGAUCAAUCUCAUACAUCACAUAUAUUUCAUUCAUCACAUCCUUUUGGCCAUAUCACAUCACAAGUCAUAUGCUACAAAAACAAGUUAGACGUCCUCUAAUUGUUGUUGCAUGUUUUUACGUGGCUUCUAUAGGUUUCUAGCCAGAACGUUUCUUACCUACGUAAAACCACAACAUGAUAUGCCAAUUUCUAUUUACCCUUCAUAAGGACCCUUUUCAUCGAAUCCACUCCAACUAAAGUGGGAGAGACAGACACCCGCUAGCCACCUUAUGCAACUAGUGCAUGUCAGUCGGUGGAACCUGUCUCACGUAAGCGUACGUGUAAGGUCGGUCCGGGCUGCUUCAUCCCACGAUGCCGCCGAAGCAAGAUAAGACUAGUAGUGGCAAGAAAAUUGACAACAUCUACGCCCACAACAAGUUUGUGUUCUACUCGUGCAUAGAAACUACGCAUAGACCUAGCUCAUGAUGGCAUUGUUGGGGAACGUUGCAAAAAAUAAAAAAUUUCUAUGCUUCACCAAGAUCAAUCUAUGGAUUCAUCUAGCAACGAGAUAGAGGAGUGCAUCUACAUACCCUUGUAGAUCACGCGGAAGCGUUCAAGAGAACCGGGUUGAGGGAGUCGUACUCGUCGUGAUCCAAAUCACCGAUGAUCCUAGUGCCGAACGGACGUCACCUCCGCGUUCAACACACGUACAUUUGGGAAGACGUCUCCUCCUUCUUGAUCCUGCAAGGGGAAGGGAGAGGUUGAUGGAGAUCCAGAAGCACGACGGCGUGGUGGUGGAAGUAGCAGCGAUCUCGGCAGGGCUUCGCCAAGCUCUACGAGAGGGAGAGGUGUUGCAGAGGGAGAGGGAGGUGCCAGGGACUAGGGUGCGGCUGCCCUCCCUCCCCCCUCUUUAUAUAGGGGCCAGGGGGCGCCGGCCCCCUAGAGACUGGAUCUCAAGGGAGGGGGGCAGCGGCCAAGGGGGGUGGCUUGCCCCCCAAGCCAAGUGGGGCGCCCCCACCCCUAGGGUUUCCAACCCUAGGAGCAGGGGGAGGCCCAAGGGGGGCGCACCAGCCCACCAGGGGCUGGUUCCCCUCCCACUUCAGCCCAUGGGGCCCUCCGGGAUAGGUGGCCCCACCCGGUAGACCCCCGGGACCCUUCCAGUGGUCCCGGUACAAUACUGGUGACCCCCGAAACUUUCCCGAUGGCCGAAACUGGACUUCCUAUAUAUAAUUCUUCACCUCUGGACCAUUCCGGAACUCCUCGUUACGUCCGGGAUCUCAUCCGGGACUCUGAACAACUUUCGGUUACCGCAUACUAGCAUCUCUACAACCCUAGCGUCACUGAACGUUAAGUGUGUAGACCCUACGGGUUCGGGAGACAUGCAGACAUGACCGAGACGACUCUCUGGCCAAUAACCAAUAGCGGGAUCUGGAUACCCAUGUUGGCUCCCACAUGCUCCUCGAUGAUCUCAUCGGAUGAACCACGAUGUCAAGGAUUCAAGUAAUCCCGUAUACAAUUCCCUUUGUCAAUCGGUACGUUACUUGCCCGAGAUUCGAUCGUCGGUAUACCAAUACCUUGUUCAAUCUCAUUACCGGCAAGUCACUUUACUCGUACCAUAAUGCAUGAUCCCGUGACCAACCGCUUAGUCACUUUGAGCUCAUUAUGAUGAUGCAUUACCGAGUGGGCCCAGAGAUACCUCUCCGUCAUACGGAGUGACAAAUCCCAGUCUCAAUCCGUGUCAACCCAACAGACACUUUCAGAGAUACCUGUAGUAUACCUUUAUAGUCACCCAGUUACGUUGUGACGUUUGGUACACCCAAAGCACUCCUACGGUAUCCGGGAGUUACACGAUCUCAUGGUCUAAGGAAAUGAUACUUGACAUUGGAAAAGCUCUAGCAAAUGAACUACACGAUCUUGUGCUAUGCUUAGGACUGGGUCUUGUCCAUCACAUCAUUCUUCCAAUGAUGUGAUCCCGUUAUCAAUGACAUCCAAUGUCCAUGGUCAGGAAACCAUGACCAUCUAUUGAUAAACAAGCUAGUCAACUAGAGGCUCACUAGGGACAUGUUGUGGUCUAUGUAUUCACACAUGUAUUACGAUUUCCGGAUAACACAAUUAUAGCAUGAAUAAAAGACAAUUAUCAUGAACGAGGAAAUAUAAUAAUAACCAUUUUAUUAUUGCCUCUAGGGCAUAUUUCCAACACCAACCUCUCCAGUUUAUAUAGACACCGGAGAGGGCUAGGGUUUACAUGGAGUCGGUUACAAGGAAGGAAACACAAUAUCUGGAUCGCCAAGCUUGACUUCCACGCAAAGGAGAGUCCCAUCUGGACACAGACCGAAGUCUUGAGUCUUGUAUCUUCACACUUCAAUAGUCCGGACGUUGCACAUAGUACGGCUGUCCGGAUACCCCCUAAUCCAGGACUCCCUCAGUAGCCCCUGAACCAGGCUUUAAUGACGAUGAGUCCGGCGCGCAGUAUUGUCUUCGGCAUUGCAAGGCGGGUUCCUUCUCCGAGUACUCCAAAGUAAUUAUCGAACACGUAGAGCGUGUCUGGAUCUGCAAGAUGAUCUUCACGUGGCAUAAAUAUGAUCUGCUGGCAAUCUUCGUGCGUCGUGCCCAUGCAUCAUGGCCUGGUCCAAUGCGAACCAGCGUUUCUUACCCCACAAUGACUCGUGUUACGAGGCAGUUUUAUUGGCAUGUCCUGUCGAGGCAGAGAUCGUGUUCCUCUUAUUACGGGAUUUUCCAUUAAUAUGGGCGUGUGUGACCCCACGACGGCCGUUGGUACAACUCCCUGUGUUUUUAGAUAAGCCUCAAACGGUCACAUCGAGGACUCUUGAUAUUCACCCUCUUUAUAAAGGGGUCGAGGCCUAUGCCUCUUUUCCACCUUCCUCGCGCCUUCUCGUACCUCAAGUUCUAACACCCGAAACCCAAGCUUCGACACCCCAGAUCCUCCAAUAUGUCCGGAUCCGCCCCUUAGGGCCGAUGGGUGGCCUCCUCAAUUCAAUAGGAAGACAUUGCGAGGCUUAGGGAGGUCAGAUACCUGACCGCCGAUAUUCAGCACAGGCUUCCUGCUCCAGGGCAAGUCAUCGCCACACCGGAGCCCAAUGAGUGCGUCGUUUUUGUCCCACACUUCCUCUGCGGCUUGGGCUUCACCCUCGACCCCUUUGUGAGGGGGCUCAUGUUCUAUUAUGGGUUGGAUUUUCAUGAUCUGGCUCCAGACGCCAUCCUCCAUAUCUCGUCGUUCAUCAUCGUGUGCGAGGCUUUUCUCCAUGUCACCCCACACUUCGGCUUAUGGCUUAAGACCUUCAGUGUGAAGCCGAAGAUGAUCGAGGGGCGACAUGCGGAGUGCGGAGGCGCCAUAAUAAGCAGGAACGCCGAUGCCCCAUGGCCAGAGGGUUCUUUCCCGGAAGUAUCCAAUGUAUGGCAACGGAGGUGGUUUUAUGUCACGGCUCCCAGAGGCACGAAGUGGGUGGCUGCUCCCGAGUUCCGCUCGGGCCCCCUGUCACAGCUAGCGUCUUGGAGCGACAUAGGGCGGAAUUGGGGGCCCGCUGGUGAUGUACCAGUACUGCAGAAUCACAUCCGGGAGCUCCUUGAGAGGGACAUUAAUCUUGUCAGCAUAAUGCAAGUGAUGCUAAUCCGACGGAUGUUGCCGUGCCAACGCUGGCCUCUCCGGAUGUGGGAGUUCAAUCCGGAGGGUCCGCGGACUGUCAAUCACUUCUUCGACUUGAAGCCCGAGGAGAUGUGCAAAUUAUUCUUCGGACAGAAAGUAGAGUGUCCGGACACCACCGAGGAUGCGGGCCUAAGCUGCAAUCGCCUAGAUACCCAAGUAAGUAAUCUUGAUAUCGGACACCUUGUUUUGAGUUUGUCAUAGUUGUUUAUUUUGAAAAUCAUCCGUGGCCAGGAAUGGCUCAGCAAGGUGGAGAGAAUCAGCUGUCCGGCGCCACUUCCCGAAGGUUUGCCUGGUCCCACCGUGGCCAAGAUGCUUGACUGGGUACUCAGCAGGAUGCCCUCGGGGAAAGACAAGGGGAAGAAUGAAGAAACCGAACCCCACACACUACGCAUCUGAACCUGGGGAAUUGUUACCUCCCCUAAGGAGGAUAGUCGGGAAAGGGAGGCUAAGGCCUCCUCCCCGCGCGGGAGGAAGAGGGCUGCCUCCGAAGACAUGGAGGCGGAGAUGCCCAAACCAGGGAAAAAGACAUCCCCGGGGGACCUUGCCCUGACGGGCACCCUCACCGCAUCAUGCCCUCCAACGGGCCAGCCCUCCAUCGAGCUGUAAGUCAAUUUACAAUCCGAAGGUACUGUGUUUAUCCUAGAUCAAUAACCAGGAUUCAACUUUUUGCAGUCCGGCCAGCAGCUUUUCUCAACAGGGUUCGUCUUCGGGGGACCUUCCUCAGGAGAUGAUGGAAAGUGAGACCCCACCCGCCUCUCUGACUCAUGAAACGGGCGACACCGAGGUGUCGUCACGGAGGAGUCCGGAUCCGCUGAAGCCGGAAGCCAAUACGUCAGCCGCCCUGAGUCAGGAGCAUUUGGCUCACACGAGGGGCGAUGGGAAGGGUCCAGCGCAGUUCAAUGUCCGGCCGGACGUACUAACGGGCUUACUGGAGCGAGCUGCGCUCUCGGAGGAGCACCGCUCGUUAAUGAGCGCGGUGCUCAAGAAGAUUUCAUCCGCUACAAGCGGUUUGGAUGAAGCAUUCACAAGCCUUCUCAGAGGCUUUGAGGUAUGAAAUGAAGACUACACUAUUUCUUUGGCUGUGAAGCACGCGCUAGGUGUGCUCCAUAUAGAUAGUAGCCCCUGAGACUCUGGUUGCCCGCCCUAGGCAGCAAACGGGGGAUCAUAAACCAAUGAUUGUGCUGUAAAUAUGUGCAUGUACCUAUGGGUCCGGACACCGGCCAAUCCGUUGAAGUUGUCGAACUAACGAGGCAAAUUGGGUCGAUUGAUGCCGAUAUCACACUGGUGAAUGAGCGGCUGGACAUAUCACAAGGUAUGUGUCAUGCCUUCCCUUGUAUAGGAAAAUAUGAAGGUGGCAUGAUAUUGAUGUAAUAUGUUUGGACUGCAGAUGGUGCUGCUGCCGUGAAGGCCCUGAGGGCAGAACUUGCUCAAGCCAAGGAACAAGCUCGGGUGAGCAAUGUGGCUGCCUAAAGUCGGCCGAGGAAUUGAGGGCCGAACAGGCUGCUCAUCGCCGAAGCAAGGAAAAGAUAGCCAAAAUGGCUAUUGAGUUAAAAAAUGCCGCUGACCGGUAUGAGCUCCUUAAAAAGGAACAUGAGGAUAAUUCGGCUGAACUGAACAAGGCACUGAACGCCACCAAGGAAAUCCGGACCAAGCUCAGGGGGGCGCGGGAGGAGCUUCGACAGGCCGGUGAAAUCGCGGCUGGGGGCUCCUAUUUGCUGCGGACAAAUUUUUUUGAUCUGAAGUACGCUCCCCUGGAUGGACGCUGGAGUCCUGCGGAUGCGUAUGUGGAUUUGGCGAAGAGUACGGCUGACGCUGCCGACUUCUUCAAAGGUCAAGGUGACAAGGAAGUGGAGAAGCUUUUCUGGUCGCAAUUCCAUGCUCCCACUCGCCCGCUGCCGUUAAGUGACAAGAUGGCUGCUGUAGCGGAGCUUCACAGGCUGCUCAUCACCGAAGCAAGGAAAAGAUAGCCAAAAUGGCUAUUGAGUUAAAAAAUGCCGCUGACCGGUAUGAGCUCCUUAAAAAGGAACAUGAGGAUAAUUCGGCUGAACUGAACAAGGCACUGAACGCCACCAAGGAAAUCCGGACCAAGCUCAGGGGGGCGCGGGAGGAGCUUCGACAGGCCGGUGAAAUCGCGGCUGGGGGCUCCUAUUUGCUGCGGACGAAUUUUUUUGAUCUGAAGUACGCUCCCCUGGAUGGACGCUGGAGUCCUGCGGAUGCGUAUGUGGAUUUGGCGAAGAGUACGGCUGACGCUGCCGACUUCUUCAAAGGUCAAGGUGACAAGGAAGUGGAGAAGCUUUUCUGGUCGCAAUUCCAUGCUCCCACUCGCCCGCUGCCGUUAAGUGACAAGAUGGCUGCUGUAGCGGAGCUUCACAGGCUGUCCGGGCAUGCAAUGCGGUCUGUAAUAGACCAUCUUUGGCCAAAGGGGCCUAAGCCAGACAGUUACUUUGGUUUGAUGCAACAGUUCCUUGGGGCCGUGCCUCGGAUUGAUGCCAUGAGGAGGUCGGCAUGUAUAGAGGGUGCACAGAUGGCUCUUGCCCGCGUUAAAGCCUAUUGGGCGGAUAUGGAUGCCACCAUUAUAGCGUCCCAGGAUCCGGUGGGGGGCCAAUAUCUGGCCGAGCACUACUUGGCAUAGGUCACAGAGGGUGCCCGCCUGAUAGAGGCGCAGUGCUCGAAGAAUGUUUUAUUCGAGUGAUGAGUCGAAUUAUUGUAAAAACAAUGUUUAUUUUGAUUAUAAGGCUAUAUUUAUCCUAAAAAUAUGAUUGUAUCCCCUGUGUGGCCGUUUAUAUAUAUAUAUAUAUAUAUAUAUAUAUAUAUAUACAUAUACGUGUGUGUGUGUAAUCCGAAAGUUAGCAGUCGUUGGCUUCAGCCCCCACGCAUAUAAUGCGGGGGUGUUCGUGAAAAAUGUGCUUAAUCACACUUGUUCCAACGUCUUGGUCCAUUAAGGAGGUGAUCCCACGUCGAACUAGGCAACCGGACUAUAUAGUUGUAACACUUUCGCUUAGCCACGGGAGUUUAACAUUGGGGCUACUAUGUAGCCCCUGGUACCCUCACGUGCAUCCGAAUACGGGCGCGUGUGUACAUGGCCGAGAAAUGGCCCUUCAUUAAUGCGGAGGAAUCCAAAAGAUUCUGAUGAGUCCUUGAGUGGUUGAACAGUCUCUUGUUGCAUCAUGACAGUCAGUUUUCGGCUUUCUCUACUGAGGUGCUCGUCCGGAAAAACCAGGGCACAAUCGCAGUAGUUCUCCUUUGGCCACCUUAGCCGAUAAUAACGGAACAUAAGGCGGCAAACCCAGGAGCCGGGCAAACCCAACAUUUUACCAAAGACAUGAUUCGGAGCUGAUGCAUAUAAGGCCUAACUCGUGACGCCGAACACUCCCGAAGGUAUUCGGACUUCAUAAUAGAUGAUGGGCUCAAGAAUGCCUAUUCAUUAUAAACCCUGUGUUUCCAGGUAUGUGCAUUAAUCUGUCGUGGCGAAAUGCCAAAACGGCAGUAUCCUCUAUGGGUAUGGAACCCAUGGGAUGGUUAAACAACAAGAGGCAAUAGAAAAGGUUUACACAUGGGCUUAAUCUAAAAAGAAACUUGUUGAACGGGGCCCUGUUGCACGUCUGCGCCUUUGUCUCCGUUAUGCCGUAUCCUGUAAGGGUAUCGCGCAAACGUUGUAUGUGGAAAAAGAAAACUCAUAGUAGGUUACAACGUUAGUACGCGAUGGAUAGUAAAAGUGUAAGCUGUUGGCCUGCCAAUAAGGUUGAGCCAAGUGUGGGGCUUUAUUAGGUAGUUAUAGCCCCUGGUAUCCACUAUAGGAUUACAUAUAAGGUGCCCUAGUUCGAUCUGGGCUACCGGACUCGUCUAACCGUGUCCAUGGUCUUAACGACCGGUCAUAUUUUUUUUGAUGUUGGAGGUCGCUUAUAGUCCGGCCACGAGGGCCGUCGCAUGUUCCUCUGCGCGUGACGAGCGCUCUGUUAUUCCGCUGACGGCGAUGACGCCACGUGGACCGGACAUCUUAAGUGUAAGGUAUCCAUAGUGCGGCAAUGCGUUGAAGCGGGCGAAGGCCAUUCUUCCGAGCACUGCGUGAUAGUCGCUUUGGAAGGGUGCGAUGAUGAAGAGUAGUUCUUCGCUUCUAGAGUUGCCUGGAGAGCCGAAUGUUACCUCCAGUAUGACGAAGCCCCUGCUGUAGGCUUCGACGCCUGGUAUCACCCCUUCAAAGGUGGUGUUGCUUUGGCUGAUUCUGGAUGGGUUUAUCCCCUUCCUGCGGACAGUGUCCUCGUAUAUUAAAUUGAGACUACUGCCGCCGUCCAUGAGGACCCGGGUGAGACGGUAUCCCUCGAUCAUUGGGUCAAGCACCAAGGCCUCUGAUCCGCCGCGCCGAAUACUAAUCCGGCUGUCCAAGUGAUUGAAAGUGAUCGGAUAAGACAUCCAGUAGUUAGGUGUGGGUAUGAUGGGCUCUAUAUCGUGCACGUCUCUAUGCACGCGUUCGUGCCCUCUCAUGGAUGUGUGAGUCGUGUGGAUCAUGUUUACUGUUUGAACCUCUGGCGGGAAUUUUUUUCUGUCCCGCAGUGUUCAGCUAGCGAGGUUCAUCCUCGUCCUCACUUGGUGUUUUCCUUCCCUUGUGUUCGACAUUCAAUUUGCCGGCCUGCUUGAAGACCCAACACUCUCUGUGCGUGUGGUUUGCAGGCUUGUCAGGGGUGCCAUGGAUUUGGCACAAUCUGUCUAGGACUCUAUUCAGUCCGGACGGUCCCUCUUUACUGCCUUUAGAUGGCUUAUUUUGCUGAUUAGGUCGAGAGCCCCUGAAUCCGGCAUUAACCGUUGUGUUAUCCAGGCUCUCUUCCUUGUUUUGGCGUUUAUUUUUAUUAUGCCAUGGCUUCCCAUUGCCAUCCCUUAUUUCGGAUGUGCUGGGGUCGCUGGUGCCUUUACGAGCUAGCCAGCUAUCUUCUCCCGCGCAAAAGCGGGUCAUAAGGCUUGUUUGGGCUGCCAUUGUCCUUGGCUUUUCUUGGCCGAGGUGUCUGGCGAGCCACUCGUCACGGAUGCUGUGUUUGAGUGCCGCUAAGGCUUUGACAUCCGGACAAUCAACAAUUUGAUUCUUCUUAGUGAGGAAUCUGUUCCAAAGCUUGCGGGCGGACUCUCUAGGCUGUUGGACUAUGUGACUUAAAUCGUCAGCAUCCGGAGGCCGGACAUAAGUCCCUUGAAAAUUGGCCCUGAAGGCGUCUUCGAGUUCUUCCCAGCUCCCAGUUGAAUUUUUGGGGAGGCUUUUCAACCAGUGUCUAGCUGGUCCCUUUAGUUUGAGUGGAAGGUAUUUGAUGGCGUGGAGGUCAUCCCCGUGAGCCAUAUGUAUAUGUAGGAUAAAGUCCUCUAUCCAGACCCCUGGGUCUGUCGUUCCGUCAUAUGCCUCUAUGUUCACAGGUUUAAAGCCCUGUGGAAAUUCGUGGUCCAGUACUUCAUCAGUAAAGCACAGGGGGUGAGCAGCCCCUCUGUAUCUGGACAUACUGUGGCAUAUGCCGUUGGCUGUUGUUGUGUUCGGUGUUUAUUCCGAACUGGUAUUUGGUUGGUGUAAUCGUUGUGGUGACCAUAGUCCCUCGCCGGGGUGUGUCCUUUAGAUCUGUAGAUGUACCUAGCUGCGCCAGCUAUCUUAUCCAGGUGCUCACGUAGGUCAUGUGCGGCGUCUGUAGCUGCUUUGUUGCGGUUAUGGAGUGGUACGUCUGGUCUCCUGGUCGUGUUACUCUUUGGUGGAACGGCCUCGUCGUUGAAUUCUGGCAGUAGCUUACGUUUUGGGUAGCUCUUUGUAUGGCGAUCGUCGCCAUAUCUUUCUUCAGUGUCAAGCACUUUGUUCCAUCUGCGAUUGAGCAUUUCCUGUGCGGCUUUAAGCCGUUGCUUCUGCUUCUCCAGACUUCUCACUAUGGCCAUAAGCUUCCUGUGGAGGUUAUCUCAUUCCACGCAUUCUUCCAAAAUGAUGAAUGCGUCAUCAUCCGGACUAUCUUCUUGUCCUGGGCCGGUUUGAUGAACUCGUCCCUUUGGAUCAUUGUCUUCGGGCGUCUGCUCCAAACUGUGUUCGGCGUGACCUAGUUCGUCCUGCUCCAUCGCUGGUUCCGUAUGGUCGUUGUUGCCUUCAGGGUUGGCCGGAGUAUCGAUCCCUCUGGCGCUUUUGCUAGUAUUUUUACUGUUGCUGGACUUGGAACGGCGUCUGUGCCGUCACUUUGGCUUUUGCCCGGGGGUUUUAUCUUCUGGAUUGUCACCGUCAUCCUCCCUGGGUGUAUCCACCAUGUAUAUGUCGUGUGACGAGGCGGAAGUCCGGUGCCCCAUAGGUUCUGAAUCUUCUCCUGCAUCGUCGUCCAUACCGUCGAUGGCUUCAGAGUCGAAGUCAAGCACGUCGGUUAAAUCAUCAACCGUGGCUAUGAAGUGGGUGGUGGGUGGGCCGCGAAUCUCGUCGUCGCCUGCUUCCCACUCGAGCCAGACAUAGUUCGGCCAAAAGCCUCCUGACAAAGAGAGAGACUUUAAUGAGUUCAGCAUGUCGCAAAAGGGCGAGUGCUGAAAGAUGUCCGCAGCGGUGAACUCCAUUACCAGAGCCCAACCAGGUUCGGCGGGCUCGGGAAUGCGCGGACUGGAUCCUACAACCAGAUAUGAAUCCGGGGAUCGGGAGUCACAGGCAUCCUCAGAAGCGAGGCCUAUGUUCGGCUCCACCGCCGAUGAGGGUAUGGCCUGCGGGGCGGGGUCCAUCCCUCCGUCACUAGGCAACGCAGCCUGCUCCGGAUUUGAGUUUGGGGCUACUGCAGGGAUGAUAUCCCGAGCGUUGUCCGACAGCAGGUCCAGGCCAUGCUCGCCGUGACUGUCCGGCGCUCCUGGCGCGGGCCCGAAUCCAUUGGAGAUCAAGUCUCCGCGGAUCCGCCGUGUAGUUUAGGUUUCCGAACCUGAUUUGGUGGCCAGGGGCGUAGGUAUUGAUCUGCUCCAAAUGGCCAAGCGAAUUGGCCCGCAGUGCAAAGCCGUCAAACACGAAGAUCUGUCCGGGGAGGAAAGUCUCACCCUGGACCAUGUCACUGACGAUGAUUGAAGGAGCCAUCGAGCCUUGCAACAACGUCACGGAGGAACUCUCAAUGAAAGCACCAAUGUCGGUGUCAAAACCGGCGGAUCUCGGGUAGGGGGUCCCGAUCUGUGUGUCAAGGCUGAUGGUAAUAGGAAGCAAGGGACACAGAUGUUUACCCAGGUUCGGGCCCUCUCUAUGGAGGUAAAACCCUACUUCCUGCUUGAUUAAUAUUGAUGAUAUGGGUAGUACAAGAGUAGAUCUACCACGAGAUCAUAGAGGCUAAACCCUAAGAGCUAGCCUAUGAUGGUAUGAUUGUAAUUGUGAUCGGCAUUCUAAGAACCAAUCUCUCUGGUUUAUAUAGACACCAGAGAGGGCUAGGGUUUACAUGGAGUCAGUUACAAGGAAGGAAACACAAUAUCCGGAUCGCCAAGCUUGCCUUCCACGCAAAGGAGAGUCCCAUCCGGACACGGGCCGAAGUCUUGAGUCUUGUAUCUUCACGCUUCAAUAGUCCGGACGUUGCACACAGUCCGGCUGUCCAGAUACCCCCUAAUCCAGGACUCCCUCAGCGGGUAUCAUUAUUUUCUCACCUUCACAGAUGAUUUGAGCAGAUAUGGGUAUAUCUACUUGAUGAAACAUAAGUCUGAAACAUUCGAAAAGUUCAAAGAAGUUCAGAGUGAAGUGGAAAAUCAUCGUAACAAGAAAAUAAAGUUUCUACGAUCUGAUCGUGGAGGAGAAUAUUUUUCUUACGAGUUUGGUCUUCAUUUGAAACAAUGCGGAAUAGUUUCGCAACUCACGCCACCCGGAACACAAAACAUAAUGGUGUGUCCGAACGUCGUAACCGCACUUUAUUAGAUAUGGUGUGAUCUACGAUGUUUCUUACUGAUUUACCGCUAUCAUUUUGGGGUUAUGCUUUAGAGACGGCUGCAUUCACGUUAAAUAGGGCACCAUCUAAAUCCGUUGAGACGACGCCUUAUGAACUGUGGUUUCGCAAGAAACCAAAGUUCUUGUUUCUUAAAGUUUGGGGCUGCAAUGCUUAUGUGCAAAAGCUUCAACCUGAUAAGCUCGAACCCAAAUCGGAGAAGUGUGUCUUCAUAGAAUACCCAAAGGAGACUGUUGGGUACACCUUCUAUCACAGAUCUGAAGGCAAGACGUUCGUUGCUAAGAAUGGAUCCUUUCUAGAGAAGGAGUUUCUCUCGAAAGAAGUGAGUGGGAGGAAAGUAGAACUUGAUGAGGUAACUAUACCUGCUCCCUUAUUGGAAAGUAAUUCAUCACAGAAAUCAGUUCAUGUGAUCCCUACACCAAUUAGUGAGAAAGCUAAUGAUAAUUAUCAUGAAACUUCAGAUCAAGUUACUACCAAACCUCAUAGGUCAACCAGAGUAAGAUCCGCACCAGAGUGGUACGGUAAUCCUGUUCCGGAGGUCAUGUUACUAGACCAUGACGAACCUACGAACUAUGAAGAAGCGAUGAUGAGCCCAGAUUCCGCGAAAUGGCUUGAGGCCAUGAAAUCUGAGAUGGGAUCCAUGUAUGAUAACAAAGUGUGGACUUUGGUUGACUUGCCCGAUGAUCGGCAAGCCAUAGAGAAUAAAUGGAUCUUCAAGAAGAAGACUGACGCUGACGGUAAUGUUACUGUCUACAAAGCUCGACUUGUCGUGAAAGGUUUUUGACAAGUUCAAGGAGUUGACUAUGAUGAGACCUUCUCACCCAUAGUGAUGCUUAAGUUUGUCCGAAUCAUGUUAGCAAUUGCUGCAUUUUAUGAUUAUGAAAUUUGGCAAAUGGAUGUAAAGACUGCAUUCCUGAAUGGAUUUCUAGAAGAAGAGUUGUAUAUGAUGCAACCUGAAGGUUUUAUCGAUCCAAAGAGUGCUAACAAAGUGUGGAAGCUCCAGUGAUCCAUUUAUGGACUGGUGCAAGCCUCACGGAGUUGGAAUAAACAUUUUGAUAGUGUGAUCAAAGCAUAUGGUUUUAUACAGACUUUUGGAGAAGCCUGUAUUUACAAGAAAGUGAGUGGGAGCUCUGUAACAUUUCUAAUAUUAUUUGUAGAUAACAUAUUGUUGAUUGGAAAUGAUAUAGAAUUUCUGAAUAGCAUAAAAGGAUACUUGAACAAGAGUUUUUCAAUGAAAGACCUCGGUGAAGCUGCUUAUAUAUUGGCAUCAAGAUCUAUAGAGAUAGAUCAAGACGCUUAAUUGGACAUUCACAAAGCACAUACCUUGAUAAAGUUUUGAAGAAAUUCAAAAUGGAUCAAGCAAAGAAAGGGUUCUUGCCUAUGUUACAAGGUGUGAAGUUGAGUCAGACUCAAUGCCUGACCACUGCAGAAGAUAGAGAAAGAAUGAAAGAUGUUCCCUAUGCUUCAGCCAUAAGCUCUAUCAUGUAUGCAAUGAUGUGUACCAGACCUGAUGUGUGCCUUGCUAUUAGUUUAGCAAGGAGGUACCAAAGUAAUCCAGGAGUGGAUCACUGGACAACGGUCAAGAACAUCCUGAAAUACAUGAAAAGGACUAAGGAUAUGUUUCUCGUUUAUGGAGGUGACAAAGAGCUCAUCGUAAAUGGUUACGUUGAUGGAAGCUUUGACACUAAUCUGGAUGACUCUAAGUCACAAACCGAAUACAUGUUAUUAUAGAACGGUGGAGCUGUAAGUUGGUGUAGUUCUAAGCAAAGCGUCGUGGCGGGAUCUACGUGUGAAGCGGAGUACAUAGCUGCUUCAGAAGCAGCAAAUGAAGGAGUCUGGAUGAAGGAGUUCAUAUCCGAUCUAGGUGCCAUACCUAGUGCAUUGGGUCCAAUGAAAAUCUUUUGUGACAAUACUGGUGCAAUUUCCUUGGCAAAGGAAUCCAGAUUUCAUAAGAGAACCAAGCACAUCAAGAGAUGCUUGAAUUCCAUCUGCGAUCUAGUCAAGGAGGGAGACAUAGAGAUUUGCAAGAUACAUACGGAUCUGAAUGUUGCAGACCCGUUGACUAAGCCUCUCUCACGAGCAAAACAUGAUCAGCACCAAGACUCCAUGGGUGUUAGAAUCAUUACUAUGUAAUCUAGAUUAUUGACUCUAGUGCAAGUGGGAGACUGAAGGAAAUAUGCCCUAGAGGCAAUAAUAAAGUUGUUAUUUAUAUUUCCUUAUAUCAUGAUAAAUGUUUAUUAUUCAUGCUAGAAUUGUAUUAACCGGAAACAUAAUACAUGUGUGAAUACAUGGACAAAAAGAGUGUCACUAGUAUGCCUCUACUUGACUAGCUCGUUGAUCAAAGAUGGUUAUGUUUCCUAGCCAUGGACAAAGAGUUUUCAUUUGAUUAACGGGAUCACAUCAUUAGGAGAAUGAUGUGAUUGACUUGACCCAUUCCGUUAGCUUAGCACUUGAUCGUUAAGUAUGUUGCUAUUGCUUUCUUCAUGACUUAUACAUGUUCCUAUGACUAUGAGAUUAUGCAACUCCCGAAUACCGGAGAAACACUUUGUGUGACACCAAACAUCACAACGUAACUGGGUGAUUAUAAAGGUGCUCUACAGGUGUCUCCGAUGGUGUUUGUUGAGUUGGCAUAGAUCGAGAUUAUGAUUUCUCACUCCGAUCGGAGAGGUAUCUCUGGGCCCUGACGGUAAUGCACAUCACUAUAACCCUUGCAAGCAAUGUGACUAAUGAGUUAGUUGCGGGAUGAUGCAUUAGAGAAUGAGUAAAGAGACUUGCCGGUAACAAGAUUGAACUAGGUAUUGAGAUACAGACGAUCGAACCUCGGGCAAGUAGCAUACCGAUGACAAAGGGAACAACGUAUGUUGUUAUGCGGUUUGACCGAUAAAGAUCUUCGUAGAAUAUGUGGGAGACAAUAUGAGCAUCCAGGUUACGCUAUUGGUUAUUAACCGGAGACAUGUCUCGGUCAUGUCUACAUAGUUCUCGAACCCGUAGGUCCGCACGCUUAACGUUCGGUGACGAUCGGUAUUAUGAGUUUUUGUGUUUUGAUGUACCGAAGGUAGUUCGGAGUCCCAGAUAUGAUCACGAACAUGACGAGGAGUCUCGAAAUGGUCGAGACAUAAAGAUCGAUAUAUUGGACGACUAUAUUUGGACAUCGGAAUGGUUCCGGGUGAGAUCGGGCAUUUAUCGGAGUACCGGGAGGUUACCAGACCCCCCGGGAGGUAUAUGGGUCUUAGUGGGCCUUAGUGGGAGAGAGGGGAAAUGAGCAAAGGAGGGGGCGCCCCCCCCCCCAAGCCCAAUCCGAAUUGGGAGGGGGCCGGGCCCCCCUUUCCUUCCUCCUUCCUCCCCCUUCCUUCUCUCCUAAUCCAACUAGGGAAAGGGGGGAAUCCUACUCCCGAUGGGAGUAGGACUCCCCUUGGGGCGCGCCUAGGAGGUCGACCUCCUCCCCCUCCUCCACUCCUUUAUAUACGGGGGAGGGGCACCCCAUAGACACAUAAGUUGAUCAUUGAUCUCUUAGCCGUGUGCGGUGCCCCCCUCCACCAUAAUCCACCUCGGUCAUAUCGUUGCAGUGCUUAGGCGAAGCCCUGCGCCGGUAGCUUCAUCAUCACCGUCAUCACGCUGUCGUGCUGACGAAACUCUCCCACGAAACUCUGCUAGAUCGUGAGUUCGUGGGACGUCAUCGAGCUAAACAUGUGCAGAACUCAGAGGUGCCGUGCAUUCAGUACUUGGAUCGGUCGGAUCGUGAAGAUGUACGACUACAUCAACCAAGUUGAUAAAACACUUUCGCUUACGGUCUACGAGGGUACGUGGACUAUACUCUUCCGCUCGUUGCUAUGCAUCACCAUGAUCUUGCAUGUGUGUAGGAAAUUUUUGAAAUUACUACGUUCCCCAACACUAUCGUCAUAGAAGUGUCAUAAGCAUGACAGGAAAAAAAUUCGUUCGGUCCCAAAUGUCACAGAUGUGUCUUUUUUUUGUAGUGCCCCCUCCACAGUUUAUCACCUCGGUCAUAUUGUCGUAGUGCUUAGGCGAAGCCCUGUGCGGAUCACAUCACCAACACCAUCGCCACGCCGUCGUGCUGACGGAACUCUCCCUAUACCCUCUACUGGAUCAAGAAGCUCGAGGGACGUCAUCGUGCUAAACGUGUGCCGAACAUGGAAGUGCCAUACGUUCGGUACUUGGAUCGGUUGGAUUGUGAAGACGUUCGACUACAUCAACUGCAUUACUAAACGCUUCCGCUUUCGGUCUAUGAGGGUACGUGGACACACUCUCCCGUCUCAUUGCUAUGCUUCUCCUAGAUAGAUCUUGCAUGAUCGUAGGAAUUUUUUUGAAUUACUACGUUCCCCAACAGUGGCAUCCAAGCCAGGUCUAUGCGUAGAUGUUACAUGCACGAGUAGAACACAAAGAGUUGUGGGCGAUAAUAGUCAUACUGCUUACCACCAACGUCUUACUUUGAUUCAGCAGUAUUGUUGGAUGAAGCGGCCCUGACCGACAUUACAUGACCGCAUUCAUGAGACUGGUUCUACCAAAGUGCUUCGCACACAGGUGGCUGGCGGGUGUCUGUUUCUCCAACUUUAGUUGAAUCGAGUUUGACUACCGUCGGUCCUUGUUGAAGGUUAAAACAACACACUUGACGAAAAAUCGUUGUGGUUUUGAUGCGUAGGUAAGAACGGUUCUUGCUAGAAGCCCGUAGCAGCCACAUAAAACUUGCAACAACAAAGUAGAGGACGUCUAACUUGUUUUUGCAGGGCAUGUUGUGAUGUGAUAUGGUCAAGACGUGAUGAGAUAUAAAUUGUUGCAUGAGAUGAUCAUGUUUUGUAAAAGUUAUCGGCAACUGGCAGGAGCCUUAUGGUUGUCGCUUUAUUGUAUGAAAUGUAAUCGCCUGUAAUUGCUUUUCUUUAUCACUAAGCGGUAGUGAUAGUCGUAGAAGCAAUAGUUGGUGAGACGACAACGAUGCUACGAUGGAAAUCAAGGUGUCAAGCCGGUGAUGAUGAAGAUCAUGACGGUGCUUUGGAGAUGGAGUUCAAAGGCACAAGAUGAUGAUGGCCAUAUCAUGUCACAUAUUUUGGUUGCAUGUGAUGUUCAUCCUUUAUGCAUCUUAUUUUGCUUAGUACGGUGGUAGCAUUAUAAGAUGAUCCCUCACUAAAUUUCAAGGUACAAGUGUUCUCCCUGAGUAUGCACCGUUGCUACAGUUCGUCGUGCCGAGACACCACGUGAUGAUCGGGUAUGAUAAGCUCUACGUUCACAUACAACGGGUGCAAGCCAGUUUUCCACAUGCAGAAUACUCGGGUUAAACUUGACGAGCCUAGCAUAUGCAGAUAUGGCCUCAGAACACUAAGACCGAAAGGUCGAACGUGAAUCAUAUAGUAGAUAUGAUCAACAUAGUGAUGUUCACCAUUGAAAACUACUCCAUCUCACGUGAUGAUCAGACAUGGUUUAGUUGAUAUGGAUCACGUGAUCAUUUAGAUGACUAGAGGGAUGUCUAUCUAAGUGGGAGUUCUUAAGUAAUAUGAUUAAUUGAACUUUAAUUUAUCAUGAACUUAGUCCUGAUAGUUUUUGCAUAUCUAUGUUGUAGAUCAAUAGCUCGCGUAUAGCUCCCCUAUUUUAUUUUUGAUAUGUUCAUAGAGAAAAAUUAAGUUGAAAGAUGAUAGUAGCAAUGAUGUGGACUGGGUCCAUGAGCAGAGGAUUAUCCUCAUUGCUGCACAGAAGAAUUAUGUUCUUGAUGCACCGCUAGGUGACGGACCUAUUGCAGGAGCAGAUACAAAUGUUAUGAACGUUUGGCAAGCUCGGUAUGAUGACUACUUGAUAGUUUAGUGCGCCAUGCUUUACGGCUUAGAACCGGGACUUCAAAAAUGUUUUGAACGCCAAGGAGCAUAUAAGAUGUUCCAAGAGCUGAAAUUGGUAUUUCAGACUCAUGCCCGAGUCGAGAGGUAUGAGACCUCUGAAAAGUAUUUUGCCUACAAGAUGGAGGAGAGUAGCUCAACCAGUGAGCAUGUGCUCAGAAUGUCUGAGUACUACAAUCGCUUGAAUCAAGUGGGAGUUAAUCUUCUAGAUAAGAUAGUGAUUGACAGAACUUCGUGAUGACGAAAAUGAUUCCCCGAGCUCUUCGCGAUGCUACAAUCGGCGAAGGUAGAAAUCAAGAAAAGAAUCAAGUGUUGAUGGUUGACAAGACCACUAGUUUCAAGUAAAAGGGCAAGGGAAAAAGGGAACUUCAAGAAUAAUGGCAGUCAAGUUGCCACUCCCAUGAAGAAGCCCAAAGCUAGACCCAAGCCUGAAACUGAGUGCUUCUACUACAAAGGAAAUGGUCACUGGAAGCGAAACUGCCCCAAAUACUUGGCGGAUAAGAAGGAUGGUAAAGUGAGCAAAAGUAUAUAUGAUAUACAUGUUAUUGAUGUGUACUUUACUAGUGUUCAUAGUAGCCCCAGGGUAUUUUGAAAGCACAAGUGCUCCCUAGGUGGUUUUGGUAAUUAAUGCCAACAUAUCUCUUGUUGGACUAACACUUCUAUCUAGUAUGUUUCAUAUAAGUUCAACAAUGGAGUGGCAUGGACUAAAGGAUGUGGGAACUCCUUCAAGAUGCUAAGGACAAAGGAUUGGCUCAAGCUUCAAGCUCAAGACUCGUCAUUUUACAUUUUAGUGAUCCAAGAUCACAUUGAGUCUAUAGGAAAAGCCAAUACUAUCAAGGAGGUAUGAGGUGUUGUUUAAUGAGCCUCUUGCUUCAUGUGCUUAGUGAUAUGCUCCAAAACCCUCAACUACUUUCCCACUUCCACAAAUGACCUAAACCUAAAGCAAAAUCAGUCACACCGAUUCUUCCUAUCCGGCGCCACCGAUUUCAUAUGUCCUAGCCACUGCCACAAACCCUAAGCAAAUCGGUUCUACCGAUAGGGAUCUCGGUAUCACCGAGAUGGGAUUGUAAUCUCUCUGUGUAUGUCCAUUAUCAAAAUUGGUCUCACCGAGUUUGAGCAGUCGCUACUAUCGAGAUUACAAUGCAAACUUUCUAGUUGACUCAUUACCAAAAUCGGUCCCACCGAGUUUGUGUAAUCGGUCAAACCAAGUUUGCCUGACCAACUCUCUGGAAAGCUUAUUACCAAAAUCGGUCUCACCGAGUUUGUGUAAUCGGUCUUACCGAGAUUACAUUAUGCCCUAACCCUAACCAUAUCGGUCUCACCGAGUUGCAUUUCGGUCCCACCGAAAACCCUAACGGUCACAUUAUUUGCUAAAUCGGUCUGACCGGGUUUAAUGAUUCGGUCCCACCGAGUUUGGUAGAUUGUGUGUAACGGUUAGAUUUUGUGUGGAGGCUAUAUAUACCCCUGCACCUCCUCUUCAUUCGUGGAGAGAGCCAUGAGACUGAACCUACACUUCCAGCAUACAUUUUUUGAGAGAGAACUACCUACUCAUGUGUUGAGGCCAAGAUAUUCCAUUCCUACCAUAUGAAUCUUGAUCUCUAGCCUUCCCCAAGUUGCUUUCCACUCAAAUAUUCUUUCCAUCAGAUCCAAAACCUAUGAGAGAGAGUUGAGUGUUGGGGAGACUAUCUUUUCAAGCACAAGAGCAAGGAGUUCAUCAUCAACGCACCAUUUGUUACUUCUUAGAGAGUGGUGUCUCCUAGAUUGGCUAGGUGUCACUUGGGAGCCUCUGACAAGAUUGUGGAGUUGAACCAAGGAGUUUGUAAGGCAAAGGAGAUCGCCUACUUCAUGAAAAUCGACCGCUAGUGAGGUAAGUCCUUCGUGGGCGACGGCCAUGGUCGGAUAACAAGGUUGCUUCUUCGUGGACCCUUCGUGGGUGGAGCCCUCCGUGGACUCGCGCAACCGUUACCCUUCGUGGGUUGAAGUCUCCAUCAACGUGGAUGUACGAUAGCACCACCUAUCGGAACCACGCCAAAAACAUCCGUGUCUCCAAUUGCGUUUGAAUCCUCCAAACCCUUCCCUUUACAUUCUUGCAAGUUGCAUGCUUUACUUUUCGCUGCCCAUAUAUACUCUUUGCAUGCUUGCUUGAUAUGUAUUGUGAAUGUUAAACGUGUGGCUAAUCUCCACUUAAACUUAAGAAAACUUAAAAACUGCAACUUUGGUACUUAGUGUCUAAUCACCCCCCCCUCUAGACACCUCUUCUCAAGGUCCUACAAGUGGUAUCAGAGCAUUGGUCUCCAUUGCUUUGGUUUAAUCACCAUUGGAGGAAGAUGGAUGAGUCUACUAUUGGGAGUCUUAGACAUAGAGUGCCUAUUCUUGAUGGAGAGUAUUUUCAUGAGUGGAAAAAUGAGAUGCUUGUUAUUUUCAAUCAAUAUCAUUUGAACAAGUACAUUGCUAGUCCUUGUGCACCUUAUGUUAAUCCUAUGCAUCCUACCCAUGAUGAGUCAAUUGACAUGAUUAGGAAUCUUAGAACUGCCGAACUUAUCAUUAGAGGAUUGCCUAGAAACUUGAUUGGAUGUUUGCCUACUUUUAAGUGUGCCUACACUAUAUGGAAAUUUCUUGAGGAACGAUUUCCAGAUUAUUCCUUGAAAAAUCUUGAUGAAAUUCUCCAUAAGUCUAUUGCCUUGAGUAAGAUGAAUUCUAGUGAUCCUACGUUUGGUGAUCGUCUAUUUGAGCUUACAAACCUUAUGCGUGCCAAAGGAAAUGUUGGUAUUAUUAGUGAUAUUGUUUCCGAAGCUAUAAAAAUUCAUAAGCAAGAUCAUUGUCAAACUCACUCUAACGAAUCACCCUCUCUAGGACUUGAUCCACCACAUGACGAUGUUGAACAUGGAUACUAUGAUGAGGAUGAUGAUAGUGACUUCGAUCUUGAUGAUGCAAUGAGACACUUUGGUCUUAUGGCAAAUCUCUUCGGGGAUAUAUGUCAGGAGGAAAGGAAUGGGUUCUUGAUAGUGGAUGUACCGAUCACAUGACCGGAGAUAAAGACAUGUUUCGUGAGCUUGCUGAUAAUGAUAGUCCUCGAAAGUAUGUCACUUUCGGUGACAACUCAAAGGGUAAGGUGGUUGGCCUCGGUAAGGUGGACAUAUCACAUGAUAGCUCCAUACAAAAUGUUAUGCUCGUUGAAUCUCUUGGAUACAACUUACUUUCAGUAUCUAGACUUGCUGAUUUCGGUUUCAAUGUUCUAUUUACUGAAGUAGAUUGCCAAGUAUUUUGUCGAGACAAUCAUAAAAUGGUCUUUACCGGUGUGCGUAGAGGUGAUCUAUACAUUGUUGAUUUCACUAAAAAGGCUCAACCUAAAACUUGCUUCAUUGCUAAAUCCUCAAAAGGUUGGUUAUGGCAUAGAAGACUAGGUCAUGUUGGUAUGCGAAACCUUGACAAGCUUAUUAAAGGAAAUCAUAUCCUUGGAGUUAACGAUGUCAUAUUUGAUAAGGAUAGACUUUGCAGUGCUUGUCAAGCAGGUAAACAGGUUGGAGGAAGGCAUCCCGUGAAGAACAUCAUGACCACAAGGAGGCCACUCGAGCUGCUUCACAUGGAUCUCUUUGGUCCCAACUCUUACAAGAGUCUCGGUGGAAAUUCUUUUGGUCUAGUUAGAGUUGAUGAUUUUUCAAGAUUUACGUGGGUGUUCUUUCUCGAUGAUAAAUCACAGGUCCAAAAGAUCUUCAAAAACUUCGCUAGGAAGGCCCAAAAUCAAUUUGAAGUGAAGACCAAGAAGGUUCGCAGCGACAACGGAACGGAGUUCAAGAACGCAAAUGUGGACACCUUUCUUGAUGAAGAACAGAUUUCACAUGAGUUCUCGGCUACGUACACACCUCAACAAAACGGAGUUGUUGAGAGGAAGAACCGGACGCUCAUCGAAAUGGCGAGAACGAUGCUUGAUGAGUAUAAGACGCCGAAGUACUUUGGGGCAGAAGCGGUUGAGACAGCUUGUCAUGCGACAAAUCGCUUGUAUCUUCACAAGCUACUCGGCAAGACGGCAUAUGAGCUCCUCACCGGUAACAAACCCCAAGUUGGAUACUUUCGAGUAUUUGGCUCAAUGUGCUACAUUCUUGAUAAGCAUCAUGGUUCUAAAUUUGCUCCUAAGUCUCAUGAAGGUUUCCUACUAGGUUAUGGCUCAAACUCUCACACUUACCGUGUCUACAACAAUUUCACCCGAAAGGUUGAAGAGACGGUAGAUGUGAAGUUUGAUGAAUCUAACGGCUCGCAAGUAGAGCAAUUGUCAAUUGAUGUAGGAGACAAAAAUCCUUCGGAAGCAAUUCAAGACUUGGCUAUUGGCAAGGUUCAUCCAACGGAGGUGAAGGAGAGUACCUCGUCCGUCCAAGUGGAAGCUUCUACCUCACGACAAGGUGAACCAAGAGUUGAUACGGAAGCAUCCACAAGUGGGACACACCAAGAUGAGGAAAACGAGGAAGUGCAUCAAGAUGAACGUCAACAACCUCCUUCUCCACCACGACAAGAGAACGACAACGCCAACAAUGAAGAAGGCCAAGAAGAAGAACAAGAUGAAAAAGAUGUUCAACGAAGACCCAAGCAAAAGCUUUCAUGAGUUCGAGCAAGAAUUGCUAAAGAUCAUCCCGUCGAGCAAAUCUACAAUGACAUUCAAACCGGGAGAAUCACUCGCUCUAAAACUCAUUUAGCUAACUUUUGUGAAAACUAUUCUUUCAUCUCUAGCAUUGAACCUAUGAAGGUUGAAGAAGCAUUGGAAGAUCCGGAUUGGAUAAAUGCUAUGCAUGAAGAGCUACACAACUUUGAGAGGAACCAAGUUUGGACAUUGGUUGAGAAGCCCAACAACAACCACAACAUCAUCGGUACCAAAUGGGUGUUUCGCAACAAGCAAGAUGAAGAUGGACAAGUAGUUCGCGACAAAGCACGUCUCAUCGCCCAAGGCUACACACAAGUCAAAGGUAUGGACUAUGGUGAGACUUACGCCCCCGUUGCUAGACUUGAGUCCAUUCGCAUCUUACUUGCCUAUGCUAAUCAUCAUGAUAUCACCUUGUACCAAAUGGACAUUAAAAGUGCUUUUCUAAAUGGUGAAAUAGAGGAGGAAGUUUAUGUUAAGCAACCUCCCGGCUUUGUCAAUCCUAAGAAACCAAAUCAUGUUUACAAACUUCACAAAGCUCUUUAUGGUCUUAAACAAGCUCCUAGAGCAUGGUAUAAAUGCUUGACCAAGUUCCUUAUUGAAAAAGGCUUUGAAAUUGGGAAAAUUGAUUCUACUCUUUUUACUAAAAGGGUUAAUGGAGAACUAUUUGUGUGCCAAAUCUAUGUUGAUGAUAUUAUAUUUGGUUCAACUAACCCUCAUUUUAGUGAAAAGUUUGGGAAGCUAAUGUCGGAGAAGUUUGAGAUGUCUAUGAUGAGUGAACUCAAAUUCUUCCUUGGGUUGCAAAUCAAGAAAACUAAGGAAGGUACCUUUGUUUCUCAAACGAAGUACACCAAGGACUUAUUCAAGAAGUUCAAUAUGCAAGAAUGCAAAGGUAUGUCUACACCCAUGCCUACUAGUGUACAUAUUGACUUGACCAAAGAUAGUGAACCGGUUGAUCAAAAGGUUUAUCGCUCUAUGAUUGGUUCAUUGUUAUAUCUAUGUGCUUCACGUCCCGAUAUCAUGCUAAGUGUGUGCAUGUGUGCACGAUAUCAAGCUGCUCCUAAGGAAUGUCAUCUUAAGGCCGUGAAAUUGAUAGUGAGAUACUUAAUCCAUACACCAAACUUUGGCAUUUGGUAUCCUAAGAGGGCCUCUUUCGAUCUUGUUGGCUAUUCCGACUCGGACUAUGCCAGAGACAAGGUUGAUAGAAAGUCCACUUCGGGUACUUGUCAAUUUCUUGGUAGAUCUCUUGUGUCUUGGUCCUCCAAGAAACAAAACUCGGUAUCCUUAUCCACCGCCGAAGCUGAAUAUAUUGCCGCUGGUUCAUGUUGUGCUCAAUUACUUUGGAUGACCCAAACUCUUAAAGAUUAUGGGAUAUAUGUGAGACAUGUUCCAUUGCUUUGCGACAAUGAAAGUGCUAUCAAAAUUGGUCAUAACCCUGUGCAACAUUCUCGAACUAAGCAUAUUGAAGUUCGUCAUCAUUUCAUUCGAGAUCAUGUUGCUAAGGGUGACAUUGAUCUUAAGCAUGUUCGCACCGAAAAGCAAUUAGCGGAUAUAUUCACUAAACCUCUUGAUGAGAAAGUGUUUUGUAGGUUAAGAGGAGAAUUGAACAUCAUUGAUGCUUCAAAUUUGGAGUAGAAACUCCAUUGGAUACAUGCAAGACAUGAGCUUAUGACUAAUCCUUGAUAUUUCUCUUAUGAUGAAAAUCUUAUGUCUAGGAUAUAUUUGUAUCUUGCAUGUUAUCUAACCCAUGUAGGUACUUGGUGGAAUCAAAUUCCAUGAGAUUGUAAUCUACUCACAUCUUGAGCAAUCUCUACAUCACCAAGUCUCUACACUAUGAUGGAUGAAGACAAGGAAGCAUGAAACCAUUCAAACACAUCCUUUAACAAAUUCUAUGUUGAACUUCAUGAUUGUCAUUUUUGGAUACACAAGUGCUCUUACUUGCAAGAACUAACCCAUGUAGGUAGAUGGACUAAAAUUCCAAGUGGUGCUCCAAAUUCUUGAUGAGCUACAUCAACCUUGAGCAACCCACACAAGUUCAACUACAUGGACAACACCACCAACCAAGGUAUGUCAUUCCAUCUUAGAGAAGCUUUAAUCCAAGUAAUGAGCUAAAGCAACUCGACAUGAAUACAUCAAGAUGCUUAAACGAAAAAUGGCAACCCCAUUUUGAGCUUAAACGAUGAGUAUGACCUAUGAUCAAGUGAUCUCACUUGACUCCUAAGUCAAUAUACUCUAACAUAAGUGACUUUGUCGCCGACCACCUCUAGAUGAAGUUCUCUUGUGUUCUUUUCUGUGUUUUUGCACUUGUCUCAUGCAUAUUUGUUUCCCCUUUUUCAAAAAAAAAACUUCAUCUAGAUUUCUUUCUAUUUGCUCUGCAUUUUUUGCAUCCAAUUCAUUGCACAUCUUUCAGUAAAUUCCUUGCAAAUCUUUAUGAGAUCUUACUAGUCUAGUGAGCUGAGGUGACAACCGUUUUCUCUGAAAUGAACUCGGUUACACCGAUUUGUUAUUUUCGGCCCAACCGAAUCCUUUCGGUACAACCGAAGCAUACCACUCGGUGCCACCGAUUUCACAACAAGAAAAACAGUUUGCCACAUAUUCUAUGUUUCUUCUGAUCCAGCUCCGCUCAAUGAAACUUGUCCUCUACAAGCAUCACAUUUUUAUCAUUGCUUUGUGCUAUGUCUCAAGGAACAAACCCAUUAGACAGAUUCCCGAAGAUCCUUCUUGGAAAUUGAUGUCAAAGGGGGAGAGAGAGAACAUCAAAGCUUAUCAUUUAGAAAAAGAUCCUUAAGGGGGAGAGAGAUCUUCAAGGGGAGAGAGAGAUCUCUAGGGGGAGAGAAUACUUAAAUAGAAAGUAUUUCUCAAGGAUCCCAGAUGCUUGGUGUUCAAGAGGAGAGAUGCCCACAUGUUUUCUUGAGGGGAGAGACAUGUUCAUAUGAUCUAUUGUGCUUAUUUGCAUUAGCAUGUAUUAGCUCUGAUCAUCAUUCAUAUCUUUCAGCUCUGAUUUUUUCAGCUCUGAUUUUCUAUUCCCUAUCUUCUCCCAGUAUCCCAUGAUAGAUUCAGGGGGAGCAAGACAUCUAAGGGAAAGAAAUCAUUUAAAUUCAUUGCAUAUCUUUAUUCUUGGGGACAUGUCUAAUCCAAUGUGGUACUUAGUACUCACUCUCUACAUGUCGUCCCAGUCUUGGUAUUCUUGUGGUUUCUUCUGUUUGCUCUGGCUAGUAGAUGUAUCUGUGUCAUCUAACCUUGUUUACGCAGGUUCAUUCCAUCCUAAGCCAACUCAAGACUACAAGGUAAGUAUAUGCAUCACAAUCAUGUGUAUGAGGAAUUCUUGCUGAUGUACAUAUUGUUUGCAAGAAGGACUCAUGAGCAUGAAGGUAUUUUCUUUAACAUUCUUUGCUCUGAUGCAUAUGGCCAAGAUACAUGUAACACAUUGCCUACUCUAUCAUGGUUAUGCUCUCAUAUGCUUCUAUAUUCCAUAUUCACAUGAUUGCAUACAUGUAGGGGGAGCCUAUGUUAGUUACAUGUCUUUCCAAAGCUUUACUUGUUAUUCUUUAUAUCUUUAUCUAAAGCUUUGAUGUAUGUUGUCAUCAAUUACCAAAAAGGGGGAGAUGGAAAGCACAAGUGCUACCUAGGUGGUUUUGGUAAUUAAUGCCAACAUAUCUCUUGUUGGACUAACACUUCUAUCUAGUAUGUUUCAGAUAAGUUCAACAAUGGAGUGGCAUGGACUAAAGGAUGUGGGAACUCCUUCAAGAUGCUAAGGACAAAGGAUUGGCUCAAGCUUCAAGCCCAAGACUGUUCAUUUUACAUUUUAGUGAUCCAAGAUCACAUUGAGUCUAUAGGAAAAGCCAAUACUAUCAAGGAGGGAUGAGGUGUUGCUUAAUGAGCCUCUUGCUUCAUGUGCUUAGUGAUAUGCUCCAAAACCCUCAACUACUUUCCCACUUCCACAAAUGACCUAAACCUAAAGCAAAAUCGGUCACACCAAUUCUUCCUACCCGGCGCCACCGAUUUCAUAUGUCCUAGCCACUGCCACAAACCCUAAGCAAAUCAAUACUACCGAUAGGGAUCUCGGUCUCACCGAGAUGGGAUUGUAAUCUCUCUGUGUAUGUCCAUUAUCAAAAUUGGGCUCACCGAGUUUGAGCAAUCGGUACUACCGAGAUUACAAUGCAAACUUUCUGGUUGACUCAUUACCAAAAUCGGUCCCACCGAGUUUGUGUAAUCGGUCAAACCGAGUUUACCUGACCAACUCUCUGGAAAGCUUAUUACCAAAAUCGGUCUCACCGAGUUUGUCUAAUCGCUCUUACCGAGAUUACGUUAUGCCCUAACCCUAACCAUAUCGGUCUCACCGAGUUGCAUUUCGGUCCCACCGAAAACCCUAACGGUCACAUUAUUUGCUAAAUCGGUCUGACCGAGUUUAACGAUUCGGUCCCACCGAGUUUGGUAGAUUGUGUGUAACGGUUAGAUUUUGUGUGGAGGCUAUAUAUACCCCUCCACCUCCUCUUCAUUCGUGGAGAGAGCCAUGAGACUAAACCUACACUUCCAGCAUACAUUUUGUGAGAGAGAACUACCUACUCAUGUGUUGAGGCCAAGAUAUUCCAUUCCUACCAUAUGAAUCUUGAUCUCUAGCCUUCCCCAAGUUGCUUUCCACUCAAAUCUUCUUUCCAUCGGAUCCAAAACCUAUGAGAGAAGUUGAGUGUUGGGGAGACUAUCAUUUGAAGCACAAGAGCAAGGAGUUCAUCAUCAAUGCACCAUUUGUUACUUCUUGGAGAGUGGUGUCUCCUAGAUUGGCUAGGUGUCACUUGGGAGCCUCCGACAAGAUUGUGGAGUUGAACCAAGGAGUUUGUAAGGGCAAGGAGAUCGCCUACUUCGUGAAGAUCUACCGCUAGUGAGGAAAGUCCUUCGUGGGCGACGACCAUGGUGGGAUAGACAAGGCUGCUUCUUCGUGGACCCUUCAUGGGUGGAGCCCUCCGUGGACUCGCGCAACCGUUACCCUUCGUGGGUUGAAGUCUCCAUCAACGUGGAUGUACGAUAGCACCACCUAUCGGAACCACGCCAAAAACAUCCGUGUCUCCAAUUGCAUUUGAAUCCUCCAAACCCUUCCCUUUACAUUCUUGCAAGUUGCAUGCUUUACUUUCCGCUGCCCAUAUAUACUCUUUGCAUGCUUGCUUACUAUGUAUUGUGAAUGUUAAACUUGUGCCUAAUCUCCACUUAAACUAAGGAAACUUAAAAACUGCAACUUUGGUACUUAGUGUCUAAUCACCCCCCCCCUCUAGACACCUCUUCUCAAGGUCCUAUAUAUUUGAUACUAGUUCAGUUGCUAUGAUGAGCAACUUGAAACAGGACUUAUAAAAUGAACAGAGACUAGUUGAGUGCGAGGUGACGAUGUGUGUUGGAAGUCAUUCCAAGGUUGAUAAGAUCACCAUCGCACACUCCCUUUACCUUCGGGAUUAGUGUUGAACCUAAAAUAAAUGUUAUUUGGUGUUUGCAUUGAGCAUAAUAUGAUUGGAUCAUGUUUAUUGCAAUACGGUUAUUCAUUUAAGUCAAAGAAUAAUUGUUAUUCUGUUUACAUGAAUAAAACCUCCUAUGGUCAUACACCCAAGGUGAAUGUUGUUGGGGAACGUAGUAAUUUCAAAAAAAUUCCUACGCACACGUAAGAUGAUGGUGAUGCAUAGAAACGAGCGGGAGAGUGUUGUCCACGUACCCUCAUAGACCGAAAGCGGAAGCGUUAUGACAACGCGGUUGAUGUAGUCGUACGUCUUCACGAUCGACCGAUCCUCAGUACCGAACGUACGGCACCUCCGUGUUCAACACACGUUCAGCUUGGUGACGUCCCGCGAACUCACGAUCCAGUAGAGCUCGAGGGAGAGUUUUCUCAGCAUGACGACGUGAUGACGAUGUUGAUGAAGUUGCCGACACAGGGCUUCACCUAAGCACCGCUACGAUAUGACCGAGGUGGAUUAUGGUGGAAGGGGGCACCGCACACGGCUAAGAGAUCAAUGAUCAAUUGUUGUGUCUCCAAGGGGUGCCCCCUCCCCGUAUAUAAAGGAGCUAGGGGGAGGAGGCGGGCGGCCAGGAGGAGGGCGCGCCAACGGGAGUCCUACUCGCACCGGGAGUAGGAUUCCCCCCUUUCCAAGUUGGAGUAGGAGAGGUGGGAAAGAGGAGGGAGAGAAGAAGGAAAGGGGGGCCGGCCCCCUCACCCAAUUCGGAUUGGGCUUGGGGGGGGGCUCCUAUGCUUCCUCCACCUCUAUUCCACUAAGGCCCAAUAAGGCCCAUACACUUACCGGGGGGUUCCGGUAACCUCCCGAUACUCUGGUAAAUUCCCGAAUUCACCUGGAACCAUUCCGAUGUCCAAAUAUAGUCAUCCAAUAUAUCGAUCUUUAUGUCUCGACCAUUUUGAGACUCCUCAUCAUGUUCGUAAUCAUAUCUGAGACUCCGAACUACCUUCGGUACAUCAAAACAUAUAAACUCAUAAUACCGAUCGUCACAAAACUUUAAGCGUGCGGACCCUACGGGUUCGAGAACUAUGUAGACAUGACCGAGACACUUUUCCGGUCAAUAACCAAUAGCGGAACCUGGAUGCUCAUAUUGGUUCCUACAUAUUCUACGAAGAUCUUUAUCGGUCAAACCGCAUAACAACAUACAUUGUUCCCUUUGUCAUUGGUAUGUUACUUGCCCGAGAUUCAAUCGUUGGUAUCUCAAUACAUAGCUCAAUCUCGUUAUCAGCAAGUCUCUUUACUCGUUCCGUAGUGCAUCAUCCUGUAACUGACUCAUUAGUCACAUUGCUUGCAAGGCUUAUAGUGAUGUGCAUUACCAAGAGGGCCCAGAGAUACCUCUCCGACAAUCGGAGUGAAAAAUCCUAAUCUCGAACUAUGCCAACUCAACAAGUACCACCGGAAACACCUGUAGAGCACCUUUGUAAUCACCUAGUUACGUUGUGAAGUUUGGUAGCACACAAAGUGUUCCUCGGUAAUCGGGAGUUGCAUAAUCUCAUAGUCAUAGGAACAUGUAUAAGUCAUGGAGAAAGCAAUAGCAGUAAACUAAACGAUCAAGUGCUAAGCUAAUGGAAUGGGUCAAGUCAAUCACAACAUUCUCCUAAUGAUGUGAUCCUGUUAAUCAAAUGACAACUCAUGUCUAUGGCUAGGAAACUCAACCAUCUUUGAUUAACGAGCUAGUCAAGUAGAGGCAUACUAGUGACACUAUGUUUGUCUAUGUAUUCACACAUGUAUUAUGUUUCCGGUAAAUACAAUUCUAUCAUGAAUAAUAAAAAUUUAUCAUGAUAUGAUGAAAUAAAUAAUAACUAUAUUAUUGCCUCUAGGGCAUAUUUCCUUCAGUCUCCCACUUGCACUAGAGUCAGUAAUCUAGAUUAUACAGUAAUGAUUCUAACACCCAUGGAGUCUUGGUGCUGAUCAUGUUUUGCUCAUGGAAGACGCUUAGUCAACGGGUCUGCAACAUUCAGAUCCAUAUGUAUCUUGCAAAUCUCUAUGUCUCCCACCUGGACUUGAUCCCGGAUGGAAUUGAAGCGUCUCUUGAUGUGCUUGGUUCUCUUGUGAAAUAUGGAUUCCUUUGCCAAGACAAUUGCACCAGUAUUGUCACAAGAGAUUUUCAUUGGACCCGAUGCACUAGGUAUGACACCUAGAUCGUAUAUGAACUCCUUCAUCCAGACUCCUUCAUUUGCUGCUUCUGAAGCAGCUAUGUACUCCGCUUCACACGUAGAUCCCGCCAUGACGCUUUGUUUAGAACUACACCAACUGACAGCUCCACCGUUCAAUACAAACACGUAUCCAGUUUGCGAUUUAGAAGCGUCUGGAUCAGUGUCAAAUCUUGCAUCAACGUAGCCAUUUACGACGAGCUCUUUGUCACCUCCAUAAACAAGAAACAUAUCCUUAGUCCUUUUCAGGUAUUUCAGGAUGUUCUUGACCGCUGUCCAGUGAUCCACUCCUGGAUUACUUUGGUACCUCCCUGCUAAGCUAAUAGCAAGGCUCACAUCAGGUCUGGUACACAACAUUGCAUACAUGAUAGAGCCUAUGGGUGAAGCAUAGGGAACACUUUUCAUUUUCUCUCUAUCUUCUGCAGUGGUCGGGCAUUGGGUCUGACUCAACUUCACACCUUGUAACACAGGCAAGAAACUUUUCUUUGCUUGAUCCAUUUUGAACUUUUUCAAAACUUUGUCAAGGUAUGUGCUUUGUGAAAGUACAAUUAAGCGUCUUGAUCUAUCUCUAUAGAUCUUGAUGCACAAUAUGUAAGCAGCUUCACCGAGGUCUUUCAUUGAAAAACUCUUAUUCAAGUAUCCUCUUAUGCUAUCCAGAAAUUCUAUAUCAUUUCCAAUCAGCAAUAUGUCAUCCACAUAUAAUAUUAGAAAUGCUACAGAGCUCCCACUCAAUUUCUUGUAAAUACAGGCUUCUCCAAAAGUCUGUAUAAAACUAUAUGCUUUGAUCACACUAUCAAAACGUUUAUUCCAACUCUGAGAGGCUUGCACCAGUCCAUAAAUGGAUCGCUAGAGCUUGCACACUUUGUUAGUUCCCUUUGGAUUGACAAAACCUUCUGGUUGCAUCAUAUACAACUCUUCUUCCAGAAAUCCAUUCAGGAAUGCAGUUUUGACAUCCAUUUGCCAAAUUUCAUAAUCAUAAAAUGCGACAAUUGCUAACAUGAUUCGGACAGACUUAAGCAUCGCUACGGGUGAGAAAGUCUCAUCGUAGUCAACCCCUUGAACUUGUCAAAAACCUUUCACAACAAGUCAAGCUUUGUAAACAGUAACAUUACCGUCAGCGUCAGUCUUCUUUAAGAUUCAUUUAUUCUCUAUGGCUUGCCGAUCAUCGGGCAAGUCAACCAAAGUCCACACUUUGUUCUCAUAGAUGGAUCCCAUCUCAGAUUUCAUGGCCUCAAGCCAUUUUGCGGAAUCUGGGCUCACCAUGGCUUCUUCAUAGUUCGUAGGUUCGCCAUGGUCAAGUAACAUGACUUCCAGAACAGGAUUACCGUACCACUCUGGUGUGGAUCUUACUCUGGUUGACCUACGAGAUUCGGUAGUAACUUUAUCUGAAGUUUCAUGAUCAACAUCAUUAGCUUCCUCACUAAUUGGUGUAGGUGUCACAGGAACCGGUUUCUGUGAUGAACUACUUUCCAAUAAGGGAGCAGGUACAGUAACCUCAUCAAGUUCUACUUUCCUCCCACUCACUUCUUUUGAGAGAAACUCCUUCUCUAACAAUGAUCCAUUUUUAGCAACAAAUGUUUUGCCUUCGGAUCUGUGAUAGAAGGUGUACCCAACAGUCUCCUUUGGGUAUCCUAUGAAGGCACAUUUCUCCGAUUUGGGUUCGAGCUUAUCAAGUUGAAGCUUUUUCACAUAAGCAUCACAGCCCCAAACUUUAAGAAACGACAACUUUGGUUUCUUGCCAAACCACAGUUCAUAAGGCAUCGUCUCAACGGAUUUCGAUGGUGCCCUAUUUAAGGUGAAUGCAGCCAUCUCUAAAGCAUAACCCCAAAACGAUAGCGGUAAAUCAGUAAGGGACAUCAUAGAUCGCACCAUAUCUAGUAAAGUACGAUUACGACGUUCGGACACACCAUUACGCUAUGGUGUUUCGGGUGACGUGAGUUGCGAAACUAUUCCGCAUUGUUUCAAAUGAAGACCAAACUCGUAACUCAAAUAUUCUCCUCCACGAUCAGAUCGUAGAAACUUUAUUUUCUUGUCACGAUGAUUUUCCACUUCCCUCUGAAAUUCUUUGAACUUUUCAAAUGUUUCAGACUUAUGUUUCAUUAAGUAGAUAUACCCAUAUCUGCUCAAAUCAUCUGUGAAGGUGAGAAAAUAACGAUACCCGCCGCGAGCCUCAACAUUCAUAGGACCACAUACAUCAGUAUGUAUGAUCUCCAACUAAUCUAUUGCUCGCUCCAUUGUUCCGGAGAACGGCAUUUUAGUCAUCUUGCCCAUGAGACAUGGUUCGCAAGUACCAAGUGAUUCCAAAAGUCCAUCAGUAUGGAGUUUCUUCAUGCGCUUUACACCAAUAUGACCUAAAUGGCAGUGCCACAAAUAAGUUGCACUAUCAUUAUCAACUCUGCAUCUUUUGGCUUCAAUAUUAUGAAUAUGUGUAUCACUACUAUCGAGAUUUAAUAUAAAUAGACCACUCUUCAAGGGUGCAUGACCAUAAAAGAUAUUACUCAUAUAAAUAGAACAACCAUUAUUCUCUGAUUUAAAUGAAUAACCGUCUCGCAUCAAACAAGAUCUAGAUAUAAUGUUCAUGCACAACGCUGGCACCAAAUAACAAUUAUUAAGGUCUAAAACUAAUCCCGAAGGUAGAUGUAGAGGUAGCGUGCCGACUGUGAUCACAUCGACUUUGGAACCAUUUCCCACGCACAUCGUCACCUCGUCCUUAGCCAAUCUUCGCUUAAUCUGUAGUCCUUGUUUCAAGUUGCAAAUAUUAGCAACAGAACCAGUAUCAAAUACCCAGGUGCUACUGCGAGUGUUAGUAAGGUACACAUCAAUAACAUGUAUAUCACAUAUACCUUUGUUCACCUUGCCAUCCUUCUUAUCCGCCAAAUACUUGGGGCAGUUCCGCUUCCAGUGACCAGUCCCUUUGCAGUAGAAGCACUCAGUCUCAGGCUUAUGUCCAGACUUGGGUUUCUUCUCCUGAGCAGCAACUUGUUUGCUGUUCUUCUUGAAGUUCCCCUUCUUCUUCCCUUUACCCUUUUGCUUGAAACUGGUGGUCUUGUUGACCAUCAACACUUGAUGCUCCUUCUUGAUUUCUACCUACGCAGCUUUUAGCAUCACGAAGAGCUCGGGAAUUGUCUUACCAUCCCUUGCAUAUUAUAGUUCAUCACAAAGCUCUUGUAGCUUGGUGGCAGUGAUUGAAGAAUUCUGUCAAUGACGCUAUCAUUCGGAAGAUGAACUCCCAGUUGAAUCAAGUGAUUAUUAUACCCAGACAUUUUGAGUAUAUGUUCACUGACAGAACUAUUCUCCUCCAUCUUACAGCUGUAGAACUUAUUGGAGACUUCAUAUCUCUCAAUCCGGGCAUUUGCUUGAAAUAUUAACUUCAACUCCUGGAACAUCUCAUAUGCUCCAUGACGUUAAAAACGUCGUUGAAGUCCCGGUUCUAAGCCGUAAAGCAUGGCACACUGAACUAUCAUGUAGUCAUCAACAUGCGACUGCCAGGCAUUCACAAUGUCUGCAGUUGCCGGCGCGGGUGGUACACCUAACGGUGCUUCCAGGACGUAAUUCUUCUAUGCAACAAUGAGGAUAAUCCUCAAGUUACGGACCCAGUCCGUGUAAUUGCUACCAUCAUCUUUCAACUUUGCUUUCUCAAGGAACGCAUUAAAAUUCAACGGAACAACAGCACGGGCCAUCUAUCUACAACAACAUAGACAAGCAAAAUAAUAUCAGGUACUAAGUUCAUGAUAAAUUAAAGUUCAAUUAAUCAUAUUACUUAAGAACUCCCACUUAGAUAGACAUCCCUCUAAUCGUCUAAGUGAUCACGUGAUCCAUCUCAACUAAACCAUGUCCGAUCAUCACGUGAGAUGUAGUAGUUUUCAAUGGUGAACAUCACUAUGUUGAUCAUAUCUACUAUAUGAUUCACGCUCGACCUUUCGGUCUCAGUGUUCCGAGGCCAUAUCUGCAUAUGCUAGGCUCGUCAAGUUUAACCCAAGUAUUCUGCGUGUGCAAAACUGGCUUACACCCGUUGUAUUUGAACGUAGAGCUUAUCACACCCGAUCAUCACAUGGUGUCUCGGCACGACGAACUUUCGCAAUGGUGCAUACUCAGGGAGAACACUUAUACCUUGAAAUUUAGUGAGAGAUCAUCUUAUAAUGCUGCCGUCAAACAAAGCAGAAUAAGAUGCAUAAAAGAUAAACAUCACAUGCAAUCAAUAUAAGUGAUAUGAUAUGGCCAUCAUCAUCUUGUGCCUUUGAUCUCCAUCUCCAAAGCACCGUCAUGAUCACCAUCUUCACCGACACGACACCUUCAUCUCCAUCGUAGCAUCAUUGUCGUCUCGCCAACUUAUUGUUUCUACGACUAUCGCUACCGCUUAGUGAUAAAGUAAAAACAAUUAAAGGGCGAUUGCAUUGCAUACAAUAAAGAGACAACCAUAUGGCUCCUGCCAGUUGUCGAUAACUCUGUUACAAAACAUGAUCAUCUCAUACAAUAAAAUUUAGCAUCAUGUCUUGACCAUAUCACAUCACCGCAUGCCCUGCAAAAACAAGUUAGACGUCCUCUACUUUGUUGUUGCAAGCUUUACGUUCCUGCUACGGGCUGAGCAAGAACCAUUCUUACCUACGCAUCAAAACCACAACGAUAUUUCGUCAAGUUAGUGAUGUUUUAACCUUCACAAGGACCGGGCGUAGCCACACUCGGUUCAACUAAAGUUGGAGAAACAGAUACCUGCCAGCCACCUGUGUGCAAAGCACGUCGGUAGAACCAGUCUCGCGUAAGCGUACGCGUAAUGUCGGUCCAGGCUGCUUCAUCCAACAAUACCGUCGAACCAAAGAAUGACAUGCUAGUAAGCAGUAUGACUUGUAUCGCCCACAACUCACUUGUGUUCUACCCGUGCAUAUAACAUCUACGCAUAAACCUGGCUCGGAUGCCACUUUUGGGGAACGUAGCAAUUUCAAAAAAAAUCCUACGCACACGUAAGAUGAUGGUGAUGCAUAGCAAUGAGCGGCUGAGUGUUGUACACGUACCCUCACAGACCGAAAGCGGAAGCGUUAUGACAAUGCGGUUGAUAUAGCCGUAUGUCUUCACGAUCGAUCGAUCCUCAGUACCGAAUGUACGGCACCUCCGUGUUCAGCACACGUUCAUCUCGGUGACGUCCCGCAAACUCACGAUCCAGUAGAGCUCAAGGGAGAGUUUCGUCAGCACGACGGCGUGAUGACGAUGUUGAUGAAGUUACCGACGCAGGGCUUCGCCUAAGCACUGCUACAAUAUGACUGAGGUGGAUUAUGGUGGAAGGGGGCACCGCACACGGCUAAGAGAUCAAUGAUCAAUUGUUGUGUCUCCAAGGGGUUCCCCCCUCCCCGUAUAUAAAGGAGCUAGGGGGAGGAGGAGGGCACGCCAAGGGGAGUCCUACUCCCACCAGGAGUAGGAUUCCCCCCUUUCCAAGUUGGAGUAGGAGAGGUGGAAAGAGGAGGGAGAGUAGAAGGAAAGGGGGGUCGGCCCCCUCACCCAAUUCGGAUUGGGCUUGGGGGGGGCGCCCCCUCCUAUGCUUCCUCCUCCUCUAUUCCACUAAGGCCCAAUAAGGCCCAUACACAUACCGGGGGCGGUUCCGGUAACCUCCCGGUACUCCGGUAAAUUCCCGAAUCGACCUGGAACCAUUCCGAUGUCCAAAUAUAGUCGUCCAAUAUAUCGAUCUUUAUGUAUCGACCAUUUCGAGACUCCUCGUCAUGUCCGUGAUCAUAUCCGGGACUCCAAACUACUUUCGGUACAUCAAAACAUAUAAACUCAUAAUACCGAUUGCCACAGAACUUUAAGCGUGCGGACCCUACAGGUUCGAGAACUAUGUAGACAUGACCGAGACAUGUUUCCGGUCAAUAACCAAUAGCGGAACCUGGAUGCUCAUAUUGGUUCCUACAUAUACUACGAAGAUCUUUAUCGGUCAAACCGCAUAACAACAUACGUUGUUCCCUUUAUCAUCGGUAUGUUACUUGCCCGAGAUUCGAUCGUCGGUAUCUCAAUACCUAGCUCAAUCUCGUUACCGGCAAGUCUCUUUACUCGUUCCGUAGUGCAUAAUCCCGUAACUAACUGAUUAGUCACAUUGCUUGCAAGGCUUAUAGUGAUGUGCAUUACCGAGAGGGCCCAGAGAUACCUCUCCGACAAUCGGAGUGACAAAUCCUAAUCUCGAUCUAUGCCAACUCAACAAGUACCAUCGGAAACACCUGUAGAGCACCUUUAUAAUCACCCAGUUACAUUGUGACAUUUGGUAGCACACAAAGUGUUCCUCCGGUAAUCGGGAGUUGCAUAAUCUCAUAGUCAUAGGAACAUGUAUAAGUCAUGGAGAAAGCAAUAGCAGUAAACUAAACGAUCAAGUGCUAAGCUAAUGGAAUGGGUCAAGUCAAUCACAUCAUUCUCCUAAUGAUGUGAUCAUGUUAAGAAAAUGACAACUCAUGUCUAUGGCUAGGAAACUCAACCAUUUUGAUUAACGAGCUAGUCAAGUAGAGGCAUACUAGUGACACUAUGUUUGUCUAUGUAUUCACACAUGUAUUAUGUUUCCGGUUAAUACAAUUCUAGCGUGAAUAAUAAACAUUUAUCAUGAUAUGAGGAAAUAAAUAAUAACUUUAUUAUUGCCUCUAGGGCAUAUUUCCUUCAAAUGGUUUAUUGAAUCUCGAUCAUAGUGAUACACAUAUUCAUAAUAUUGAUGCCAAAAGAUGCAAAGUUGAUAAUGAUAGUGAAACAUACAAGUGGCACUGCCGUUUAGGUCAUAUUGGUGUAAAGCGCAUGAAGAAAUUCCAUGCGGAUGGACUUUUGGAAUCACUUGAUUAUGAAUCAUUUGAUGCUUGCGAACCAUGCCUCAUGGGCAAGAUGACUAAGACUCCGUUCUCCGGAACAAUGGAGUGAGCCACUGACUUGUUGGAAAUAAUACAUACCGAUGUAUGCGGUCCGAUGAGUGCUGAGGCUCGCAGCGGGUAUCAUUAUUUUCUGACCUUCACAGAUGAUUUCAGCAGAUAUGGGUAUAUCUACUUAAUGAAACAUAAGUCUGAAACAUUUGAAAAGUUCAAAGAAUUCCAGAGUGAAGUGGAAAAUCAUCGUAACAAGAAAAUAAAGUUUCUACGAUCUGAUCGCGGAGGCGAAUAUUUGAGUUACGAGUUUGGUCUUCAUUUGAAACAAUGUGGAAUAGUUUCGCAAGUCACGCCACCUGGAACACCACAGCGUAAUGGUGUGUCCAAACGCCGUAACCGUACUUUAUUAGAUAUGGUGUGAUCUAUGAUGUCUCUUACCGAUUUACCACUAUCAUUUUGGGGUUAUGCAUUAGAGACAGCUGCAUUCACGUUAAAUAGGGCACCAUCUAAAUCCGUUGAAACGACACCAUAUGAACUGUGGUUUAGCAAGAAACCUAAGCUGUCGUUUCUUAAAGUUUGGGGUUGAGAUGCUUAUGUGAAAAAGCUUCAACCUGAUAAGCUCGAACCCAAAUUGGAGAAAUGCGUCUUUAUAGGAUACCGAAAGGAAAAUGUUGGGUACACCUUCUAUCACAGAUCCAAAGGCAAGAUAUUCGUUACUAAAAAUGGAUCCUUUCUAGAGAAGAAGUUUCUCUCAAAAGAAGUGAGUGGGAGGAAUGUAGAACUUGAUGAGGUAAUUGUACCUUCUCCCAAAUUGGAAAGUAGUUCAUCACAGAAAUCAGUUCCAGUGAUUCCUACAUCAAUUAGUGAGAAAGCUAAUGAUGAUCAUGAAACUUCAGAUCAAGUUACUACCUCGUAGGUCAACCAGAGUACAGUCCGCACCAGAGUGACACGGCAAUCCUAUUCUGGAAGUCAUGUUACUAGACCAUGACGAACCUACGAACAAUGAGGAAGCGAUGAUAAGCCCAAAUUCCACGAAAUGGCUUGAGGCCAUAAAAUCUGAGAUGGGAUCCAUGUAUGAGAACAAAGUAUGGACUUUGAUUGACUUGCCCGAUGAUCGGUGAGCCAUUGAGAAUAAAUGGAUCUUCAAGAGGAAGACGGACGCUGAUAGUAGUGUUAAUAUCUACAAAUCUUGAAUUGUCGCAAAAAGUUUUUGACAAGUUCAAGGUGUUGACUACGAUAAGAUUUUCUCACUCAUAGCGAUGCUUAAGUCUGUCCGAAUCAUGUUAGCAAUUGCCACAUUUUAUGAAAUCUAGAAAAUGGAUGUCAAAACUACAUUCCUCAAUGGAUUUCUUAAAGAAGAGUUGUAUGUGAUGCAACAAGAAGGUUUUGUCAAUCCUAAAGGUGCUAACAAAGUGUGCAAGCUCCAGCGAUCCAUCUAUGGACUGGUGCAAGCAUCUCGGAGCUGGAAUAUACGCUUUGAUAAGGUGAUCAAAGCAUAUGGUUUUAUACAGACUUUUGGUGAAGCCUGUAUUUACAAGAAAGUGAGUGGGAGCACUACAACCUUUCUGAUAGGUAUAUGUGAAUGACAUAUUGUUGAUCAGAAAUGAUGUAGAAUUUUCUUGAAAGCAUAAAGGAGUGUUUGAAAGGAGUUUUUCAAAGAAAGACCUCGGUGAAGCUGCUUACAUAUUGAUCAUCAAGAUCUAUAGAUAUAGAUCAAGACGCUUGAUAAGUUUUUUUAAUGAGUACAUACCUUGACAAGUUUAUGAAGUAGUUCAAAAUGGAACAGUCAAAGAAGGAGUUCUUGCCUGUGUUGCAAGGUGUGAAGUUGAGUAAAGACUCAAAACCCGACACGACAGAAAAUAGAAAGAGAAUGAAAAGUCAUUCCCUAUGCCUCAGGCAUAGGUUCUAUAAAAUACGAUAUGUUGUGUACCAGACCUACGGUGUACCUCGCCAUGAGUUUGGCAAGAGGGUACAAUAGUGAUCCAGAGUGGAUCACUGGACAACAGUCAAAAUUAUCCUUAGUGGAAUAAGGACAUGUUUCUCGGUUAUGGAGGUGACACUGAUCCGGAUGACUCUAAGUCUCAAUCUAGAUACAUAUUGAAAGUGGGAGCAAUUAGCUAGAGUAGUUCCAUGCAGAGCAUUAUAGACAUAGAAAAUUUGCAAAAUGCAUACGGCUCUGAAUGUGGCAGACCCGUUGACCAAACUUCUCUCACAAGCAAAACAUGAUGACACCUUAGUACUCUUUGGGUGUUAAUCACAUAGCAAUGUGAACUUGAUUAUUGACUCUAGUAAACCCUUUGGGUGUUAGUCACAUGGAGAUGUGAACUAAUCACAUAAAGAUGUGAACUAUUGGUGUUAAAUCACAUGACGAUGUGAACUAGAUUAUUCACUCUAGUGCAAGUGGGAGACUGAAGGAAAUAUGCCCUAAAGGCAAUAAUAAAGUUGUUAUUUAUGUUUCCUUAUAUCAUGAUAAAUGUUUAUUAUUCAAGCUAGAAUUGUAUUAACCCGAAACUUAGUACAUGUGUGAAUACAUAGACAAAACAGAGUGUCCCUAGUAUGCCUCUACUUGACUAGCUCAUUAAUCAAAGAUGGUUAAGUUUCCUGACCAUAGACAUGUGUUGUUAUUUGAUGAACGGGAUCACAUCAUUAGGAGAAUGAUGUGAUGGACAAGACCCAUCCGUUAGCUUAGCAUAAUGAUCAUUUAGUUUUAUUGCUAUUGCUUUCUUCAUGACUUGUACAUGUUCCUCUGACUAUGAGAUUAUGCAACUCCCGAAUACCGGAGGAACACCUUGCGUUCUAUAAAACGUCACAACGUAACUGGGUGAUUAUAAAGAUGCUCUACAGGUGUCUCCGAAGGUAUUUGUUGAGUUGGCAUAGAUCCAGAAUAGGAUUUGUCACUCCGUGUAUCGAAGAGGUAUCUGUGGGCCCUCUCGGUAAUGCACAUCACUAUAAGCCUUGCAAGCAAUGUGACUAAUGUGUUAGUUACGGGAUGAUGCAUUACGGAACGAGUAAAGAGACUUGCCAGUAACGAGAUUGAACUAGGUAUGAAGAUACAGACGAUCGAAUCUCGGGCAAGUAACAUACCGAUGACAAAGGGAAUAACGUAUGUUGUUAUGCGGUUUGACCGAUAAAGAUCUUCGUAGAAUAUGUAGGAACCAAUAUGAGCAUCCAGGUUCUGCUAUUGGUUAUUGACCGGAGAUGUGUCUCAGUCAUGUCUACAUAGUUCUCGAACCAGUAGGGUCCGCACGCUUAACAAUCGAUGAUGAUUUUUAUUAUGAGUUAUGUGUUUUGGUGACCGAAGUUUGUUCGGAGUCCCGAAUGAGAUCACGGACAUGACGAGGAGUCUCGUAAUGGUCGAGAGGUAAAGAUUGAUAUAUUGGAAGGUAGUAUUCAAACACUGGAAGGGUUCUGGAGUGUAUCGGGUACAUACCGGAGUACCGGAGGGGUUACCGGAACCCCCCGGGGAAAGAUAUGGGCCAUAGAGGGAGGUUAACCAGCCCACAAGGGGCUGGUGCACCCCCCACAAGGGAGCAGGCCGAAUUGGAUUAGGGAAGGGGGCGGCGCCCCCCUUUCCUUCUCCCUCUCCUUUCCCCCUUUCCCCCUCCGGAAGGAGGAAAAGGGGGGGGGGCGAAUCCUACUAGGACUGGAGUCCUAGUAGUGUUGGGGAACGUAGUAAUUUCAAAAAUUUCCUACGCACACACAAGAUCAUGGUGAUGGUAUAGCAACGAGAGGGGAGAGUGUUUGUCCACGUACCCUCGUAGACCGUAAGCGGAAGCGUUAGCACAACGCGAUUGAUGUAGUCGUACGUCUUCACGAUCCGACCGAUCCAAGCAGCGAACGUACGGGGCCUCCGAGUUCAGCACACGUUCAGCUCGAUGAUGAUCUCCGUGCUCCGAUCCAGCAAAGCUUCGGAGAUGAGUUCCGUCAGCACGACAGCGUGGUGACGAUGAUGAUGCUCUACCGACGCAGGGCUUCGCCUAAACUCCGCGACGAUAUGACCGAGGUGGAAUAUGGUGGAAGGGGGCACCGCACACGGCUAAGGAACGAUCCGUAGAUCAACUUGUGUGUCUAUGGGGUGCCCCCUGCCCCCGUAUAUAAAGGAGUGGAGGAGGGGAGGGCCGGCCCUCUCUAUGGCGCGCCCUAGGGGAGUCCUACUCCCACCGGGAGUAGGAUUCCCCCUUUCCUAGUCCAACUAGGAGCCCUUCCAAGUAGUAGGAGUAGGAGACAAGGAAGGGGAAGAGAGAAGGGAAGGAAGGAGGGGGUGCGGCCCCUCCCCCUAGUCCAAUUCGGACUAGGCCAUGGGGGGGGGGGGCGCGCGGCUUGCCCUAGGCAGCCCCUCUCUCUUUCCCGUAUGGCCCAAUAAGGCCCAAUACUUCUCCCUGGCGAAUUCCCGUAACUCUCCGGUACUCCGAUAAAUACCCGAAUCACUCGGAACCUUUCCGAACUCCGAAUAUAGUCGUCCAAUAUAUCGAUCUUUACAUCUCGACCAUUUCGAGACUCCUCGUCAUGUCCCCGAUCUCAUCCGGGACUCCGAAGUCCUUCGGUACAUCAAAACACAUAAACUCAUAAUAUAACUGUCAUCGUAACGUUAAGCGUGCGGACCCUACGGGUUCGAGAACUAUGUAGACAUGACCUAGAACUAUUCUUGGUCAAUAACCAAUAGCGGAACCUGGAUACCCAUAUUGGCUCCUACAUAUUCUACGAAGAUCUUUACCGGUCAAACCGCAUAACAACAUACGUUGUUCCCUUUGUCAUUGGUAUGUUACUUGCCCGAGAUUCGAUCGUCGGUAUCCAAUACCUAGUUCAAUCUCGUUACCGGCAAGUCUCUGUACUCGUUACGUAUGCAUCAUCCCGCAACUAACUCAUUAGUCACAUUGCUUGCAAGGCUUAUAGUGAUGUGCAUUACCGAGAGGGCCCAGAGAUACCUCUCCGACAAUCGGAGUGACAAAACCUAAUCUCGAAAUACGCCACCCCAACAUGUACCUUUGGAGACACCUGUAGUACUCCUUUAUAAUCACCCAGUUACAUUGUGACGUUUGGUAGCACCCAAAGUGUUCCUCCGGUAAAUGGGAGUUGCAUAAUCUCAUAGUUAUAGGAACAUGUAUAAGUCAUGAAGAAAGCAAUAGCAACAUACUAAACGAUCAAGUGCUAGGCUAACGGAAUGUGUCAUGUUAAUCACAUCAUUCUCCUAAUGAUGUGAUCCCGUUAAUCAAAUGACAACUCAUGUCUAUGGCUAGGAAACUUAACCAUCUUUGAUUCAACGAGCUAGUCAAGUAGAGGCAUACUAGUGACACUAUGUUUGUCUAUGUAUUCACACAUGUAUUAUGUUUCCGGUUAAUACAAUUCUAGCAUGAAUAAUAAACAUUUAUCAUGAAAUAAGGAAAUAAAUAAUAACUUUAUUAUUGCCUCUAGGGCAUAUUUUCUUCAGUCUCCCACUUGCACUAGAGUCAAUAAUCUAGUUCACAUCACCAUGUGAUUUAACACCAAUAUUCAUGUCUGUAUAUGAUUAACACCCAUAGUUCACAUCGUCAUGUGACUAACACCCAAAGGGUUUACUAGAGUCAAUAAUCUAGUUCACAUCGCUAUGUGAUUAACACCCAAAGAGUAGUAAGGUGUGAUCAUGUUUUGCUCGUGAGAGAAGCUUAGUCAACGGGUCUAUCAUAUUCAAAGCCGUAUGUAUUUUGCAAAUAUUCUAUGUCUACAAUGAUCUGCAUGGAGCUACUCUAGCUAAUUGCUCCCACUUUCAAUAUGUAUCCAGAUUAAGACUUAGAGUCAUCUGGAUCAGUGCCAAAACUUGUAUCAAUGUAACCUUUUACGACGAACCUUUUGUCACCUACAUAAUUGAAAAACAUAUCCUUAUUCCCAUUAGGAUAAUUUUGACCAAUGUCUAGUGAUCUUACUCCUAGAUCACUAUUGUACUCCCUUGCCAAACCAGAGCAAGGUAUACAAUAGGUCUGGUUCAAAGCAUAGCAUACUUUAUAGAACCUAUGACUGAGGCAUAGGGAAUGACUUUUCAUUCUCUUUCUAUUUUCUGCCAUGGUCGGGUCUUGAGUCUUACUCAACUUCACACCUUUGCAUCACAGGCAAGAACUCCUUCUUUAACUGUUCUAUUUUGAUCUAUUUGAAAAUUUAUCAAGGUAUGUAUUCAUUGAAAAAUCUUAUCAAGCGUCUUGAUCUAUCUAUAUAGAUCUUGAUGCUCAAUGUGUAAGCAGCUUCACCGAGGUCUUGCUUUGAAAAACUCCUUUCAAAACACUCCUUUAUGCUUUGCAGAAUAAUUCUACAUUAUUUCCGAUCAACAAUAUGUCAUUCACAUAUACUUAUCAGAAAUACUGUAGUGCUCCCACUCACUUUCUUGUAAAUACAGGCUUCUCCAAAAGUCUGUAUAAAAUCAUAUGCUUUGAUCAACUCAUCAAAGCGUAUAUUCCAACUCCGAGAUGCUUGCACCAGUCCAUAGAUGGAUCGCUGGAGCUUGCACACUUUGUUAGCAUCUUUAGGAUUGACAAAACCUUCUGGUUGCAUCAUAUACAACUCUUCUUUAAUAAAUCCAUUAAAGAAUGCAGUUUUGACAUCCUUUUGCCAGAUUUCAUAAAAUGUGGCAAUUGCUAACAUGAUUUGGACAGACUUUAAGCAUCGAUACGAGUGAGAAAAAACUCAUCGUAGUCAACAUCUUGAACUUUGUCAAAAACCUUUUUCGACAAAUCUAGCUUUGUAGAUAGUAACACUACUAUCAACGUCCGUCUUCCUCUUGAAGAUCCAUUUAUUUUCUAUGGCUUGCUGAUCAUCGGGCAAGUCAAUCAAAGUCCACACUUUGGUCUCAUAUAUGGAUCCCAUCUCAGAUUUCAUGGCCUCAAACCAUUUCGCGGAAUCUGGGCUCAUCAUCGCUUCCUCAUAGUUCAUAGGUUCAUCAUGGUCUAGUAACAUGACUUCCAGGACAGGAUUACCGUACCACUCUGGUGUGGACUGUACUUUGGAAGACCUACGAGGUUUUGUAGUAACUUGAUCUGAAGUUUCAUGAUCAUCAUCAUUAGCUUCCUCACUAAUUGGUGUAGGAAUCACUGGAACUGAUUUCUGUGAUGAACUACUUUCCAAUUCGGGAGAAGGUACAAAUUACCUUAUCAAGCUCUACUUUCCUCCCACUCACUUCUUUCGAGAGAAACUCCUUCUCUAGAAAGGAUCCAUUCUUAGCAACGAAUGUUUUGCCUUCGGAUCUGUGAUAGACGGUGUACCCAACAGUUUCCUUUGGGUAUUCUAUGAAGACGCACUUCUCCGAUUUGGGUUCGAGCUUAUCAAGUUGAAAACCUUUUUCAUAUAAGCAUCGCAACUCCAAACUUUAAGAAACGACAGCUUAGGUUUACUGCUAAACCAUAGUUCAUACGGUGUUGUCUCAACGGAUUUAGAUGGUGCCCUAUUAAACGUGAAUGCAGCUGUCUCUAAUGCAUAACCCCAAAAUGAUAGUGGUAAACGGAUAAGAGAUAUCAUAGAUCGCACCAUAUCUUAGUAAAGUAUGAUUACGACGUUCGGACACACCAUUACAUUGUGGUGUUCCAGGUGGCGUGAGUUUGUGAAACUAUUCCACAUUGUUUUAAUUGAAGACCAAACUCGUAACUCAAAUAUUCAUCUCCAUGAUCAGAUCGCAGAAACUUUAUUUUCUUGUUACGAUGAUUUUCCACUUCACUCUGAAAUUCUUUGAACCUUUCAACUAUUUCAGACUUAUGUUUCAUCAAGUAGAUAUACCCAUAUCUGCUCAAAUCAUCUUGUGAAGGUCAGAAAAUAACGAUACUUGCCACGAGCCUUCAUACUCAUUGGUCUACAUACAUCAGUAUGUAUUAUUUCCAACAAGUCAGUAGCUCGUUCCAUUGUUCCGAAGAACGGAGUUUUAGUCAUCUUGCCCAAAAGGCACGGUUCGCAAGCAUCAAAUGAUUCAUAACCAAGUGAUUCCGAAAAUCCAUCUUUAUGGAGUUUCUUCAUGCGCUUUACACCGAUAUGACCCAAACGGCAGUGCCACAAAUAAGUUGCACUAUCAUUAUUAACUUUGCAUCUUUUGGCAUCAAUAUUAUGAAUAUGUGUAUCACUAUGAUCGAGAUCCAACAAACUAUUUUCAUUGGGUGUAUGACCAUCGAAGGUCUUAUUCAUGUAAACAGAACAACAAUUAUUCUCUUACUUUAAAUGAAUAACCGUAUUGCAAUAAACAUGAUCAAAUCAUAUUCACGCUCAACGCAAACGCCAAAUAACAUUUAUUUAGGUUUAACACUAAUCCCGAAAGUAUAGGGAGUGUGCGAUGAUGAUCAUAUCAAUCUUGGAACUACUUCCAACACUCAUCGUCACUUCCCCUUCAACUAGUCUCUGUGUAUUCUGUAACUCCUGUUUUGAGUUACUAAUCUUAGCAACCGAACAAGUAUCAAAUACUCAGGGGCUACUAUAAACACUAGUAAGGUACACAUCAAUAACCUGUAUAUCAAAUAUACCCUUGUUCACUUUGCCAUCCUUCUUAUCCACCAAAUAUUCAGGGCAUUUCCGUUUCCAGUGACCAUUUCCUUUGCAGUGUAAGCACUCAGUUUCAGGCUUUGGUUCAGCUUUGGGCUUCUUCGUGGGAGUGACAACUUGCUUGUCAUUCCACUUAAAGUUCCCUUUCUUUUCCUUUGCCCUUUUCUUGAAACUAGUGAUCUUGUCAAUCAUCAACACUUGAUGCUUUUUCUUGAUUUCUACCUUCGUCGAUUUCUACAUCACGAAGAGCUCGGGAAUCGUUUUCGUCAUCCCUUGCAUACUAUAGUUCACCACGAAGUUCUAGUAACUUAGUGAUGGUGACUAGAGAAUUAUGUCAAUCACUAUUUUAUCUGGAAGAUUAACUCCCACUUGAUUCAAGCGAUUGAAGUACCCAGACAAUCUGAGCACAUGUUCACUAGUUGAGCGAUUCUCCUCCAUCUUUUAGCUAUAGAACUUGUUGGAGACUUCGUAUCUCUCAACUCGGGUAUUUUCUUAAAAUAUUAACUUCAACUCCUGGAACAUCUCAUAUGGUCCAUGACGUUCAAAACGUCUUUGAAGUCCCGAUUCUAAGCCGUUAAGUAUGGUGCACUAAACUAUCAAGUAGUCAUCAUAUUGAGCUAGCCAAACGUUCAUAACGUCUGUAUCUGCUCCUGCAAUAGGUCUGUCACCUAGCGGUGCAUUAAGGACAUAAUUCUUCUGUGCAGCAAUGAGGAUAAACCUCAGAUCACGGAUCCAAUCCGUAUCAUUGCUACUAACAUUUUUCAACACAAUUUUCUCUAGGAACAUAUCAAAAUAAACAUAUGAAAGCAACAAUGCAAGCUAUUGAUUUACAACAUAAUUUGCAAAAUACUACCUGGACUGAGUUCAUGAUAAAUUUAAGUUCAAUUAAUCAUAUUACUUAAGAACUCCCACUUAGAUAGACAUCUCUCUAGUCAUCUAAGUGAUCACGUGAUCCAAAUCAACUAAACCAUGUCCGAUCAUCACGUGAGAUGGAGUAGUUUCAAUGGUGAACAUCACUAUGUUGAUCAUAUCUACUAUAUGAUUCACGUUCGACCUUUCGGUCUCCGUGUUCCGAGGCCAUAUCUGUAUAUGCUAGGCUCGUCAAGUUUAACCUGAGUAUUCCGCGUGUGCAACUGUUUUGCACCCGUUGUAUUUGAACGUAGAGCCUAUCACACUCGAUCAUCACGUGGUGUCUCAGCACGAAGAACUUUCGCAACGGUGCAUACUCAGGGAGAACACUUCUUGAUAAUUAGUGAGAGAUCAUCUUAAAAUGCUACCGUCAAACAAAACAGAAUAAGAUGUAUAACAGAUAAACAUCAUAUGCAAUCAAAAUAUGUAACAUGAUAUGGCCAUGAUCAUCUUGCGCCUUUGAUCUCCAUCUCCAAAGUACUGUCAUGAUCUCUAUCGUCACCGGCACGACACCAUGAUCUUCAUCAUCUUGAUCUAUAUCAAUGUGUCGUCACAUGGUCGUCUCGCCAACUAUUGCUCUUGCAACUAUUGCUAUCGCAUAACGACAAAGUAGAGCAAUUAUUUGGCACUUGCAUCUUAUGCAACAAAGAGACAACCAUAGAGCUUCUGCCAGUUGCCGAUAACUUCAACAAAACAUGAUCAUCUCAUACAAUAACUUAUAUCUCAUCACGUCUUGACCAUAUCACAUCACAACAUGCCUUGCAAAAACAAGUUAGACGUCCUCUACUUUGUUGUUGCAAGUUUUACGUGGCUGCUACGGGCUGAGCAAGAACCGUUCUUACCUACACAUCAAAACCACAACGAUAGUUCGUCAAGUUGGUGUUGUUUUAACCUUCGCAAGGACCGGGCGUAGCCACACUCGGUUCAACUAAAGUUGGAGAAACAGACACCCGCUAGUCACCUGUGUGCAAAGCACGACGGUAAAACCAGUCUCGCGUAAGCGUACACGUAAUGUCGGUCCGGGCCGCUUCAUCCAACAAUACCGCUGAACCAAAGUAUGACAUGCUGGUAAGCGGUAUGACUUGUAUCGCCCACAACUCACUUGUGUUCUACUCGUGCAUAUAACAUCAACUCAUAAAACCUAGGCUCGGAUGCCACUGUUGGGGAACGUAGUAAUUUCAAAAUUUUCCUACGCACACACAAGAUCAUGGUGAUGGUAUAGCAACGAGAGGGGAGAGUGUUCGUCCACGUACCCUCGUAGACCGUAAGCGGAAGCGUUAGCACAACGCGGUUGAUGUAGUCGUACGUCUUCACGAUCCGACCGAUCCAAGCACCGAACGUACGGGGCCUCCGAGUUCAGCACACGUUCAGCUCGAUGACGAUCUCCGUGCUCCGAUCCAACAAAGCUUCGGAGAUGAGUUCCGUCAGCACGACGGCGUGGUGACGAUGAUGAUGCUCUACCGACGCAGGGCUUCGCCUAAACUCCGCGACGAUAUGACCGAGGUGGAAUAUGGUGGAAGGGGGCACCGCACACGGCUAAGGAACGAUCCAUAGAUCAACUUGUGUGUCUAUGGGGUGCCCCCUGCCCCCGUAUAUAAAGGAGUGGAGGAGGGGAGGGCCGGCCCUCUCUAUGGCGCGCCCUAGGGGAGUCCUACUCCCACCGGGAGUAGGAUUCCCCCUUUCCUAGUCCAACAAGGAGCCCUUCCAAGUAGUAGGAGUAGGAGACACGGAAGGGGAAGAGAGAAGGGAAGGAAGGAGGGGGUGCGGCCCCUCCCCCUAGUCCAAUUCGGACUAGGCCAUGGGGGGGCGCGCGGCUUGCCCUAGGCAGCCCCUCUCUCUUUCCCGUAUGGCCCAAUAAGGCCCAAUACUUCUCCCUGGCGAAUUCCCGUAACUCUUCGGUACUCCGAUAAAUACCCGAAUCACUCGGAACCUUUCCGAACUCCGAAUAUAGUCGUCCAAUAUAUCGAUCUUUACGUCUCGACCAUUUCGAGACUCCUCGUCAUGUCCCCGAUCUCAUCCGGGACUCCGAACUCCUUCGGUACAUCAAAACACAUAAACUCAUAAUAUAACUGUCAUUGUAACGUUAAGCGUGCGGACCCUACGGGUUCGAGAACUAUGUAGACAUGACCUAGAACUAUUCUUGGUCAAUAACCAAUAGCGGAACCUGGAUGCCCAUAUUGGCUCCUACAUAUUCUACGAAGAUCUUUAUCGGUCAAACCGCAUAACAACAUACGUUGUUCCCUUUGUCAUCGGUAUGUUACUUGCCCGAGAUUCGAUCGUCGGUAUCCAAUACCUAGUUCAAUCUCGUUACCGGCAAGUCUCUUUACUCGUUACGUAAUGCAUCAUCCUGCAACUAACUCAUUAGUCACAUUGCUUGCAAGGCUUAUAGUGAUGUGCAUUACCGAGAGGGCCCAGAGAUACCUCUCCGACAAUCGGAGUGACAAAACCUAAUCUCGAAAUACGCCACCCCAACAUGUACCUUUGGAGACACCUGUAGUACUCCUUUAUAAUCACCCAGUUACGUUGUGGCGUUUGGUAGCACCCAAAGUGUUCCUCCGUUAAAUGGGAGUUGCAUAAUCUCAUAGUUACAGGAACAUGUAUAAGUCAUGAAGAAAGCAAUAGCAACAUACUAAACGAUCAAGUGCUAGGCUAACGGAAUGGGUCAUGUCAAUCACAUCAUUCUCCUAAUGAUGUGAUCCCGUUAAUCAAAUGACAACUCAUGUCUAUGGCUAGGAAACUUAACCAUCUUUGAUUCAACGAGCUAGUCAAGUAGAGGCAUACUAGUGACACUAUGUUUGUCUAUGUAUUCACACAUGUAUUAUGUUUUCGGUUAAUACAAUUCUAGCAUGAAUAAUAAACAUUUAUCAUGAAAUAAUGAAAUAAAUAAUAACUUUAUUAUUGCCUCUAGGGCAUAUUUCCUUCAAGUAGGACUCCCCUCUCCCUGGUGCGCCCCUUGGUGGCCGGCCUCCUCCUCCCCUCCUUUAUAUACGGGGGAAGGGGGCACCCCAAAGCACAACAGUUGUUUUUUAGCCGUGUGCGGUGCCCCCUUCCACAGUUUACCACCUCGGUCAUAUUGUCGUAGUGCUUUGGCGAAGCCCUGCGCAGAUCACAUCACCAACACCAUCGCCACACCGUCGUGCUGACGGAACUCUCCCUCGACCCUCUACUGGAUCAAGAAGCUCGAGGGACGUCAUCGUGCUGAACGUGUGCUGAACACGGAGGUGUCGUACGUUCGAUACUUGGAUCGGUUGGAUCGUGAAGACGUUCGACUACAUCAACCGCGUUACUAAACGCUUCCGCCUUCGGUUUACGAGGAUACGUGAACACACUCUCCCGUCUCGUUGCUAUGCUUCUCCUAGAUAGAUCUUGCGUGAUCGUAGGAAUUUUUUUGAAUUACUACGUUCCCCAACAAUGUUGAAGAUGGACGAGCAGGCCAAAGCGUGGUACCUGGCGGAGCGUGGCCUCAUCUUAAAUCAGAUGCCCGGGCCAGAGACCACCCCUACGCCCACGCCGAUACAGACGCCCAGCCCGAGCGACGAAGUGGUGCUGACGCCGACCACCAGCCCGAGUGUAGAAGCCGCACCGACGCCCAGCACGCCUGCGUCUACGACGACCCCGGCUAGUCCCACCGAGGAGCCCGCCGUUUGAUGCAUUCUGUAUCUAUAAUUCCUUCCUUUUGAUCGCCGAACUAUCGGGCAUGUUUUGAUCGCCGAACUGUGGCAUGAUGAUUGCCGACUUGUGGCAUGGUGAUCGCCGAACUUGAGGCGCUUUUGGCAGCAUGAAAGCCAAGUUUGGCAAAAAAACGGGCGUCUUCGGGCCGAGACCUGGGGCGCGACUGGAAACUCGAUCGCCCCAGAGCGAAAAACCCACCGGCUCAAACGCGAAAACACAUUCGCCGGGUGCGCUGGAGCCGAACGAGUGGAGAUGCUCUAAGUUACUUGCUCGCCAAGUCUACUGCUCCUGCUCUCAGGGCCGUGGCCAGCCGCGUUGUCGCCGUGUCCGUCAAGGAGUUCCACCUCUCUCUCUCUCCCUCCCUCCCCCGUUUUGUCCGUGCGGAGAUCUAACGAGCACUCAGGGCCGGCCCUGAGGAGGGGGGGGCAGGGGGCGGCCGCCCCGGGCCCCCAAAGUCCAGGGGGCCCCACCAGGGGUAUUUUACUACCUAGGCUAUAGCCUAUGGGCCCUUCCGCCGUUGGUGAGAAACAAGUCAAAGGGCUGGGCUUCAGGAUGAGAAACAAGCAGCAGCAUGCAUGCCGCACGCAGCGAUUCCUUGAUUCACGAAAGCACAGGAAAGAGAGCAAUCGAUCUAAUCUGACGACCCCUUCCUAUUCCAUAUUUCUAUCAUGCAGUGAUUCCAGCCUUCAGGCCGCCGACGCCGUACUGUCGCCUCCUCCUAAUUUCCGUCCUAAUCAAGUUCGCCGCCGCCGCCGUACUGUCUGCUAAUUUCCUUCCUAAUACAGUUCGCCGCCGCCACAACCGAUUUCAAUUCCUGGGGUCUCCAUCAUCUGAUCAACAAGCCGCACUUUGUUUGUUCUCCGUCUGACCAUCUCCAGAGUUUAGACUCUCUAGGCACCGAGGUAUAUCAUAUUUCUGUUCAUUGGACGCCGUUCAACAUUGAUGCAUUUUUUUCUAGCACUUUGUGUUAUCAUGUUGUCUAGAAAGUAUGCAUCAGAUAGCGAUAAAAGGCAAAGGAAAAAAAUGUUGAUAACUGGUACAAUCACACAUCCAAGAUAUUCAGAAAUUUUUCAGUAGUGCUACCCGUGCUUCUACUGCUUCGAUAAACUCAGAUGAUGAGUUGGAGAUAGUGGCCAGAUAGGAAGAACAACCAACUAAUGGGAAUUUGGAAUAUGAUCAGCAAGAAUAAAAUGUCGAUAUUUUUAACAAUGUAAGUGGCUCCAACAAUGUAGGUAAUUCAUCGGAUGCACACACACAGUCGGCUAGUGUUCAAGAACAACUUGUUUAUACUUCUGACAUUUUCAUCGUAAGUUUUCCAAAGUUGAAAUUAUUGAAGAAUUAUCUAAGGUCAACAAUGACCGAAGAAAGUUUUGAUGGUUUGGCAACUUUAUGCAUUGAGAAGAAAUUACUAAAUGAGAUUGACAUCAACCACGUCAUAAGUGACAUGCAUCGAGAAGUUUUGAUUGGUAUGUAUGAAUUAUUUUAUAUGCAUACUGGUUUUGAAUGCAUUGGAGUGCUAUUCAUAAUAUUUUAUAUAUAUAUAUAGUCAUUGUUACUGAUAGGAUGUCUAUGUUAAGGGCCCCAAGUUUUAGUCUCGCCCCGGGCCCCCAAAAUUUCAGGACCGGCCCUGCAAGCACUAGUCUAAUGAGAGUUAGCAAAAUCGUUGUAGAAGUACCUUACAAACGCAUAGUAUUUAUAUUCAAUAGGGAUUUAUUUAUGGAACAAUGUGGGCUUUGUUUGAAACAAACAAUGUCACGAUGGAUGGAGAGUGACGUUUUGGCACACAUGGGAGCGCGAGCUCCAGAUUUAAAAAAUAUGUUUUGAACAUAUUUUGAAAUGUCAAAAAAUUUCAAACAAAAACUUGGCGCAUGCAUCUCGAUAUUGUACAUGCUCACAAAGUCGUUUCGCGAAAAACCGACAACUUAUGUGCCGCGUGUGAAACAGACAAAAUCCGGUGUUAAAAAAUGAUUUUCAAAAGGCAUCUUUUUGACAUUUUUACACAAGCCACAAAAAGUGUCGGUUUUCUCCAAAACUUGACAUGCACACAUAUAAUGUCGAAAUGUAUGUGCCAAAAUUUUGUUUAAAUUUUUUCCACACUUUGAAAUACUUUUUUCACGUGCAGGAGCGCGCCGCUCCCAAGAGCACAAAUGGAUUUCUGCUAUGGAGGUCCACGAUAAUUUUAUUCAUUGUAAAUUUUCCAUAGAGGACUUCUAAAUUGUACUCUCUCCAUUCCAUAAUAUAAGAGCAUUUUUAAUGCUCUUAUAUUAUGGGACGGAGGAAGUAAUAAACUUUUUGCAAGCUAUUCUGACUAAAGAGAGCAUGGGUUUCCAAAACAGAAAUGUCGUACUUCUUCAGAAUUGCACCUAAGCAGCACGCACCUACAGAGGUUGAGAAAUGGGCAGGUGCAACAACAGACAUAGUCAAUUACUCUGUUAGAAGGACAAAUCUACUGGUGAUACUUUUUGGGGCAAAGAAACUAGUAGUUCUGUCUGGUGAUACUUUUUGGGGCAAAGAAACUAGUAGUACCUGAAUUCAAAAGCACACAAAUACAAGGGCAAAGAUAAUCAUCAGUUCAAGUGUGCAUACCUCAUAAAAGAUACUUUUUACCUAGUUUACAACUAGAGUAUUUCGUUGCCAUGUCGAACAAGAGUGAAAAAGAUAACAUGCUAACACAAACAUCAUUCCUGAUAAAAUCCAGACAACACAAAGUAGAGUGAACACUUAUAACCUUUAGACGAAAACGGCACAAGUAGGAGUUGCGCCAAGGUUUUGCUAAUCACAUAUUAAAACCUUCAGACAGAAAACGGCCUCUAACUGGGAGCUGUCUCGCCAAGGUUUGCUUCUGCGCUUAAUUCUUGCCUCGGCCACGCCUAGGAGGCACAACAGUCCACCCAUCAGCAUCAGGGGUAGGCUUGGAAGGUUUUGGCUGAUCUAUCACCAUAUCAUCUGAUCUAGCUGCUUCAUCUUUCCCCAUUGAUGGCUCAUCACCAUCAUCAGAGCUAUCAUCAUCAUCAUCCUCCGGUACCAUCUUCUCAUGAGAAGAAAGAAAGUUAGCUACAGGGGCUUUCUGAGUCGAAGAUACACGUAAAAAUAAAAACAAUCAAUUUAAACUUUAAAGUUAUGCAGUGCAACGUUGUAAUGACUGAGGACCACUUCAGAUAACUGUAGACACAUGGUUACUCAACAUAUAAGUAUGUCUCCAAAUAACAAUGACCGGUUCUGAUUAGAAAACGAGGUUAAGAUCCACAUGCUAAGAGCAAAAACACAAUCAAUCUAGCAUUUUGCAAUUAACCCCGACAAAGCAACAAUCAAGCAUAUAAAAAGGACCACAUCUUGAAGAAUUAAUAAUUGAACAAAUUAUCAAAC
rnacentral:lncRNA from 1 species